GAAACCUUAAGCUUCCUCAUGAUCCCAUCUCUGAUUUCAAGUACUGGGCCUACGUUGACAGUGAGGAUUACAGUGAAGAUUACUCUGGUUCUGAUUUUGAGGUUGAUAUGCACGAUGAUUUGCUGGAUGUGGUCAUGGAUGAUGAUGCUGAUGAUGCUGAUGGUGAAUUCAAUUAUGUGGAUGAUUAUGAUGAUGUUGGCUCAGAAUCUGCCAUGUAUGAUGAUGUCGAUGACAUCUAAACGCUGACCAUGGGCUUUCACUUUGGCGGGAUUUGGAGCUGAAAUGAUGCGGUGUUCACCUGUUGUUGAAUGAAAUCCUUGAAGUGGGGUUCGAGCACUUUGUUAUGUGUGAUUCUCUUGUGUUCAUGUCACCUGUUACAUUUUUGCAAGAAACUAAUCCAUCCUCUUGCUGUGAGACUGGGUUGUUCGAUUAUCACUCUUUUCACUUGUAGUUUGUGCUGCCUUGUGACUUGUCAUGGAAUUAGAUUCUUGUAAUGAAGUAUGACACCCCUGUUAUGAUUUUGGUUUCUUUGUGUUUGACCCCAUCGCGGCCACUGAAUCCUCUCAAAAUGGCGCAAUGCCAUAGAUGUCGGUGGCCAGCAAAGACCGCAAGCUCGUCGUAGUUGCUUGCAAUAAUGGGAUGCUGUCUCAUGCGCUCAGUCGCAAUAGGCAGCCAUUAUUUGAUUUGUCACAUGGAGUAGCUCAAGUGGAACACUAGAAAUGGUUAUUAUUUUAUUUGGAAUAUCUGUGCAACAAUAGAAAUGGUUGAUGUUGCACAUCCUUUAUUCUAGAAUGAAGCGUUCAUAAGUACUGAUUUGCCCUGCCUCUUGGCUGUCUAGAAUAGGAGGGCGUUUUUGGAUGCUUGAAGAUUAAUCCUAAUCUAGAUGGUUAGUACAAUAGUUGAAUUCCUGCCUAACGCUUGUAGAGAUCAAACAUAUUCUGUGUGUCUCACCAGUCACCAGAUAUAAUAUUUGCGGAAGGCAAUGCUGAUUUAACCAUGUGUGUGGUUCAUUUUCUCAUAUCGUGAUGUUCUCAGUUCAUCACAGAAUCAUUUUUUAUCGAAAUAUCAUAUGUUUAAGAUAUCUGAUGUAUGUUCAUCACAGGAUCAUUAUUUAUCAAAUUAUCAUAUGACCGACCAUAAAGGAUAACCAGGCUAGAAAAUACACACACACAAAAAAAAACAUACUAAGCUGCUAUAACCCACAUCGAUUGCUCAGAACAUAUGAGCUGAACAUAAGAAUCCUACCAAGACCUCCUCUUACUUGGGGUGAAGAUUAACAUAAUCAUGGGGACCAUAUACCUCAAAUAAUUCAGCUAAAAUGCUAUUCUUCCUUCUCGGGUUGCAUCCCAUGUCCUGACAUAGUUGAUCAUUAUACCAGAUGUGAAGAAGCCCAAUACAGGACCUCCGGAAGUAGACACGAGAAUAGCGCUUCAUGAACUUCUCCCACUCAAGGAUAUCACCCUGCAUCGCUUUAACACUUGGUGAUCUGAAUCCACUAUCAAUGAAAUGCGCCAGCCAUUUGGCCCGAAUUUCUGCAGUGUACAGAUUCGCUAGACUCUCUGAAUAACCGAGGACCGCGAGUUGUGGAAUCUUAGGAUGUAUGCACUCCCUGAAUAUAAAAUAUGAAGAGUAUAUUCAAUAACCUAAUCUUGAUUGAAAAUAAGGAACACAUGUAAACAAAAGUCAGGUAGUAAUAGUGAAGUAACCUGUAGAGAGGUAUAGUCGAGGAUAUUGGCCCAACUGCAAUACUCUGAAAGUAUUCUGAAGUAAACAUGUUCGUGAUCUUCUGGUCUCCCUUGAAUCCCGUUCCGAAGAUCACUAUAUCGCUCUUUAUCGGCGAAGAUUCACCUUCAACAACUACACCUUCCUUGCAGAAGCUAAAGGUCUUGGACUUUUUCAGAAUAAUGCUGCCUUCGUCUAGUCUCUUGUAGUGGUCCUUUGUUGUAAUGGCAAUCAAGCAUGUCACUAGUGCCUCAAAGAAGCUAUGCUCAGGUACCAUGCCAUGCUUCUUCAUGGGGAUGGAGUAGUAGCUCUCAGCAAACUUUGAGAACAACCACCUCUAUUCAUAUACAAACAAGAACUAAGCGUGUGUCAAUUUAGUUUGAAACCUAAGUGUAAAUGGCAUCAAUACAAAAUAACAUGCUGAUUUUCAGUACCAGGGGAGUCAAGAUGAUGGCUAAGAGGCAUAGUAGGAAGCCCUCACCAGGCUUGUGGAUAAGUAAUUCAGAGAAGCGAUUUAGAUAUAAGUUUGCUAUAGGGAAACCCCACGCAUAGUAGCUUGGUAUGAUCCAAUGCUUUGUUCGGACAACCAUUGUACAUGGAUGUUCAGUACCUGCAGGGGAUCGGUAAAUUUUAUAUCUAAGUUCUUAUCAAGAAUAAUUGUUAGAUUUCAAACAAUGUAAUCAUGACAGGCAAUGCAUAUAGUUUCGUAGAAUGACUAUAAACAACCCUUUGUUUUGUCAUGCAAACAAAAAUUAUGAUGACAUAGUUACUUCUGCGAUAAAAGAGAAAAUAAAUUUUAGUUGUAGGAUUGUGUACCAUUUACGUCUGCACAUUCGGCAGCUACGUCGAGAGCUGAUUUCAAGUAGCCAAUGACAGUCACACGCUUGCCCUUUAACAUUUCGGUAGCUUUCUUGGUGCCCAUUUUGGCGUAAUCCAUGGUGUGAAUCACCUGCCCAUCAAAUGCUUCUGGACCUUUGCCUGGAGGGAAAGUGGGUAUGUUGGGCACACCACUAAACCGCCCAAUGCAAAGAACCACAAAGUCUGCCACGUGUGUCUGUAGACAGGAAAAAUAUAAUGCAUUUAAUAUCUCAUUAGCUUCACUGAUUGAAAAGAGACAUUACAGGCUAGGCGUUAGAAAAUGGAAGCAAAGUGGUUUUCACUUUCAGGUUUGGAAAUAUUUCAGCAACAAUUUCAGCGAUUUCGGUCAAAGGGCUGAAACAGUUGAAUUCAACCAAAAUUUUAAAAUUAUUGAAAAUAGUUAAAAAGAUGCUUGAAUUGCUGUGUAGCACUGAAAUUGCUGAAUAUUUUGUCCAAAAGCUAAAUAUUUCAGUGUCUACUGAAAUUCAAUGAAUUUCAUCUAAAUCUCACUGAAAAUGAAAACAAUACAAACACGGUCGACGGAGGCAUGGAUUAGCUUCAUCUAUGAAAACUCCUAGUUCGCCGACCAAUCAAUAUAUGUACCUCGAUGUUGCCCUCGGCGUCGGCCACAGUGAGACGCCACUCACCGUCGGAGAACCAAACGCCUCGCCGCACCCGGCCCACUCCUCCCACUCCACCACCUUCUCCUCGCCGACGCCGACAUACUCCAUCCCGACCACCCGGUGCCCGAACCUGACGCAGUCGAGCACGCCGAAGUGGCGGGUGUAGGCGUCGAGGUAGUCGGCGACCUGUCGAUGGUCCGGGAAGACCUCUCUCACGGACUCCGGCCACGGGAAGUCGGAGAACUGGUACAUGGGCCGCUCUGACUGCAGCGACGUGCAGUCCGGGGCGCGCGCCCACACGCCGCCCAGGAGCUUGUCCGCCUCGAAGAUGGCCGGACGGCAGCCGCGCUCCAGCAGGUGCUUGCACGCCGUCAGCCCGCUCACGCCGGCUCCGACGAUGGCCACCCUCUUCUUCUCCAUCCCGGCUACUAGUUUACGAGUAUGAACGUGUGUGUUCGAUGGUGAUCAUAUAGGUGGCAAGAGAGCAGUUUUGCACGACGUGCUUUGUUGAAAUUCUUGGAUUUGGAUAACAUACUUAAAGCACGGCGCCAUUCGAUCUGACGUGUUAUUUUUGUUAUCAUUCGUCCGGAGUCCACACUUAGUCUUUGCUGAGCAAAUAUGACAUCAAUUGUCCAGCCACACAAUGAUAGGCCUUGUCGCUGAGCAAAUCGCGGCACGUGUAUACGUUGCAUGUGUUGCAUGUAGCACGUACAAGGCCACGCACACGUAUGUAGACGGGUACGAUAUGUGGCGCACUCGAGAUAUUAUCCAUCGUCAGUGCUCCACAGUGCAGAUGGAGCUAUAAACAAAAGGUUCGAGAAGUUUCGGAAACUCUUUAGAUCACAAAUUAGCACAACAAGAUGCAUCUGGCGCACCAUAAGUUUAUAAACCCAAAUUUAAUCGACCCUUAUAGAAACGAAAACGAUUUGGUUUACUACUUCAAUAAAUAUUGAUUUGGUUACGUAAGGUUAGUCUUACUCGAUUUUCAACCAUUUGUGAAUUGUUUUAGAUUUCAGAUUUUAUCGAUGGCUCAGUAAUCAAACCUAAAGAGGUGGGAGCGUGGGAGGAGUACUCUACUUCUAUGUCUUAGACAUGCCCAAGUACAAUGAGAAAAGAGAAAAUGUUGCUCAUUGAGGCUCGAUGAGUGAAAGACUUUUGCUCAUUCAGCCUGUGCUAUGUGCAAUUCCAACUCAUGUGAUUCUAGUGCCCGGUCUUCCACCGAAACCGCGGCGGCAAUGAACAAAAUUAUACGGUGUUUCCUUUGGUGCGGCCAAGCGGAGGCCAAUGGUGAAAAUAGUGCAGUUGCUUGGGAGACAGCAUGUACACCCAAGUGGUCAGGUGGCUUGGGGAUCAUGAACGUGCACUGGCUAAACAUUGCCAUGCAGGCUUGAUGGGGCCAUGGUCCCGUAGAUCUGAUGAGUCAAGGCCGUGGACAGAAUUCGAGCUCAGGGAGCCGGAUGAAUCGAUGACAUUAUUCAAGGCGGCGACAAGAGUUCACAUAGGUCAUAUUAUGCUAUUCUGGAAGGAUCAUUGGAUUGAUAGCCUGAGAAUUGAGGAGCUGGCACCGCAAUUGUAUGCCAGAAUUCCACAACAGGUGCGAUCGACACGAAUUGUUUGCACUGCUCUAACGGAUGGAGCUUGGGCAAGGGACAUGGAUCCCAAUCUGGACUUGAGCACGUUGGUGGAAUACUUGGCACUAUGGAAAAGAAUUUCCAACGUGUACCUACUUAUUGGGGUUGCCGAUACUAUUCGUUGGUCUUAGGAGCAGGAUGGCGAUUUCUCGGCACGCACACACUGCUAAACUUGCGGGAUGGGAGGUGGUGCUCACUCUGGAGUUCACGUAGAAAUUGAAGGCCCCGUUGCAGAGCCGAUUCUUUGCUUGGCUAGCCCUAGAUAACAAAUGUUGAUAGACUGGCAAGACGGGGCGUACUGCACCAUGAUGCAUGCCCGUUUUGUGAUCAGCAUGGUGAAACCAUCAACCACAUCGUACUUGGUUAUGUAUUUACGAGAACGGUGGGGACUGUGGUGUGCACCGCCUUGGGCAAGCAAGAGUGGGUACCUACGGCGUAUGAGGUGCUAGGGACAUGGUCUGCAAGCAAGGAUGGAGAGGGCCACCCACGGAAGGAAACCCAUACCAUCACUAUUCUAGGUUUGUCGGAGCCGUCGAAACAUUGAAAUGCAAUUGUCUUUGAGAGUGUUACACCACCCCGAGAUUUGUAGUACAAGUGUACAACAGAUUGGGAAUGAAGCCACACUUGAAAGCAGGGAGGGUUAUUGAGGGGAGCUCUCAACCUUCUUUGGGGCGAUGUCGAGGUGGAUAAAGAGCGAGUAGUAGUUGUUAAUUCUUUUUUUUGCGGAAGUAGUUGUUAAUUCUAGGAUCCUGUAGAGUGGACAGAGUGUUUCAGUUACAUGUGACACUCUCAGAUAGAUGUGUUUUUUUACCCUCUCUUCUACUCCCUCCGUUCCAAAUUACUUGUCUUCGAUUUGUCUAGAUACGGAUGUAUCUAGCACUAAAAUAAGUCUAGAUACAUCCGUAUCUAGACAAAUCUAAGACAAGUAAUUCAGAACGGAGGGAGUAUAAUAUAUGAUAUGCACGCUUGUGCGUGCUUGAGAGAAAAAAAGAAAGAGAAAAUUUCUUGUGCUCCGCUAGCAUCAUGCAUACUAGCGAUUAAGACUAGGCUAUGGGAUGAUAGGUGGAAUAAUAGGUGGCCGAUGGAGGUGGAACAUAUCCUAUACCCCCAACUAUCGAGUACUAUCUGGUCACCUGUAUUAUUUGGGGGAUUUAAUGGCCAAUAAUAACUAUCAACACUAAACCUUACUUUAGCCAAUCUCUACCUAAUAAUAAAGCAAAUUGGGUUUCCGUCGUCCGUCAUGCACUUUUGCAGAAAACCCCCUGCAUUUUUCAUGAAUUAACCCGCAGUACACACUUAAGUCAUAACCGAACCGUUAUUUUACAUUUUUACGGAACCCCCUGACGUAUUAGAUAAUUCACCCGCCGAUCAUAUAUAAGUCAAACAAAUGUUUUUCUAAAUUAUUCAUAUCUUUUAAACCGUAACUCCGAUUUUAACAUGUUAUAUAUGAAAAUUGAUUAGAAAAAUGUGUAGAAUAUGAAUAUGAUGUUAUUUUGUUUGUUAAAUAUUUUUUAAAUAUUAUUUUGGAAGAUAUUUAAGUCAAACAAAUAUUUUUCUUAAUUAUCCAUAUCUAUUAAACCGUAACUCCGAUUUUAACAUGUUAUAUAUGAAAUUUGAAUAGAAAAAUAUGUAGAAUUUGAAUAUGAUGUUAUUUUGACCUAUUAAAUAUUUUGAAAUAUUAUUUUAAAAGCGAACUUGUAACCUAUAGGGCACGUCCGUUUUUCUUUCGUACCACGACGAUCUGGAUUGCAAAUAAACAACCACUAAAAUCAUAAAGAGACGAAAGAAAACAUCGAUUAACCACACAUGAGCACCUCUGAAAAAACUGGCAGGGGAAAAACAACAUUCAAACACACUUUGGUUUGUGUGAACACUGAGGCCACUGAGGGUGAGAAGGAGGAUAAGCGGCAACAUAAAAAUGAUGCCUCGCUAAAAUAAAGUGCAUGAAUAUAUUAUGGUUAUUGGGUUAAGAGUGUGUGUUAUUUUUUUUCUCCCGUUGCAACGCACGGGCUCUUUUGCUAGUCAUGUCAUAAAUUUCAGAACCAAACUAAAUAUGUAACUCCAGAAACAAAGCGACUAAUUAUGUGUUGAUAGUGUUAAUGGGCCAAAUUCAUAGCCCAACUAGGCUACAAUGUUAUCCUAUACUAGAUGAUACACUAUGCAUUGGUUGUAAUAUAUAUUUAAUCAGAUUUAGUUGUAUGAAAUAAUAAUUUGGAUUACAAAUAUAAGGACUAAAAAAUGCAUGUGAUUAUUAAUAUAAUUAUAAAAUACCCCCACUGUAAAAAAAAAUAAGACAUUUUAGAGACGAGUCUCUAAAACGUUUUAUAUUAGAAUUAAAAGAUUUUAAAUAUUUCAUGCAUGGUUGCAUGAUGAGAUUGGACUUAUCCAAUGUAUGGUUGCACGAUGAGAUGGCAUUGUUGCACAUUGAGAUAAAUAUGUUAGCAGGGAUCACCUACUUAGUUAUACUAGAUGAUACCCCGCAUGUUGUUGCAUCCGCGGAUAAUUUACAAUAUAUUUCAAUGAGAUUUGGUUCUAUGAAAUAUGAAUAUCUGGAAUAGAAAUAUGAGAACUAAAAUUGAAUAUACAUAUAAAUUAUUGUGUUUGAUUAUUUUAUAGUUUUAGAAUAUUUAUUAAAUAUAAAUAGCGUAAUAGAAUGGAAGUUCUAAUGCAUGUUUGGAUGUUGAAGUGUGAUUUUCCUAUGCAUGGUUGUAUGUUGAGGUAGACAUAUUUUCAUGUAUGUUACAUGAUGAGAUGUCAUGCUUGGAUGCUACGAGAAUGGGCUGGUGGGGGUUAGGUAUUUAGAUGCAUGAAUUGUUUUAUUCCUAUGCAUGUUAUGAUAGACCUAUUCCCAUGCAUGUUACAUGAUGAGGUGACAUGUUUGCAUGCUGAGAGAAAUGGGUUAGUUGUGGCUAGUUAAUUAGAUAUAGAAGAUGAUAUUUUCAAAUAAAAAACAAUAUUUGGCUUCUCUACCCUAAAUUUGCAUGUUCAAAGUAUUAUCUGAUAGUUGAAUAACAAUGUCUAUCAUUGCACGCCUGGUGAAAGAUAUUUGGAAUUUCCCGGCUUGUUGUACUUGUCACAACACUCCUUGUUGAAUGUCCACCGGGAUGAGUUGUUGUAGGCAGACAAAAUCCAUUUAGUGCCUCCUUUCAAGAGAGACAUGGUGCCAUCUAUUGUAGGUGUGGUGUAUUGAAUGGAAUUGAUGGUAUUAUGAUUAAUAUUAUGUAUAUAAGGCUGAUGCUUUUUUUAAAGGAAUACAAAACAAAAUUACUGCAUGAGGAAAGCAUUUAGGUUUGCAGGUAUCAUUCCACAUACACACUUUUUGGUGUUUUGACCCUUGAUAAGACCUUACAUGUAUUUACGUUUUACCUAAAAAAUAGCAUGGUUACUACUGUGAAAAGAUUGUUCUAGUGGUUGUGUUCAUGCAGUUAUGUCAUCAUUAGUGUUUGCCCAAACCAGGCUCCAGCUUCAAAAUUUGCCAAAAAAAUGGCUUAAGUUUCAACCUCUAUCUAUCUACGUAGCAAGAAGAUUACCCACCUGAUUUUUUCUUUGGGUUAAGGUUAUAUUUACAUAGUAAUAUGUUAUAUCCUUUGACACUCCAACAUUUCAUUCCUAAAAGAACUAAAUAUAAGGUUCUAUUUUUUAUAAGAUACUGCAAGUGACAUGUGAAGGUUCAACCUUAGAUGAUAUAAUAGGACACAUGUUGAACACUACAAAAACCAUACUGGCAAAUGAAUGUCUGCCCACCGUCCCACUCUUUGACCCAAAUUGAUGUUUUUAAGUACCAAAAUCUUUUGUUACAACAAUUGAGAGAAGUGACGCCAUCGUAAACCUAUAUUAGCCAGCUUAAAGUUGGAGGUUUUCCCUUACUUUGUCCAUGUCAAUAAAAAAUCAAAAUACCUUGACAUUUUCAGAACAGGUCAGAGUCAAAUAGCAAUGAUUCAAAUCACUUCUUUUUACAUUACGCGUAGAAGGUAGGUAAGAGUUAUCCAUUUUUUAGAUAGGGGUAACAUUCACUCCACCUGCCUCCAUACACACCAAGCCACCAACAUAUGCAUGACGCAACUAUAUAAAUUGCGAAGAUUAUGUACAUGCUAGUAUUGGAAAAGCUAGAAAAAAUAUCACGGGGUUUCCGUUUCAAGUGAAGCAGAGCUUGGAAUUUAGUUGAAUUUGAUGAACACUGCUAGAUCAUAUUUGCUUCCUAUGUCAAAGUCAUCCCCUAAUUAUUGUCCCCACAUUUUUUUAUAGCUAGCCUUCUACAGGCUUGGGAAGCAACAGGGAUCGAAGUCACACAUGGCUUUGUAGUCGUUCUGCACAUUCAACCACACAUCUUUUGACAAACUUCAAAUCAUCAACAUUUUGUAGACUGCAUCAACGAAGGCCCCUCUACAGAAAUAAAACAUGGGCACCAGAACAAAAGGGUAAAUUGCACUGACAUUCAUAGAACUUGUCGCAUGUUGCACCCUAGCCACCCUUGAAUAGUGCUCACUAGUCCAAGGUCAAAAAGAGUACAUGUCGGACCAUAAAUUGCUGAUAAGCAUGUACCUCCACAAAAAGAAGUUGCCACAGUCUCAACAUAUUGUUCCCGUGCUCACUCCACGGUGUUCAAUGAAAUAAAUAUCGUCAAAUUGUGUCUCGACAUGUCACACAUGUCGCACGGUGUUCAAGGCCAACGUUCACUUGGACACAUAUCAGUUUGCAUCAAACUGAAAUCUUGCAAGCUUAUUUUACAUAAUCAAAUUUUCACAAGAUGAACACAAAUGUUGUGGAUUACCACAACUUGGUCGUACAAAUUUAUUGUGUCUGCAAACAAAAUUGUGAAAAAAGAUGUUUUCCUGCCAAUAAUAUAGCACAUGUCUAAACUCACACACACAACCACUUUUUUCUCUCUGCGCAGGUUUGUGCUACCAUCAGAAGUAACACAUACACUGAAGUUACAAUAUUGGCCAAUAAACAUGCAUUGCCUCCCUCACUGAUUCAGUGAUUCUAAGCGAUAGUUCUAAUUAACAAAAUAUUUCACUAUAUAAAUUUUCAGAGAAAUGAUAUUGACAUUACGCAACACUGAGAACCUCAAUAAAAUUGAUGGACGCUGAAGUAGAUAGGGAGUGAGAGGAUAGUUUUUCAGCAGGAGAUGAAAGAGGCACACUUCUGGUCACUGGGUGCAUGGUUGCAUAUAGGAUGUAACCCUAGAAAUUCAUAGAUUCGUCGUGCUAGUUACAAAGAACAAUUAAUAGAUGACAAUCGUAGUUGAGCAAAGUUGAGCGAAGAAAAAACUAAGAAACAAACUCCCAUUGCUUUGAACUGAUACUCACAAGUACCAAAUUCAUUGAUUACAACUUUUCAAAGAAAUGAUAUGCCAUCAUGCAUCGGUGAGAGAUAUCUUAAGGAUACACAAUGUAGGUAAGAGGUAACUGGAGUGUUUUCAGAUUUUGAAAAGAUCACACUCCCAUCCUUCGCAUGCACAGAUAAAUGCAUGUUAGCUCUAUAAUUUGUAGUGUACAUGCUAGUGCCGGAAAAUCUAGAGCAACUAUCAAGGGCUUUACGUUCCGAGUGAUGCAUGGUUUGAAAUUAAAACAAACUUUCAUGAACUUAGCUAGAUCAUAUUUGGUUUCCAUAUGCUCGCCCUAAUUUUCAUCUCUUUAUAUAUUUUGGAGCUAGUUUUCUAGGCUUGAGAGGCAACGGAGAAUUGACACAAGCAAUUCUUGAUACAUAAUCUGUUCUGCAUAGUUAACCAUUUGGUGCCCUUGUUAGCGCUUGAACUUCCAAACAGUAUGUCGGUGAAUUAAUUUAUUACAUGAAUCUUGGAAGUAGAAGUAGAUGGAACGGCAAGAUGUCCUUGUGUUGAGAUGAAGGGGGUUUUGAGGGUGCAUUAGUGCACGCAAGCUAUAUACAUAUAUAAGGAGCUGCAGAAUAUCCAGCAUUUCCUGGCCUAUCAUUCAGACCAAGCCAUUUGUUUGUGAGCAAAUACUUUCGGGGUGACUCAUGUACUUGUGCGGCACACAAUCCAUGCUGAAAGUCAGGCAUGGGCAGUAAGCAGUUGGUAAGUUGUUGCUGGUAAAUGGAAAGCCAGUCAAUGUCACCUUUAAACAAGAGAGUUUUUGCGGUACCCUGAAGUGAAUAUAGACCAUCCAUUUGUUGAGAUCCAAUGGAUUAGGCUAACUGACACUCCAAUCUAUUAACAUUGAGCAGGUGGUAAGUUGUUGCUGGUAAAUGGAAAGCCAAUCAAUGUCACCUUUAAACAAGAGAGUUUUUGCGGUACCCUGAAGUGAAUAUAGACCAUCCAUUUGUUGAGAUCCAUUGGAUUAGGCUAACUGAGACUCCAAUCUAUUAACAUUGAGUACUGUUACAAAAGCUUAGGGAGUACCUAGUUUGUAGGGGUAGAAACAUACCUUAGAAGUCUCGGGUUAAGUCUAUUUGCUGGUGGCAAUCACCGGCGGCAGGCAAGCCGGUUGACAGGUUGGAUCGCUACAUCUUAUGCUCAUCAGCAGAAGUGAUGGGGUCAGAGGCGGCGGAGCGGAACUGCGCAGUGCAGGCACUUGAUCUCAUUGCUUUUGCGCGCCCUCCACUUCCACGGACGGCCAGUUACCUUUCAUGCACCUCCGUUCUAGUGUUUCAUGAACAAGCGAGCCAGUUUGUUUGACGGGAUUGGAAUAUGAUCUCGACAUACAACCAUGCGAGGGUGCGUUAAGACAUGCAUCAAAGGCGGGCGGGUCGCGGAGCAUGUGCCUGUGAUCGAUAAUGACAAGAAGAUUGUAUCGGGAGGAACAUGCGGAGCCCUAGUUCGCCGAAGGGGUUAGGGUGUGUACAGUACUGAAUUACCCUUUUAGUUUGCCUGGGAAAAGUCUAAACUAACCUACUAAAUGAAUGGUGUUAUUUGGUUGGUACUCUAUCUCCUGUAUAUAUGGAGUAUAAGCGCACCGUAAAAGUACACUUAAAUAAAGGCAUAGUGAAAAAUACACUUUUUGUGGUAUAAUGAAUGUAAUAAGACUGAAGUAGUGUAAGAAGUGAAUAUAAAAGAUUUAAAAUUCAGUGAGUGCGAAACAAAUAGAUUCACUGAAACAUUAGAGAUGAGACUUUUUGUAUGAAACUAGAAAAUCAGUGUUACAAUUUAAAAUAGAUUUCAUAUAUUAUUGUUUUACUAGAAAAGCAGUGUUGUUACUCCUAGGAUAAAAUGAUGUUGUGGUGCCUGUGUUUAUGUAGUUAUGUCAUCAUUAGCAGACAUGUGUUUCAAUUUCUAGCAAAGACAAAUAAAUCUUUGAAGCUCCCUCUAUCGAUAUAGCUAGAAGAAUGUGGACCCGAAUUUUUAUUUGGGUAAGCUAUAUUGACACACUAAUAAAUAAAUAUAAGUUUAUGCACUUUGUAAAGAUACUACUAGUUAUAUGGAAGCCUCAACCCUUAGCAGGAUGAACUAGGAUAUAUGUACACCGACCAAUGAAGGCCUGCCCACCACCUCAGUUGUUGAUUCAAAUUGAUAUUUCCAAGUACCAAAAUCUUCGAUUACAACAUUUCAGUGAAAUGAAACAUUAUCAUUCAUCAAUGAGAGCCAGCUUAAAGUUGCAAGUACGUAAGAUAUAUAAGUAGCAAGCAACCAUUGAGAUAGUGGCAACAAUCACUACGCCCGCCUCUGUACGCACCAACACAUGCAAGAUACAGCUCUAUAAAUUGCAGAGGACGUGCUAGUAUAUGAAACCUAGAGAAACUAUCACCAUCUUUUUGUUUGUAGUGAUGCAUGGAUUGGAAUUUAGCUGAACAUCAUGAACGUUGCUAGAUCAUAUUUGCUUCCUAUGCUAGCUCUGUCAUCCCCUAAUUUUAAGCUCCACAGUAUGCUAGAGUUAACUAGCUAUAGGUUUUGUCGGAACAAAAAAGGCAGCUAUAGGUUUGGGAUGCAACAGGGAUCUAAGGCGCACAAUGCUUUUGACACAUGCAACUGAACAUGUUUUUGUGGCUUACUAAUGAAGAACAAAGGGAAAAUUGUGCUGGAUCAUAGAAUGUGUGAGUAUUUGCACGUUAGUACACUUCAGAAAUGGUUGAUAGUUAUAGGUCAAAAGGAGUCAUUCUAGGACCAGAACUUACUGACAGGGUUGUACCCUGGACCUUUACAGAAGGGCCCCAAAAUUUAUUGUAGUCUCAACAAAUUGUUCACCUGAUCACUUGCAAGGUGUAUAAUGAAAUACUCUCUCCGCAUUCUGGGUCUGCAUGUUGCAUAUAUAGGUGGAGAUUUACAUCUGAUGUUUACAUUAUGAUACUAGGACACAAAUGAGUUUGCGUAGAGACUAAAAUCUCAUAAGCUUAUUUUAUAGUGUGGCCUUUUCACAAGUUUUUUUUCUUUUUUGAAAAGGAGUUUUUUUUCUUUUUCGAAAAGGAGGAUAACCCACGACCUCUGCAUCAAAACGAUCAAUGCAUGUGGCCAUAUAUUGUUAAGAAAGAAAAAUCCAGCAGCCGAACAUCCUUGACCUGGAAAUAAAGCGGAAAUCAAAGCCUGAGGCCAUAUACCUCGCGACAGUAACUCUCCCUAAUAUCCACUAACCCUAUGUUACAAGACACACCAGAAACAAAAAAUACACAACUCUUAGGCUACACCUUCAAGAAGGAAUCGCCGCACGUGCGCCGAUGAUGGCAAGUCCACCACAAGGUUGACCUCCAGAUUCUCACCCCAAAGGUAAGCUUCAAUCCACCACCUUCAGCAAGGACACGGUGCAGGCGCGCGUCGACAUAGGCUGAUUAGAGAUCUUGUGUUUCCACCGGAGUGCAUAAACUCAUUUUUGAAAGCCAUCUACAAUCCGCCCUCAUCCGUCUACCGACACCACGAUAGUGGAAUACUUGUGGAGAAGACAACGGAAGACAAAGACGUCGCAUACCGCCUGCUCAUGCUACUGUCGCACCACCUUCGAUCCAACAGAAACAGGCUAAACAUGACACCUCUAUCAGAGCCACCGUGCAUCACUUGCUGGUAUCAGGCAUGACUUGAUGUAUUCAUAUAAGAUGUAUUGCAUAGCAUCCACCGGUGCCUUCACCUACCGAAAGAGGCACAUGUGUCACCUACCGAGCCAUAUCGAACCCGAUAUGUUGAUCGAGGGGACGUCCCAUACCACCACUGAUACGUCUCCGUCAUAUCUACAAUUUUUGAUUGUUUAAUGCCAAUAUUCUACAACUUUCAUAUACUUCUGACAACUUUUUAUACUAUUUUGGGACUAACAUAUUGAUCCAGUGCCCAGUGCCACUUCCUGUUUGUUGCAUGUUUUUUGUUUCGCAGAAAAUUCAUAUCAAACGGAGUUCAAACGGGAUAAAAACAUACGGAGAUUUUUUUGGAAUAUAUGUGAAUUUUGGUAAGUGGAAUCAACGCAAGGCGCACUACAAGAAAUAUGUCAACUUGUGACCACCACUAUUGGUCACUGAAUGGUCAUAGUUUUUUAUUUGCGACCUUUUUGUGACCAAAACCAGAAGGUCAAAAGCUGGCCGUCGUAAACUGACAUUUUUGACCUUUUCUGUGAGAAGGCCGUAGACAUUUACGACCAAAAUAAGCCUACUGUCUUGUUUUGGUCACUGGCAACCUCACCAGGCCACGUAGUCAUCCAGCGUGGCAAGCUGAUGUGGCACAAGAUUCAGCCCGGUCCAAUUCGGUGUUUAUAUGGGCCGAGCCCAUUAAUUCGGCCUUUUUAAUAUUUAUUUUUCCUAUUAAUUUUUGCUAGCUACAUGGGCCUAGCCCAGCAAUUCAGCGUUUUUUCUUGGCCAUUGCCUUUUAUAGUACAUUUUUUUCAGCCUCAACCCUUUUAUAGUCCAUUUCUGUUUUGGGCCUCGGCCUUUUUACAUUCCAUCUACUUUUUGGGCCUUGGCCUUUUCGUUUGUCACACUGGUCAUCUUUAUAUUUCUCACACUUUCACAAUAAACAAAUGAAAAAUAUUUCAAAUGUGGCAAGAGAACAUAUGAAAUUAUAAAAUGAUACCAAUAUUAGCACCAAAUAUGCUGACUACUGUACAAAUACAAAAUUACAGUAUUUACAAUAGUGUUCAUACAACCAGAUAUGCUGGCUACUGUAUAACAUAACUAGCACUACAUUAUUACUCGCUACUCUUUACUUUGUCCGGCUUCAAGCUUCUUCAAAUUUCUUCAGCCCAGAGCUCAUGUAAAGAGAGGUAACACCACACUUUUAGAGCUAGAUCAAGGCACAAAAUGUUUAUUUGGUUGGGUCAUGCUGCAACAAUCACAUAGAAGCAUAAUUAUAAGCACAAAUACACCAAUCAUCUCAGUUCAAGCAAAUCAUCUAUAGUAGCAAAGCAUGAAAAAGGAAGCAGCACAUGGUAGUAAUGUUUACAACAACUCAGUUGAUGACUUCAAAUAGGAAUAAUGUAUACAAGUAUAAUAUAGAAAUAUGAGAAACUAUCACAGUACAAAAAUGGUAUCACGGAUAUAUAUAUAGCUAACUCAAUAACAGACUGAAAUGUUUUACUCAAUGUAUGGAACUCAAAGAACUUUUCUGGUUAGUCACCAGCAUCGUGCAUUUUAACUUCAAUAACUGCAGAAAUUAGAUAGUAUAUGAAGGCAAUAUUCUAAAGAUAUAUCCCUCUCAAACAUACAGAGUACAACUGAAGCAAAUGCAGCUGCUCUUGCUGAUAUAUCUCACUAGACAUGGUCUUGCUAACUUACUAUGUUAACACAGACUAAUCCAAGUGAACCAGCUAAUUCUAGUUCGUCCACUGACCACACAACGAAUGAAUGCAUCAAGGUUUGAAGACAGUACUACGUACAUCCUACAACACCGAAUCAGCACAACAAAACCGAAGACCAUGCAACCAAUGAGCUGCAGGUGCGGCACUGAAUUAGGAGCAGAAGAAACCGAGCUUUGCGCCAGAUGCAGCUAGCAAGCAUAAAGAAAGGGGCGAACAUGGAAAGCAAGAUACCUUGAUCUGGUACAGCUUGAGUCAUGCCAACUAGCAUUCGUUACUUUGCCGGGUGCCUAGCAUCCUCAAUGAUGGGGAUGACAUUGGUCCUCUUCUUGGCCAUGUUGACAAGAUACCUACCACUCCGGUGAGAGAACUCAACGGCAUACACCAACCCAGUCUGCAAAGUGACAAGACUUCGUUAAGACAACUCACAUUAAGUAGCAUUCACUUGAAAUACACAAAGGAAAUAGCGACGAGAUCUCACCGGUCCAACAAUGUCAGACACAUGAGACAUGGUUGUUCCAAAGGCAGCUCCGAGGUACAGCACACGUGUUCCAGGAGCCUGAACCAAGAACCACAAAGUCAGCUACUACAACAAUGGUUCCAGUCUGAAUUACAUCCUUGACAAAACAAGGUAUUCAAACAAUCCAGAAUGCAAGCAGAGGCACAAAAAGGACUUACAACCCAGAUGUUGUCCACACCACCGAGCACAGUAGCAGCCAGCUUGGAUCUGAAGGGGUUCCACACCCUAUACUCAACCUUGGAUGCGUCCUCGUUCUGUACAAUUAACAAAACAGCAAUAAACAUCAGUCUACUGCAUGUGUAGAACAGUCACGAACAUCAAUUCAAAUCAGCACCAAUAAGUGCAUCUCUCAGCCAGGACGGGUGCAUCAUAAGUUUACAAGGAAAUAACUUAUAAUGAAAACAUCUUUGCUUAAUCCCCCUGGAUGGAUAGGAAUAAUGCAACCAAGGCCUAAGUACCUAACUACUAGUAUCUACUAACGAUAGAUACAGAUAGCAAGAUAUAUGCAUACCGCAUACCAGAUACAACAUAUAAUGAUCAGUGUGUAGUGUAUAUAUUCUGGUGAGUGUGUAGUGUGUAGUGUAUAUAUUCUGGUGAGCCAGUAUUGAUCCAGUAUGAAAGAUCUAACAUAGAACAAUCAUUUUUUCCCUCUAUGGAAAUACAAUGGUAGCAUCCAGAGGCAAAUACAAUACUUAGUGAUUAAUUACUACUGUGCAUGAAAACAUGAAUGUACACGAGACUUUGCAAACUGGAUAGACUUUGCCAACCAUAACAGAGAACUAAAUCUUGUUUAAAUUGUCCCGCAGAAGUUCAUAGAAAAUUUGGAUGACUAUUUGGCAAAAAAAAUCAAAAGGGGCUGCUCAUCUUGGCAGAGGAAUUCAUGGCCAAUGACUGGGAGGAGGGGAGGGGGCACGAACGAGGGUCCUUCACCUGAUUGGGUCGUCGGCCGGAGUGGGGCGCGCGUUCGCCGGAGUGGUGCCCUGGUCGGACCGAUCAAGAGCUGCUGCGAGGGAGGACCCGCUCCCUAGGAGUCGCGUCAGAGGAUGGAGAAGCGGCGGAAGAUGGUCUCCUACCCGCCGUCCAAUGUGGCCGGAGCUAGCCGCGAUGAGGAGCCAGAGACCGGCGGCGGCCUCUCCUUCAACUGCGCCUAGACCUCGUACACCUUGGCCAGCCUGUCCUUCAAUUGCGCCUGCGUACAAGCACACGAGCGCUUCAGAAUCACUGACGAAAUUCAAUAGAGCCAAGGAACGAGAGGAAGGGGGCGAGAUCUCGAACCUUGGAGACCUUGGCGGACUCACCGGGCCGCCGCUCAUCGCCGCCCCGGCCGCAGCCGUCAUCCCCGCUACGCCUCCUCCUCCUCCUCCUCCUCCUCCUCCUCCUCAGAUCGUCCGCAUCAAGCAGAUCUAGCCCCGCGCAGCCGUGGUGCGCGCCAGCGAUCUGGCGUGCGGUGGAAGAGCAUGAACUGCUUGCAGGCGAGCAGGCGGUUGGUCAUGCAUGAACUUGCGGGUGCGCAAGGGAGCGGGAGCGGCAUCCGCGAUGGGGAAAAGGGAGCGGGAGCGGCUAGGGGCGACGCCUCUCUCUCUCUCCGGUGAGGGAGGCGGACGGUGGUCGAUCUAAAUUGGGUUAGGCGGGCGGACGGUGGUUGAUCUGAAUCGGGGGAGAGGAUGAGAGGGCAUCAAUGGGAGUUAGGGUAGGAAGAGAUGGUGAGGUGAGGGAGGGAUGAGGUCGGCGGUGGUGGGUGAGGAGGAUGGUGAGGCGUGCGGUGGGUGGGAGAGGACGGGGACGGGGAGGAGGUGGUGGCGGCGGCUGCAGGGAGAUUGGGAGCAAAGAGGAGGGGUGCGAUGGGGGGAUCUGAUCUAGGGUUUGGGCUGCGGGGGUAUCUAUUUUUCUUUUUUUUCUGUAGAUAGAUGGAUGGAUGGAUGGAUGUGGGAUGGAGAUAGGGAUGGAUGGAUGGAUGGGCACCAUGUCGUCGAUCCAUGGGAAGAGUUUUGAUUGGUCCGGAAAAUCAGUGAUUUAAAAUAGAGCUAUUUUGUGAAGCAGCUAUCAAAAGUAUUUUGCAAACGGGCAUCACAUAAAUUUUCACUCAAGUUAGACCACAUUUUAUGGAUGAGCACUAAUUUGUAUGCAUUUCUGAUCUUUGUAGUUAUUUUUAAUCAUUUUUCGAGUGUCCAAAAUAAGAUUUUUUGUGAAGGACCUAUAAUAUAUUUGUUGUAAAAUUGGACCAAAUCAAUUUUCUAAAAUACUAGGCCAUGUUUAAUGCACAAUUGACUAAAUGGUUGGGUGUCAAAAGUUUUGAUCCACCUCUGGUGAAAAAGACAAAUUCCUUCCGAUUCAGUUGGAAGCGGGUCAAAUUAGAACUGCAACUGCCUCAUAGUUUGCUCUUUAUUUUUUUCCAAAAAUCAUUUCUAGGUACAUAAGUAUCUAUUCAAUCAGAGAAACACCAAAAAUUGUCCAAGAUUCAACCACUAGCUAGGAACGGUCAUGCCCGCUGUUUUGACCGCAUUUUGAAACGGGCAUAAGAAAUUCAAAAAAAAUCAAAAAACUGGAAAACCUUCGCAUUGUGUCAUUAUAUGUGGCCAAGUUACCAGGAAAAAUAACAAACUUGUACUACGAUAAUUAUUUUUAAAGGUGUUCUUAGAAACGAGCUAUCAUGCGUGAAGAUUCAUGGCUUUCAAGCCAAAUGAUCAAUCUUAUGGCCACAUUCAUGGAAUAGUUUGUUAAAAUGAUCUCAUAUUGUGCAAAAAGGUGCAUCUUGGAAUUCCAAACAAUGUUGCACAAUGGAGUUUCCAUUUUCUUUGCACAGAAAAUUCAUUUUCCAUUUUUUGAGUGCCCGAAAUGAGUUUUUUUAAGGAGCUACCAUAUAUUUGUUUCAAAAUUGGACCUAAUCAAUUUUAUAAAAUACUAGGACAUAUUUAAUGCACAAUUGACAAAAGAAAAAAGUCCAUUUUACUACCCUGAACAAAGUGGGUGGUUCACAUUACCCCCUGAUCUAUUUUUCGGUUCCUUUACCCCCCUAAAAAAUCUCAUACCAGACAAAAAACACCCUAGGUGGUUUACCCAGACCGGAUGGUGACGUGGACAUGGUCAAAGGUGGUAUUUGACCUGCGGGUGGGUCCCACUCGUCAGUUAAAAAAAAUCAAAGAAAUAGAAGAAAAAAAGGGAGGCCCCUACUGCAGUGGCAGCCGGACACAGCGGCGGCGGCCAGUGCGUGCGGCACCGGCAGGCGGCCGGGCCGGUGCCGGGGCGGGCGGAGACAGCGUGCGCCGAGCGGGGGAGGUCGGGCGNNNNNNNNNNNNNNNNNNNNNNNNNNNNNNNNNNNNNNNNNNNNNNNNNNNNNNNNNNNNNNNNNNNNNNNNNNNNNNNNNNNNNNNNNNNNNNNNNNNNNNNNNNNNNNNNNNNNNNNNNNNNNNNNNNNNNNNNNNNNNNNNNNNNNNNNNNNNNNNNNNNNNNNNNNNNNNNNNNNNNNNNNNNNNNNNNNNNNNNNNNNNNNNNNNNNNNNNNNNNNNNNNNNNNNNNNNNNNNNNNNNNNNNNNNNNNNNNNNNNNNNNNNNNNNNNNNNNNNNNNNNNNNNNNNNNNNNNNNNNNNNNNNNNNNNNNNNNNNNNNNNNNNNNNNNGUGCGCGAGGGCAGAGCGGGGGCAGUCGGAGCCGGCGGGCGGCCGGGGACGACGGCGCGAGCAACGCACGGGGGCGGAUGGGAACGACGGCGCAAGCUCGGGGAGGAGGUAGGGCGGCGCAGGCGCACGGCCGGAGCUGCGAUGGGGCGGACGACGACGGAGCCAACGCCGCGGAGGGCGAGGGGAGGCCGAGUGGGGUGCGGCGACCGGGGCGAGCUCCUUCGAGCGGCGUCGGGUUCCCGAAGAGAGAGAGGGAGGGAGGGAGAGAGAGAGAGAGAGAGAGAGAGAGAGAGAGAGAGAGACCUGACAAUUGGGCCCCAUCCAGGUCAAAACCGUCGUUGACUAGUGCCACAUCAGUAGCGGGUGGACACAAAACCAGCUAGGGGGGUGUUCUGUCCGGUUUUGGUUUGUUUGGGGGGUAGAACAAGCCGAAAAAUAGAUCAGGGGGUAAAGUGAACCACCCACUUUAUUCAGGGUAGUAAAAUUGACUAUUUUCUUGACAAAAUGGUUGGGUUUCAAAAGUUUUGAUCCACCUCUAGUGAAAAAGAUAAAUUUCCGUCGAUUCAGCAGGAAGCGGGUAAAAUUUGAACUGCAGCUACCUUAUUGUUUGCUCUAUAUUUUUUCCAAAAAUCAUUUCUAGUUACUUAAGUAUCUAUUUAAUCAGAGAAACACCAAAAAAAAUCCAAGAUUCAACCACUAGCUAGGAACGGUCAUGCCCGCCGUUUUGACAGCCUUUUGAAACGAGCAUACAAAAUUCAAAAAAUUGGAAAACCUCUGCAUUGUGUCAUCAUAUGUGACCAAGUUUCCAUAAAAAAUAAUAAACUUGUAAUACGGUAAUUAUUUUAAAAAAGUGUUCUCAGAAAUGAGCUAUCAAGCCAAAUGAUCAAUCUUAUGGCUACAUUCAUGGCAUAGUUUAUUCAAAUGACCUCAUAUCAUGCACAAGGGUGCAUCUUGGAAUGACAAACAAUGUUUCCUAAGGAACUUUUCAUUUUCUUUGGAUGAAAAAUUCAUUUUCCAUUUUUUCGAGUGCCCAAAAUGAGUUUUUUUGUGAAGGACCUACCAUAUAUUUGUUGCAAAAUUGGACCUAAUCAAUUUUAUAAAAUACUAGGCCAUAUAUAAUGUACAAUUGACAAAAUGGUUGGGUGUCAAAACUUUUGAUCCACCUCUAGUGAAAAAGACAAAUUCCCGCUGAUUCAGUUGGAAGCGGGUCAAAUUUGAACUGUAGCUACCUCGUAGUUUGCUCUUUAUUUUUUCCAAAAAUCAUUUCUAGGUACAUAAGUAUCUAUUUAAUCAGAGAAACACCAAAAAAACUCCAAGAUUCAACCACUAGCUAGGAACGGUCAAGCCCGGCGUUUUGACCGCAUUUUGAAACAGGCAUAAAAAACUCAAAAAAAUCAAAAAAUUGGAAAACCUCUGCAUUGUGUCAUUAUAUGUGACCUAGUUUUCAGGAAAAAAUAAUAAACCUGUAAUACGGUAAUUAUUUUUAAAAAGUGUUCUCAGAAUUGAGCUAUCAUGUGUGAAGAUUCAUGGCUUUUAAAGUCAAAUUAUCAAUCUUAUGGCCACAUUCAUGGCAUAGUUUGUUCAAAUGACCUCAUAUCGUGCACAAGGGUGCAUUUUGGAAUGACAAACAAUGUUUCCUAAGGAACUUUUCAUUUUCUUUGGACGAAAAAUUCAUUUUCCAUUUUUUCGAGUGCCCAAAAUGAGUUUUUUGUGAAGGACCUACCAUAUAUUUGUUGCAAAAUUGGACCUAAUCAAUUUAAUAAAAUACUAGGCCAUAUAUAAUACACAAUUGACAAAAUGGUUGGGUGUCAAAAGUUUUGAUCCACCUCUGGUGAAAAAGACAAAUUUCAGUCGAUUCAGUUGGAAGCGGGUCAAAUUUGAACUGCAGGUGCCUCAUAGUUUGCUCUUUAUUUUUUCCAAAAAUCAUUUCUAGGUAAAUAAGUAUCUAUUUAAUCAGAAAUACAUGGUUUGAUGGCAAGACAUCGAGGUUUGGACGGUGGCCGAGGGCCCCAACUCUAGAGCGCAUACGCUUGCAUGACGUCGCGUGGUCACCGCGUGACAGUGGUGUUGCCGUGCGUUAUGGGCGGCCUAGGCAUGUAUAGUGGGUUGGGCACUCCCCAGAUAGGUGCUAGGAAGAAAAUUAUAACAUAAGAUUCUCAUGAGGAGACCGAACUAUGCUCAAACAUGAAUUAGCAGCCAAGUGUUUGAUUAGCGGUACGGGAAAUGCACAAUGCCAAUGGGCGUGCGUUUUGGCUGAGGAUGAUCAUAUACUAAGAAGAAUGUCUUCACAAAUUUUUAGGGAAAUCAAGAAUAUAUAAAUAACACUUCCUUCACAAAGUGCUGCUCUGAACAGAAUAGGAAAAUGAAUAUUGUUGAGUUAUUUUUGAACUAGGCAAGAAAGGUUUUUGACAUAUUUGAUGAAGAUGUGAUCCAAAAAAUUUAUGAGAAUUUUUUGGGAAUUUUUGGAAUAACAGAAAUAUAGGUUGCUUCACAACCUAGGGCAAAAAUUGACACAUGGACAUGACACAUAGGCAAAACUGAUGAGAUGGCGCCUAGUCAUCACAACCCACCACAAUCUACAAGGCUAUGACCAUCUAUAUUGGUCGUUAACAACUAGAAAUAAGGCAGCAGACCAACACUGUUUGCUUUAUGACCAUUUCGUGUAAGGAAAUUACGACCUUUCUGACCAAAAUGGUCGCAAUGGUUUAGGGUUUGGAGCCCCCCGAACAGCUUUUGACCAAUUGGUCUCAAAUGGUCAUAGGUCUAUGACCAAUUCUUCCAGGGUCACCGACAGAAGGUCACUAGUUGACAUAUUUCUUGUAGUGGCGGUGCCCGAGAGGCCCACAAGACAUAGGGGCGUGCCCAGGGGGCUUGUAGCCACCCCAAAGGUUGGUUGGAGGUAUUAUUCGGACGCAAGGAAGCUAAUAUCCAGAUAAAAACUGUGUUAAAAUUUCAGCCCAAUCGAAAUUACAGAUCUCCGGGAAUUUAAGAAAUGGUGAAAGGCCAGUAUCUAAGAGCUCGUAAACAAAAAGAAAACACACACACACACACACACACACACACACACACAUAUAUAUAUAUAUAUAGAGAGAGAUCCAAUCUCGGAGGGGCUCCCGUCCCUCCGCCGCCAUGGAGGCCAUGGACCAGAGGGUAAACCCUUUUCCCAUCUAGUGGAAGGUCAAGGAAGAAGAAGGAGGGGGGAUCUCUCCCCCUCUUUCCCGGCGGCACCGGAACGCCGCCGGUGCCAUCAUCGUGACGGCGAUCUAGACCAACAACUUCGUCGCCGUCAUCACCAACUCUCUCCCCCUCUAUGCAGUGGUGUAACACCUCUUGUCCCCGCUGUAAUCUCUACUUAAACAUGUGCUCCAGGCUAUAUAUUAUUUCCCAAUGAUGUAUGGCUAUCCUAUGAUGUUUGAGUAGGUUCGUUUUGUCCUAUGGGUUGAUUGAUGAUCGUGAUUGGUUUGAGUUGCAUGUUUUAUUAUUGGUGCUGUCCUAUGGUGCUCUCCGUGUCGCGCAAGCGUGAGGGAUCCCCUUUGUAUGGUUUGCAAUAUGUUCAUAAUUUACUUAUGGUGGGUUGCUACAGUGACAGAAGCUUAAACCCGAGUAAAUAGGUUGUUUGCGUAUGGGAGUAAAGAGGACUUGAUACCUUAUAAUGCUAUGGUUGUGUUUUACCUUAGUGAUCUUUAGUAGUUACGAUGUUUGCUAGAGUUCCAAUCAUAAGUGCAUAUGAUCCAAGGAGAGAAAUUAUGUUAGCUUAUUCCUCUCCCUCAUAUAAAAUUGCAAUAAUGAUUACUGGUCUAGUUAUCGAUUGCCUAGGGACAAAUCACUUUCUUGUGACAAAAAGCUUUGUACUAAAACUAACUUAGUUGUUUAUUUAUCUAAAUAGCCCCUAGUUUUUAUUUACGUGUUCUUUAUUAUCUUGUAAACCUAUCCUAUCACACCUACAAAGUACUUCUAGUUUCAUACUUGUUUUAGGUAAAGCGAACGUCAAGUGUGCAUAGAGUUUUAUCGGUGGUCGAUAGAACUUGAGGGAAUAUUUGUCCUACCUUUAGCUCCUCGUUGGGUUCGACACUUAUUUAUCGAGAUAUGCUACAACUGAUCCCCUAUACUUGUGGGUUAUCAAGACCUUUUUCUGGCGCCGUUGCCGGGGAGCAAUAGUGUAGGGUGAAUAUUCUCGUGUGUGCUUGUUUGGUUUAUCACUAAGUAGAUUUUAUUUGCUGUUCUAAGUUGUUCUCUAUCUUUAGUUAUGGAUAUGGAACACGAAAUACAAAAAAAUAGGUGUACUUGCUACUCAUGGAGAUGGGGAACCUCCUAAAAUCCUCGAUGCUCAUUAUGUGAAAGAUAUUAUGCACUACUUUAAUAAUCCUGAGAAAGCCCCAUUCAAUUAUAUAAUGAGAGACAUGUUGUAUCAACGUGAAUACUUUAGGGAUUAUCCCUUGACUCAGAAAAUGAAACUAUUAUGGGAUAAAAAUUCAUAUGUUGCAUUGGUAUGCUUGGAUUUUAUGCCAGAGAUAUGAUUAUACUUGUUGCUCUAGGAUGAAGGCUCCACACCUUCCCUUCUCAUGUAAAUUUAAUGAUAAUAAAACCUUGGCUUCUUAUGCUAAUGGUAUAUAUGAUUACUAUGAUGUGGAACAAAUAGAAGAAUUCGUUGCUUUUAAGGGUGCUUAUGAAAUUGAAUCUUUGUUUGGAAAGUAUGAAACCCUUGAUGAUGAUGUUUAUAGGCCUGAAAAUUUUGUUAUACUUAAAUAUUGCAAUGAGAAUUAUGAAUACAAUGCCGAUAUUGAUGCAUUUAUUGAGAAAGUCUCCGCUGUCCAAGAAGAGACUAAUAUUUUGCAGGUAUCUAUGGAAGAAGAAAUUGAUGACACUAUGAGGUCAUUGGAUGAAAAAGAUGAUGAGGAGAGCGAAGAACAAAAGGAGGAAGAGAGGAUAGAUCACCCGUGCCCAGCUUCUAAUAAGAGUAUCUCUUCAACUCAUACAUUUUUUUAAUUUCCCUUGGUGCUUACUGAAGGAUGAUUGCUAUGAUAAUUGCUAUGAUCCCUUUGAUUCAUUUGAAAUAUCCCUUUUUGAUGAACUUUAUGCUUGCUAUGCUUGUGGCCAUGAUGCCAAUAUGAAUUAUGCUUAUGGAGAUUAAUUUGCUAUAGUUCCUUAUGUUAAGAAUGAAAUUGUUGCAAUUGCACCUACGCAUGAUAGUCCUACUAUCUUUUUGAAUUCUCCCAACAACACUAUACCGGAGAAAUUUGCUCUUAUUAAGGAUUAUAUUGAUGGGUUGCGUUUUGCCGUUACACAUGACGAUUUUGAUAGAUAUAAUAUGCAUGUGCUUGCUGCUCCUACUUGCAAUUAUUAUGAGAGAGGAACUACAUCUCCACCUCUCUAUGUUUCCAAUACGAUAAAAUUGCAAGAAACUGCUUAUGCUAUGGAUUAGCCUUUACUUUGUGUUCAUGAGUUGUUCUUUUAUGACAUGCCGAUGCAUAGGAAGAGAGUUAGACUUCGUCAUUACUUGAUAUAUGUUAAUUUGUGCUCAUAACUAAAUCACGAAUCAUUUUUAAUUAAAAUAGGCUUUGAUAUACCUUGGGAUCCGGGUGGAUCCAUUACUUUAGCACUAUAUGCCUAGCUUAAUGGCUUUAAAGAAAUCGUUACCAGGGAGACAACCUGGAAGUUUUAGAGAGUAAUUUAUUUCUGUUGAGUGCUUUUAUAAAGUUUAAAAACAAAAAUAAAUAAAGUGGGGAACCUAAAACUUUUCAAAAAGGAAAGUGAAAGUAAGAAAGAUGAACACCGUUGAAGUGGGGGACGUCCUUGAACUUUGUUCAUGCCUAUGGAAACUUUGUGAAUCUCAUUGUAUAAGCCAUGGAGAAGUUAGAGUACAGUAGUUAUAAUGCAAAAAUAAAAUAUGAAUGGGUUUGCAAUAGUACUUAAAGUGGUAAUUUGUUUGAUUAUACUAACGGAUCUCACGAGGGUUUUGUUAUGUUUUGUGUGAUUGAAGUUUUCAAGUUUUCGGUGAGAUCACGAUGGAUGAAGGAAUAAGGAGUGGCAAGAGCCUAAGCUUGGGGAUGCCCGAGGUACCCCAAGGUAAUAUUCAAGGACUCCCAAGGAACUAAGCUUGGGGAUGCCCUGGAAGGCAUCCCCUAUUUCUUCUAACGAUCAUCAGUAAUUUUACUUGGAGCUGUAUUUUUAUUAUUCGUCACAUGAUAUGCGUAAAUCUUGGAGCGUCGUGUGCUUUUUAUUUUUCUUUUUUUGUUUAUUUACUAUGCUGGUAUGAGAUAGUCCUCGGUUGAUUUAUAGAAUGCUUCAUGCACUUCACUUAUAUCUUUUGCAUAUAUAUGGCUUUAUAGAAUACUUCAUGUGCUUCACUUAUAUCAUUUGAAGUUUGGAUUGCGCAUUUCCCUUCACAUAGAAAACCGCCAUUUGUAGAAUGCUCUUUUGCUUCACUUAUAUUUUUUAGAGCGUGGGCAUAUCUUUUGUAGAAAUAAUUAAACUCUCUUGCUUCACUUAUAUCUAUUUAGAGAGUUAACAUGAAUUGGUCAUUCACAUGGUUAGUCAUAAAAUCCUACAUAACUUGUAGAUCACUGAAUAUGAUAUGUUUGAUUCCUUGCAAUAGUUUUGCGAUAUAAAGAUGAUGAUAUUAGAGACAUGCUUGUGAGUAAUUGUGGAUUGGUAGAAAUAUUUGUGUUAAGGUUUGUGAUUCCCGAAGCAUGCACGUAUGGUGAACCGUUAUGUGACGAAGUCGGAGCAUGAUUUAUUUUUUGAUUGUCUUCCUUAUGAGUGGCGGUCAGGGACAAGCGAUGGUCUUUUCUACCAAUCUAACCCCCUAGGAUCAUGUGUAUAGUACUUUGUUUUGAUAUAUGAUAGAUUUUUGCAAUAAGAAUGUGAGUUCUAUAUGACUAAUGUUGAGUGCAUGGAUUAUGUGCACUCUCACCCUUCCACAAUUGCUAGCCUCUCUAGUACCGCACAACUUUCGCCGGUGCAAUAAACCCACCAUAUACCCUUCCUCAAAACAACCACCAUACCUACCUAUCAUGGCAUUUACAUAGCCAUUCCGAGAUAUAUUGCCAUGCAACUUCCAUCAUCAUCAUAUACAUGACUUGAGCAUUCAUUGUCAUAUUGCUUUGCAUGAUCGUAAGAUAGCUAGCAUGAUAUUUUCAUGGCUUGUCUGUUUUUUGAUGUCAUUGUAACGCUAGAUCAUUGCACAUCCCGGUACACCGCCACAGGCAUUCAUAUAGAGUCAUAUAUGAUUCCCUCACAAGUUGGGAUGAGUCUCUGGACUUAAAGAAAAAUAAAAGAGGCCAAAGAAGCCCAAAAAAAAAGAGAGGCCAAAGAAGCCAACCAAAAAGAAAAAAAAGAAGAACAGAAAAAUAAAAAAAUGAGAGAAAAGAGAGAAUGGACAAUGUUACUAUCCUUUUUCCACACAUGUGCUUCAUAUACCAUGAUCUUCAUAAUAGAGAGUCUCCUAUAUUGUGACUUUCAUAUACUAGUGGGAUUUUUCAUUAUAGAACUUUUCUUGUAUAUUCCAAUGAUGGGCUUCCUCAAAUUGCCCUAGGUCUUCGUGAGCAAGCAAGUUGGAUGCACACCCACUUAGUUUAUUUUGAGAUUUCAUACACUUAUAGCCCUAGUGCAUCCAUUGCAUGGCAAUGCCUACUAACUCACAAUGAUAUCUAUUGAUGGGCAUAUCCAUAGCCUGUUGAUACGCCUAGUUGAUGUUGGACCAUCUCCUUUUUUGUCUUCUCCACAGCCGCCAUAUUCUAUUCCACCUAUAGUGCUAUAUCCAUAGGUCACGCUCAUGUAUUGCGUGAAAGUUGAAAAUGCUUGAGAACAUUAAAAGUAUGAAACAAUUGCCUGGCUUGUCACCGGGGUUGUGCAUGAUGAAAUAAUUUGUGUGGUGAAGAUGGAGCAUAGCCAGACCAUAUUAUUUAUGUAGGGAUAACUUUCUUUGGCCAUGUUAUUUUGAGAAGACAUGAUUACUAUAUUAGUAUGCUUGAAGUAUUAUUGUUUUUUAUGUCAAAUGAUAGACUAUUGCUUUGAAUCACUCGUGUCUUAAUAUUCAUUCCAUGAUUAGAUUAUAUGAUUAAGAUUAUGCUAGGUAGCAUUCCACAUAAAAAAUUAUUUUUUUGUCAUUUACCUAUUCGAGGACGAGUAGGAAUUAAUCUUGGGGAUGUUGAUACGUCUCCAUCGUAUCUAUAGUUUUUGAUUAUUUCAUGCCAAUAUUCUACAACUUUCAUAUACUUUUGGCAACCUUUUAUACUAUUUUUGGGACUAACAUAUUGAUCUAGUGCCCAGCGCCAAUUCCUGUUUGUGCAUGUUUUUUUGUUUCACAGAAAAUCCAUAUCAAACGGUGUCCAAACGAGAUAAAAACUUACAGAGUUUUUUUUUGGUAUAUAUGUGAAUUUUGGGAAGUGGAAUAAACACAAGGCGGUGCCCGAGGAACCCACAACCCACAGGGGUGCGCCCUGGGGGGUAGGGCGCGCCCAGGGGGCUUGUGGCCACCCAGAAGGUCGGUUGGAGGUGUCCUUUGGAUGCAAGGAAGCUAAUAUUCGGAUAAAAAUCGUGUUAAAAUUUCAGACCAAUCGGAGUUAUGGAUCUCCGGGAAUUUAAGAAACGGUGAAAGGCCAGAAUCUGAGAGCGCAGAAACAGAAGGAAACAGAGAGAGAUCCAAUCUCGGAGGGGCUCCCGCCCCUCUGCCGCCAUGGAGGCCAUGGACCAGAGGGGAAACUCUUCUCCCAUCUAGGGGGAAGAUCAAGGAAGAAGAAGAAGAAGCAAGAGGGGGGCUCUCUCCCACUCUCUCCCGGUGGCACCGGAACGCCGCCAGGGCCAUCAUUGUGACGACGAUCUACACCAACAACUUCACGGCCGUCAUCACUAACUCUCUCCCCCUCUAUGCAGUGGUGUAACACCUCUUCUCCCAGCUGUAAUCUCUACUUAAACAUGGUGCUCAACGCUAUAUAUUAUUUCCCAAUGAUGUAUGGCUAUCCUAUAAUGUUUGAGUAGAUCCGUUUUGUCCUAUGGGUUGAUUGAUGAUCGUGAUUGGGUUGAGUUGCAUGUUAUAUUAUUGGUGCUGUCCUACGGUGCUCUCCGUGUCGCGCAAGCGUGAGGGAUCCCCGCUGCAGGGUUUGCAAUAUGUUCAUGAUUUGCUUAUGGUGGGUUGCUAGAGUGAUAGAAGCUUAAAACCCGAGUAUGUAGGUUGUUUGUGUAUGGGAGUAAAGAGGACCUGAUAACUUAUAAUGUUAUGGUUGGGUUUUACCUUAAUAAUCUUUAUUAGUUACGGAUGUUUGCCAGAGUUCCAGUCGUAAGUGCAUAUGAUCCAAGGAGAGAAAGUAUGUUAGCUUAUGCCUCUCCCUCAUAUAAAAUCGCAAUAAUGAUUACUGGUCUAGUUAUCGAUUGCCUAGGGACAAAUAACUUUCUUGUAACAAAAAUCUCUAUACUAAAACUAACUUAGUUGUUUCUUUAUCUAAACAGCCCUAGUGUUUAUUUACGUGUUUUUUAUUAUCUUGCAAACCUAUCCUAUCACACCUACAAAGUACUUCUAGUUUCAUACUUGUUAUAGGUAAAGCAAACGUCAAGCGUGCGUAGAGUUGUAUCAGUGGUCGAUAGAACUUGAGGGAAUAUUUGUUCUACCUUUAGCUCCUCGUUGGGUUCGACACUCUUAUUUAUCGAGAAAGGCUACAAAUGAUCCCCUACACUUGCGGGUUAUCAACCACCAGCCUCAGAAAGACCAUCGCCACCUUAAGAUCCAGACUCUGAGUCACCGACACAACCCCGGAGUUCGCUGCUGUCGAUCAAGAGGGGCCGCCGCCCCAAUUCCGUGCACUACAGGGAGCACCCACUGUCGCGCCAGCCACUGUCGUCGCCCAUGCAACGGCAACAGCUGCCGCGAUCCCGCAUCUAGCGUCGUGCACGCCAGAGGAAGCUCCCGCCGCCGCGCGCAUCCUGCAACAUCCCUGGGAGCGGGAUCCCAAGAUCCGCCACCACCAAUGCCGCCACAAGGACACACCACCUGGGCCAUCAUCCCCGGCAGAGGGGACGCCGCCGCCGCCAUGACCGGAGCCGUGUCUCCAAGGAUCCAUCACUGUUGAUUGGACACAUCCUCACCCUACAUACGAAGCCGCCGGAGCAACACCGAACCACCGGGAAAGAGGAACUCCGGAUUGGAUCUCGCGCCGCCAGUCCCUGCAGACCUCUGGGCUGCAGCCCAGAUCCCCGUCGUCCUCAUCACCGGUGGCGCCCGGGCCUUGCCAGCGUCCGCCUCUGGGGACGACGAGGUGGAAGAGAGGGGGAAGGUGGCGGCGACCAGGGAGCUAGCCCCCCCCCCUCCCCCGAUCGCCCUGGAAGGAGCGAGCGAGGGUGAGCUUUACCACAACUUGGCAAUACAAAUUUAUUGCAUCAUCAAAUAAUAUUACGAGCCAAAUACUUUCCAGGCAAUGGUAUAGCACAUGCUGUAAACUUGCCCACAUGACCGCAUUUUCUUAUGUCCACGUGUUUUUCAAGUGUUGCCAUCAAAAUCAACACGUAUUGCAACAACAGUACCAGCCAAUCAAUGCGCAUUGCCUUCGGCUGAUUUGAAGUGAUAUUUCCAAUUACCAAAAUCUUUGACCAUAUAAAUUUUCAGAGAAAUGAUAUUGACAUUAUGCAACACAAAGAGUUUGUCAUAAAGUUGAAGGACACAAGAUAGGUGGUAGGAAGUAACCGAUGGUUUUCCCACAAUCAAGGAGGAUAGUGUCUGCAUGUACGGUUGCAUAGCAGGAUGCAGCCCUAUAAAUUCAAAAACACGUAGAGCAGCUAGCAAGGGCCUUUGGUUUCCAGAUUUCGGUGAUGCUGGCACAAUGCCAUAGCCUCAAUUUCAUCUCCACAUUUCUAGGGUUUGCUAGCUAGGCUUGGAAGGCAAUAGGGAACUUACACGUGCAAAUCAUGUCAGAUCAUCUGUUCCGCACUUUCAAAUGCGCACGGUGUUGCCCUUGUGCCUCACUCAGAAUUGAGUUAUCAGCACCGGAGCCACACGCGAGCAAAGGAGCGGAAGCUGAACCUGCAAUCUCACACAGUUGCGAGAUAGGAGAUGAUGGACGUAAAUCAAAAAUGUUCUUUACUGUUUUCUCUCAACUAGAGUUGUGGCCCGUGCAUCCCACUUAGCCAGUGCCGUCCAUUGAGGGAUAUUGCGCCUUCCUAGAGAGUUAUGUUGAUCAUCAAGAAAGAACCGAGUGCAACUACUGCUCCGGUCAGAAUACUUGGUGGGACGCGGUGGCAGCGAAAUUCGCGAAAUAUGUGGACAUCUCUACCUUGAUUGGGAAGGUCAACUUUAAGCAUUGUUUUGGAUAAGCAAAUCAAACGGCGCAUGUGCUAGCUAGCUUUAGCUAUUGUAAUAAAGUUUUUUCUAGUUGGACCGACGAGCCUUCAAAUUGUCUGGUGAAUGGUGAGCAAGCUCAUAGACGAUGUAUCUCUAUUGAUUAAUCAAUAAAGAUAGCCAUGAUGACCUUCCUUAAAAAAACGAGUGCAGACCCAUACAAUCAUAACGCCAAACCGAUCAAGGAGCAGACAAGUAACAACCGCUUGGUUGUAGCCCACCAAGUGACAAUUAUGCAAAGUUAAAUGUAGAUGUGUCCUAUAUGGAGAGGGAUGGGUCGGCUGGUUCCGGAAUGAUAUUUCGCGACUGUCAUGGACAGGUGAUUUUCGUUGCAACACGUGUCAUGCUCAAUUUCCUAGAUCCCUUGGAGGCGGGUUUUUGCUUGCGAGGAUGGACUUCGACUGGCCCUUCAAUGGACGAACUUGCUUUAGUACUGGAGACUGAUACAGGAGCGGUAGAAUCUCUUAUUCAUGAUAUGCUCGAAAAGCCGUUCAAAUAUGGCCACCGACCGGAAGAGAUUUCUUUAGCUUUAAUCGUGACCACAAAAAAACUAGUCAUCACCUAGCCUAUGUGGCACACUUUUUGUUGGAUGGGGAACUUCAUGAAGGAUUUAGCUAAUAUGGUUGAUGAAGAUUGUAGUAGUAUUGGUUUUAUAAUCAAUGAAUUUCUUUCGGGUACUACUAUGGCGGUAAGCCAGCCAGAGAAACAAUCUGCACCGGUGAGUUGUGUAGUUCUUCACUGCUAGGAGGUCAUCUGGACAAGAUGCGAAAGCGGCUUCUUAUGUAGAAGCAACAGUAAGGGGGUUUGUCACUGAUCCUGCAAAUUCUGUUAUCCAGUACCUGCGACACUAAGUUAACAGUGGCGGAAAGGGUACGCAAGCAUUACAGCUCAGUGGCAGCAAAGUUUGACAGUGUCGGCUGCAAUGAAAGAUGUAGGUCCGCUAUAGAGAGCACGAACGCGACACAGACAUUUGUCUUUAACGUGGGAAAAAAGGUUCGCAAAGUGAACACCUAGAGUGUCAUUGCCAAUCCAAGAACAAGCCGAAACACAGUGGAGAGACCGUUGCCAAUCUUCACACGCGUAAUGGAGCGGAAGAAAGAAAUGCCAAAAGUAAGGUAUUUCCAGAAGUUGUCUGAAGUUUAUGCCUCCGAUAUGUUGAAUUAUAGAUGAGCUUUGGGCCCAUACAAAUAAUAAUUCCUGGUUAAUAUCUAAGGCUCAUAUGGGGCGCCUAACAUUGAUUGAUGGGAAGUUUAGUACCAUACUGCUACUGAAGAAGAGUUGAGACCUCUUUAUAAGGUAUUCUCUUCUUCAUGCUAACGGAGGUUGAAAAGAGGAGUGGUCACGCACGCUACUCCUCCAUUGUCCGACUCGCCACGCCUCGCCCGCAUGUCGUGUUCCGUGAACCAGCUGAGCUUAGACCUAUGUCAUGCGUGCGCUUUAUUUUUGCUAGUCAGAAACAGUUAAUUAAUCAGAUAUUAAUUACGAGUUCCUAAUGGAAGUGUCAUUGCCCAAGAUGUUGGACUGUGAGUUGUUUGCCGACUUGGUUGUGAGCCUAAGCCUAGGCAGAAGACUCCCACCUAAUGGCCUAUAUAUUGGUGGUAGUGGCAACUUCAGCGGACAUGCUCAGUUCCUCCUUGCGCAUAACCCUAGCUGUCAUAUACUAUUCCACUUAGAGCAUCUCCAGCCGUUCAGCCCCCCAGGGCGCCGAAAAAGCGCGGCCUGGGGGUGAGCCGGCGAUAAACUCGGCGCUGGGGCGGUUCGGCACCCAGCCGUCAUCCUCCAGGUCGGGCCCAGGCGCCGAUCCCAGUGUUCAGCUCAAUUAUGUCCAAAAACGGUCCGAUAUCUGCGUGAAUCGGCCCAUAUUCGGCGCGGUUCGGCGUGUUUCGGCGUGAAUUUUCGCAUACAAAUAGAAAUUAAUUAGUUUGUCACAUAGUUCGGCAUGGAUCGGCAUGUUUCGGCGUGUUUCAUCACAUAAAUCAAAUAGUUCAAUACAAAUUAUAUAGUUUAACAAAUUAAAACUCAAGUUUCAUCACACGUCAUUCCCGGCCUCGCCCUUGAGCCUUCAUAGGUGCUCCACCAGAUCGUGUUGCAAUUCUUGAUGCACCUGUGGGUCUCGGAUCUCCUGACGCAUAUUGAGGUAGUUAGUCCAGUUUGCCGGUUGCUAGUGAUCAACUUGGGCAAGAGGACCCUGCUUGUAAUAUGGUUUUGUCCCAAACAUUGGUUCUUCCUACUCGCUCCCAAUGAUCAUGUUGUGCAAGAUGACACAGCAAGUCAUGAUCUCCCACAUUUGAUCUUUCGACCAGGUUAGAGCAGGGAACCGGACAACAACAAAUCGAUAUUGGAGCACACCAAAUGCUCGCUUGACAUCCUUCAUGCAAGCCUCCUGAAUCUUGGCAAACCAGGCGUUCUUGCCCCCUGGCACAGGGUUCGAGAUGGUCUUCACAAAUGUCGACCAUCUCGGAUAGAUGCCAUCAGCUAGAUAGUACCCCUUGUUGUACUGCCGCCCAUUGACCUCGAAGUUCACCGGAGGAGAAUGACCUUCAACAAGUUUGGCAAAGACUGGGGAGUACUGGAGGAUGUUGAUGUCAUUGUGAGUUCCUGGCAUCUCAAAGAAAGACUGACAAAUUCAGAGGUCCCGUGUGGCCAUUGCCUCAAGUACCACACUGUAACCACCUUUGGUGCCUUUGUACAACCCCUGCCAAGCAAAUGGACAGUUCUUCCAUUUUCAAUGCAUGCAGUCGAUGCUUCCAAGCAUCCCAGGAAAUCCUCUUGCUGCAUUCUGUGCUAGGAUCCGAGCAGUGUCUUCCGUAUUGGGUGUACGCAAGUACUGCGGUCCAAACACUGCCACCACUGCCCUCCAGAACUUGUAGAAACACUCAAUGGUGGUGGACUCAGCCAUGCGCCCGUAGUCGUCGAGUGAAUCACUGAGAGCUCUGUAUGCAAGCAUACUCAUAGCUGUUGUGCACUUCUGGAUCGCGGUAAAUCCAAGUGUGCCGGUGCAAUCCAUCUUGCACUUGAAGUAGUUGUCAAACUCCCGGAUGGAAUUCACAAUCCUGAGGAAAAGCUUUCGGCUCAUCCGAUAACGGCGCCAAAAUGUUUUCUCACCGUGCAAUUGAGAGUCGGGAAAGUAGUCCGAGUAGAGCAUGCAGUAGCCUUCCAGACGAUGCCGGUUCUUUGCUUUCACCCGUCCAGGCACCGAGCCACCUCACCGCGGCUUUUCACUGCUCGCGAGCAGGUCGGCGAGGGCGUCGAACACCAUGAAUGCUCCUGCUCCUGGACGUCGGCUUCGGCUUCCUCCUCAUCUUCGGAGUCCAUUGCCGGGCCGGGCAAUUAACCGAACACCUUGCGGGCGAGGUGGGCGCUAGCCGGCCGGUGUACAGACCCUGCGCGGCCGAAACUCCGAAAAAAGUUGACCGGACGGCGGCGAAGAGGCUUCCUCGGCGAAACCCCUUCUUUUCCCGGCGGGAGAUGGCCUACCUAGCUGCGGUGGGCGGUGGAUGCCACCGGGAUCGGCAAGGUGGCACAGGGUGGCGGCCGAGCGUGGGGGGUAAGAGGCGAAUCUGGACAGGUGUCUUGACUUUUCGCCUGCCAAUGUGGCCCCAGGAGCGCUUUUCUCUUGCACCGGUGCCCCCGAGCGCCCCCAAGUGCGCCGGGUUCAGCCUGCGAUCGCCGGGCGCAAAAAUGGGCCGAUCCGGUGGAAUUCGGCGUCCUGGGGGCGCGACUGGGCUGUUUAUUCGGUGCCGGCACGGAAAACUCGCCUCGGGAGGCUAUUCUGGGGGCGCAGCUGGAGAUGCUCUUAUUGUUGCUACUUUCGUCGAUCCCAUCAUGUCGACCACGUGCAUGACCGUUUGGGAGAGCAGGCCUUCGAAACCCCGCCCUUUGCGAUCCUACAUUGGGAGAAGGGCAAUAAUAUAAGGUUUUUAGGGAGCGUCUCAGCACGAUUGCUCCCUGUUUGUCUUUGUGACUUUGUCCUUGUCCUAUGCUUCGACUACUUCCACGACACAGCCGUCAUGGUUGUCGACGCCGCCACCAAGAAGAAUGUUGCGGAGGAAGCCGCUGCCACCUCGGUGGCUUUAGCCUGGACUAUGAGAGGGCAUGAUCUGCUCAUCCCCUAUUUACUCAUUCAUGUGCUAUGCGUAUUUACUGUGUUCAUAGAUGUUUCGGUUCACUGUUCGGUACAUGCUCACAUGUUUAGAUAUUGGUAUGGGCUUCACACUGAUACUGCUAGCAUCAUGAUUUAUUCGUUGAUUAAAUUAAUCAAAAAAUUCUAAUAUAUCCACAAAUCCAAAAACUUUAUUUAAACAGGUACUUUUUGAUUCAAGGCUUUGCUACAACAUCGAAAUAGGGGCGGCACACAUUUUAAGCAUUAUCUUGUGGCUCACAACGAAGAAAGUGUUCUGGGUCGCUAGUGGCACUCCCACUAGAACGAUUGCCCCUGAAGAAAAGGCGUUUACGAAGGAAACCACCAUCUUUUUGUGGGAGCCAUUAUGAGUGCGAUCAGAGAUAAAUUAGUUGACGUAUGUCGGUAUAUACGGGUUGCCAAGAACUUAUGGGAUGCGCUCGAAGUUAAUUAAGUUUGGUGUAACCAAUGUUGGAAGAGAGUUGUAUGCUAUGGAGCAGUUCCAUGAUUACAUGAUGGUUGAUAGCCGUCCUAUAUUGGAUCAGGCUCAUGAGGUACAAUGCUAUCACUAAGGAGCACGAGCUCCUAAAAUGUAAGUUACCGGACACGUUUGUUGCGGGAUGCAUAAUUGCUAAACUCCUCUUCCUUGAGGUACUUUGCUACUUCUCUCAAGCAUUUGAGAUGUGAAUUCUCGGUUAAGGAUGUCAUUGGUCAUCAGAGUGAUAAGCAGAAUUCGGGAGCAAAUGACUCAUACAUGAAAGGGACCGAGGGAUCUUCUACCACAAAUAUGAUGCGGAAGAAUCUCCGCAAGUUCAACGGAAUGAACAUGGUCCAGCAGAAUACCACCUUCAAGAAGAAGGGUAAGCAGAAAGACGAAAAGAAAGAUGACUUCACUAAUCAUAGAUGUAUGGUACCAUUUUUCCAGGAGAUGCGUAGAAGAAUGAAAGAUCAUUGUGGAACAUAUCAGAACUGAAGAACAACAUGCCGACAUAUUAUAUACUAUAUAUGUAGAAUUAUAUAUAGCGUAGGAAUAUUCAAUGUCAAGAAAGAAAUGAUAUCAGUAGAGGCACAAUUAUUCCAUUUAGUUACGCUUCUCAGAAAUCUCUUCUUAAGAGUAAUACUAUAUAUGCAGAAUUAUACUCCCCCCGACCGGAAAUACUUGUCGGGGGAAUGGACGUAUCUAGUCGUAUUUUAGUGUUAGAUACACCCAUUUUUAGUCAUUUCUAUGAUAAGUAUUUCUGGACGGAGGGAGUAUCUAAUGUUAACAUUUGUUGUCUAUUACUGAGAACUAGCUAGUUUUACGUAUGUUGCUACAAAACAAUUACAAUACUAGAUAAAAAGAAUAUAAACAAUGACUAUGGGAUAUAUACUUACAUUAUCUUUUAGAAAAAGACUACACACAACAGUUCAAUCUUGCUAGUGAUAUAUAGAAUAGCAGAAGUGUGAUGGACUAUAACUUCAUAACAUAUUUGUCUAAUAUCCAAAAUUUCUGUAAUAUGGUCAGAUGGAGGGCCGCCGUCAGCGUCCGUCCACAUCCAUCGCGGGCUACCAUACAGUCGCCGAAAGUAGCCCACACGCUAACGGAGAAAUGCACGCACCGCCCUUCUGACGCUGCCCGGGUUCGAUGGUCCAAGCCUAGUUGGCACCGCCACCACCAGAAAAGCAUCACCACAACCAUGCCACCACCUUCACCGGCCGUGCAUGCCAUGGCAAAGGUUGUUGUUGUCGAAAUCGCUACAGUAGCCGCUAAUCUGAAGAAGUUCAGAGAGAGGCAGAAGGAAGAAGACAGUAGUUUUUGUGCCGCACCACAAGCUGCAGCGUUUUUUGUUAUUCCCAUCUGCUAUAUCUCUUGUUACAGCAGUUGUCAACUCGCUAGCUACCUCCCGAUCCGCUGGCCAUGAUCCGAUUCUGCCGUGCCAUCCCACGGCCUCGUCACACAGCUAUUGCGGAUCGGGAGAACAGGUAAACCGCGGGAUCGUGUGCAGAGUGCAGCACGCCCGUCCUAGCUACUUGCACGCGCCACAUGCGGCCAUGCAUUAUUAACAGAAAACAAAGCUAACUAUCGUGACAAUAGAGAUUACAAAAAGCUAACAUUUCACCCCCUUAAUCUCUUUGUCCAUCUCCAAUCUUAGCCACUCCCAGACGCUGCCGCAGCUCGAUGAACUGCACCCUGCCCAACGCCUUCGUUAGAAGAUCAGCUAGUUGGUCCUUGGUGCCCACAUGAUCAAUUUGCACUUUUCCGGCAUCCAUACAGUCACGGAUAUAGUGAAACUUGAUGUCAAUGUGCUUGCUGCGGUCAUGGUGAACAGGGUUUUUGCUUAGCUCAAUCGCUGAUUUAUUGUCCACCAUCAGUUUGAAGCUCUUCGGUGUUUCUCCCUUCAUGUCUGCUAGCAGACUGUUGAGCCAUACACCCUGACAAGUAGCUGCGCAUGCUGCCACAUAUUCUGCUUCACAAGAGGAGAGAGCGACAAUUCUCUGUUUCUGGGAGCUCCAUGUGAUCAGAUUCUUACCGAGGAAGAAGACCUGACCUGAAGUGCUCUUCCGAUCUCGAACAUCUCCCCCGUGAUCAGAAUCACUGAACCCAAGCAAGUGUGCAUCGCCAUUUCCUGCUCUGUAGGUACAGCCAUAGCUCAUUGUGCCCUUUAUGUAACGCAGAAUUUGUUUGACGGCUGCCCAAUGAUGAGUACUUGGCUUCUCCAUGAAACGGCUGACAAUCCCAACUGCAUGAGCUAUGUCAGGACGGGUAUUUACCAGGUAGCGAAGACUGCCAAUAACUCUGCGAUACAGUGUUGCAUCUGCAGGUUUACCCCCGUCUUCCUUGAUCAGCUUCAGUCUGCACUCCAUGGGAGUGGUGCAGCUGUUGCAAUCACUCAUACCGGCCACUUCCAGGAUCUUUCCGGCGUAGCUCUGCUAUUUGAGUGUGAUCACCCCAUCUCCUUGUUCCACUUCUAUGCCCAGAUAGUAACUGAGACGGCCAAGAUCGCUCAUCUGAAAUAACUGGCACAUCUGUCGCUUGAAUUCAUCGAUCUCUGUCAGGCUUGUCCUUGUGAUGACAAGAUCAUCUACAUAGACACCCACCAGCAAGAAGGAUUGCUUGUCACCGCGGCGAUACACUGCAUGCUCGAGAGGGCUGCGAGUAAAACCCAAUGACGCCAUGGAAUCAUCAAACUUUGCAUACCAUGCUCGUGGAGCCUGUCGCAGGCCAUACAGUGCCUUCCGCAACUUCAACACACUCUGCUCCUUGCCAGCGAUGACGUAUCCCGGUGGUUGUGCCACGUAAACCUCUUCACUGAGCUCGCCAUUCAGAAAUGCCGACCUUACGUCCAUGUGAUGAACUUCCCAACCAGAGUGCGCGGCGAGCGCGAGCAGCAGUCUGACAGUUUCCAUCCGUGCCACGGGAGCGAAAACUUCCUCAAAGUCCACCCCCUGACGCUGUACAUAUCCCUUGGCGACAAGACGGGCUUUGUGCUUGACGAUGUUGCCCGCCGGAUCGCGCUUGACUCGGUACACCCACUUGAGCCCGAUUGCUUUGUGUCCGGCAGGCAGCGAGACAAGCUCCCAGGUGUUGUUGUCGUUGAUGGACUGCAUCUCGCUGUCCAUGGCGCCCUUCCAUGCCUUGUCCGUGAGGGCCUCGUCCACAUCCCGCGGCUCCUCGGCACUGAACAAGCAGCGCACGAGCAAGCAGCAGUCGAACUGGUCGUAGACGGCCUCCUCCUCCGUGUCUGCCAUCACCUCGGACGUCCGCCGGUAGCGGCGUGGUUGCCCACUCUCCACGUCACACCCGUCGUCGUGCGGGAGUGGCAUGACCCACUUUGCAUCUCGAGUCGCCACGGGUGUGUUCAACUCUGGUGAAUUUGGCUCCGCCGCUGGAGUGGAGGGCCCGGCGUCAUGCGUGCCCGGAGUGCGCGACACCGGCGUCGCGGGCGCCGCGGUCGUCACGGAGCGCGGCGUGCAGGUGAACGUCUCUCCCGUGUCGACCUCCGUGGUGCCGUGCUCGGUGAUGUACUCGACGGUGAAUGUGCGCGGCGCGCUGACCACGCUCGGCGCGCUGUGAGCCUCCCAGUUCCACGGCCUGCUCUCCUCGAACAGCACAUCACGCGUCACCUGCACCUUGUUAGUACUGGGAUCAUACACCCUGUACCCUUUUGUGCCUUCUUCGUAGCCAACAAACACCAUGGGCGUUGAGCGAUCGGAGAGCUUUGUGAUGCCGGGGCCGGUUCUCUUGACAUGCACCGUGCAGCCAAAUGUGUGCAUGUGCUGCACCGUGGGCGGUCGUCCGCGCCAUGCUUCGUAUGGCGUCACUCCGGUGAGGCUUCUCGUCGGCGUCCUGUUGAGGAUGUACACGGCCGUCCUCACCGCCUCCGCCCAGAAGAGCGCUGGCAUGGCCAUGCUCUUUAGCAUGCACCGUGCCAUCUCGACGACGGUUUGGUUGCGGCGUUCGACAACCCCGUUUUGUUGGGGCGUGUACGGGGCAGUGGUGAAGUGCUUGACGCCGUGGUUGAUGCAGAACUCCCCAAAUUCGCCGGAGUUGAACUCGCCGCCCCGGUCCGACCGGAACGCGCGCAGUUUGCAGUGCCCCUCCGCCUCGGCUAUGGCCUUGAUCCGUUUGAAACGGUCGAACGCUUCAUCCUUCGACUUCAGAAGCUCCACCCACAUAUAGCGGCUGUGAUCGUCAACGACGAGGAUAAAAUACUUGUUACCUCUCGGCGUCGCUGGCGAUAUCGAACCGCACAAGUCGGUGUGGACGAGCUCCAGGCCCUUUUCCGCUCGGUACUCCGUGGCCCGCGGGAACGACGAUCUGUGCUGCUUCCCGAGCACGCAACCAUCGCAGUACUCCGCCACGCGGUCGAUCUCCGGCAUGCCCUUGACCAUGCCAUUGGUGGACAUGGCACGCAGCGCCCGGAAGUGAAGAUGACCCAGGCGUGCAUGCCACCGCCAGGUCACGUCGUUGCUCUUCGAGAGCAAACAGGUGGGCGUGUCGAUCGUGAGUACGCCGGUGUACAGGCGCGUCGCCGUGCGCUUGACGCGGGCUAGGACGCGCCGCGCUGAAUCCUGGAUCGUCAUGAUGCCGUCCUUGAUGUCGACCGUGCACUCGCCCUCAUCGAGCUGACCCAUGGAGAGUAUGUUACACCGCAGGCUCGGGAUGUAGAACACCCCAGUGAGUGCCCGCUGGUCACCACUCUGGCCGCGGAACACGACGGAGCCACGUCCGCGUAUCGCCACGGUCGAUCCGUCCCCGAACUUGACAGUGCCAUGCACGGUCUCGUCCAGCGUCGCGAACACGUGCCGCUCGCCAGUCAUGUGGCUGCUCGCCCCUGUGUCGAAGUACCACACGCCCUCCGGCGAUGGCACGGGGACGAGCUUCUCCUCGUUGAGGUAGACGGCCUGCGGCGCGACGACGUGGGUGGUGCUGAUGCCGGUGACCAUGGCCAUGAACAGGCCCUGGUCGUGUUCGUCGCCGGCGCGCACUAAGUUGGCAUGUUCUCGCUUGCCCGCUUGUUCCUGCUCCCGCAGCCAGGUCCUGCACUCCUUCUUCCAGUGCCCUGGGAUGCCACAAUGGUGGCACUUUCCUUUCUUUUUCUUGCCGCCGGAUCCGCCAGAGCCGCCUGACCCGAUGUUGCCCGGUAUGCUCUUGCCAGCGCCCUGGGCCUUGGCCUUGCCGUUCGCCUUGCUCUUGCUGGUGUUGCCGCCGCCACCGCUUGACGACGAGCCUCCGCCGCCGCCCGCCUUCUCACGGGCCAGCCACUCCUCAUGAGUGAGCAAGAGACGCCCGGCGUUCUGCGCUCCAUCGUCGAGGUCGUAGUGGUCCUCGCAGGCGGAGAGGCGGCCGACGAGCUCCUCGAUGGUCAUGGUUUUCAGAUCGAUCAGGGACUCAAUCGCCAUGGCCAUCGGGCGGUACCUCCGCGGCACCACGCGAAGAAAUUUCUGCACCGCCUUGUGUUCGGAGACCGUGUCGCCGUACAGCUUGAGAUCGGCGACAAGGGCCGAAAGCCUCAGCCCGAAGUCCUCGACGGACUCGCCGUCCUUGAACCUGAGAUCUUCGAACUCCCGCCGGCGCACCUGCGCCUUGGCCUCGCGAGCGCGCUCGCUGCCCAUGCGCAUGGUCUUGAUUGUCUCCCAUGCCUUCUUCGCUGUGUCCUUGGCGGCCAGCACGCGCAGCAUCUCCGGCGGGACGCCGGUAAGAAGGAUCUGCAGCGCGCGCCGGUCAUCAUUCUCGUCGGCGGCGGCGUCGGUCACCGCAGGCCAGACGCGGGCGACCUGCAGCUUUACCUGCAUCACCAGCGCCCACUCCUGGUAGUUGGUGCGCGUCAGCAUCAUCGACGUCCCCGUCUCCUCGCGCACGACGCGCUCCACCACGCGGACCACGCCGCUGCCGCUGCCGGUGAGGCGCGCGAGCGGCGCCUUGGACGGCGGUGACUUGCUCUUCUUCUCCUCCGUUUCCGAGUCCGACAUGACCGCAGUGGAUCAAAGACCACUCGAUCAACCAGGCGCAAGAUCAAACACCUGCUGCUCUGAUGCCAACUGUUGUUGUCGAAAUCGCUACAGUAGCCGCUAAUCUGAAGAAGUUCAGAGAGAGGCAGAAGGAAGAAGACAGUAGUUUUUGUGCCGCACCACAAGCUGCAGCGUUUUCUGUUAUUCCCAUCUGCUAUAUCUCUUGUUACAGCAGUUGUCAACUCACUAGCUACCUCCCGAUCCGCUGGCCAUGAUCCGAUUCUGCCGUGCCAUCCCACGGCCUCGUCACACAGCUAUUGCGGAUCGGGAGAACAGGUAAACCGUGGGAUCGUGUGCAGAGUGCAGCACGCCCGUCCUAGCUACUUGCACGCGCCACAUGCGGCCAUGCAUUAUUAACAGAAAACAAAGCUAACUAUCGUGACAAUAGAGAUUACAGAAAGCUAACAAAGGUGGCCACCUGCAUCCCGCACUUCCCGGAGAAUGGAUCUGCUGAACCACACUAGUAGAAAAAGGGUCUAAUGUGCAGUUCAUUAGUCCCGGUUUGAAAUUGAGCCGGCACUAAUAUGACCAUUAGUGCCGGUUCUAACGGCUAGGCGGGCCGCUCCCUUUAGUACCGGUUCGUGCGGAACCUUUAGCACCGGUUCGUGCCACGAACCGGUAUUAAAGGGUAUGAUGGCAGGAUGUUGUCAGACUGGGGCACGUCCAGCACCUUUAGUACCGGUUCUUGUCACGAACCGGUACUAUAGGUCAUCCUGCAUAUAAACCCUUCAUCCAACUCGCUCUGUUCUUUCCCCUUUCCCCUCUCCUUCUCUCUGUUCUUCCUCUUCUCCCCUCGAACUCAUCACACAUUUUGCCAAAAUUUUGUCAAGAUUUGAAGGCCCCCAUCCAUUCAAGUGAUCACAAAGGUUAGCAACUUUGUUCUUUCAUCUUUCAUUGCUAGAUUAGCUCUUGCAAUGCUUUAUAUAGUGAUUGAUUUGUGGGUUUUAGUAAUUUGGGAGGAAUUAUAUGUGGUACUACAUUUGAUUUAUAUGCAAUUUGAGCUUAAAAUAACUCUUACUUUGUAUAUGUAUGUGUGGUUUACUUAGUUCCUUCUCGUCUUCGUCGUAACCACCGUCGAUUGUCCGCACCGACCCGUCGCCGGCACCACCUUGUGGUGAGCCUCUUGUUCUUAUCCUUUUUAUAUAAAAAAAUCAUGUUUUGUAUCAUUUAGAUAUAUAGUUACUUGUAUAAUUAUCUUACACGUACGUUGUUUGUUAUACAUAGUGCAAUGGUUUUUUGAUAUCCGUCCCCGUCGGCCCUCGUCCGUGUUAUGAUUCGGAUGUGGUAUAUUUUCUUUUAAAACUAUUUGUUGCAUUUCGUGUUUAUGACAAAUUGUGCCCAUCAAGUUGACAUAGAUAUUUUUAUCUAGUAGGUAUGUGAACUGGAAAUUCCAACCGACCCUAUUGUCGAGAAGUUAAAUUUAGUUGAAAGAGAAAAUGAGUAUUUGAAAGAAAAAUUGAAAAGAAUUGAAGGGGAGAAGAUGGAAUUGAAGUUGCAUGUUGCCGAUGUCGUCGAUGAUCACAAGAUCAAGAUGGAGAAAAUGCGGUUGAAGAUUAGAAAGAUUAGAAAAUAUGCCAUUGAUAGUGUGGCUUGGUAUCAUUAUGUUGUUGGAUCAAUUGUUACCUUAGUUGCGACCUUGAUCGCAUUUGUUGUUGCAUUUAAAUUCUUUAGCUAGAGAGUUAUUUGUAUGUUGCAUUUAAGUGUUGUAUGACCUUUAUGUAUGAACUUUAUGUAUGAACUUGUAUUAAUUUGGUCUAUUCGGUGGUGUGUAAUGAAGAUGCGCUGACAAUGGAUGUACGAUGACCGAUGCUCUCCCCAGUUCAUUGAUGGCGUGCAUACCUUUUUUAUUGCGGCUCAGGCAAACAAGCGGGUGGAUGGUUUUAUGCCUUGUCCAUGUGCUGGCUGGAAGAAUGGUCACAAUUACUCUAAUUCAAGAACCAUUCACGUCCACCUGUUUGAGUGUGUUUCAUACCCCACUAUAAUAUUUGGACCAAGCACGGAGAAAGAGGGGUUAUGAUGGAAGACAAUGAAGAAGAAGAGGACGACGAUAGCUAUCCUGGCCAUGGGUUCCCUGAAUACGAUGAUACAACAAUGGGGGAAGAAGCUGAGCUGGCCAUGCGGGAAGAAGCUAAAGAAGAGGCAUCAGAUGAGCCCACUGAUGAUCUAGGUCGGGCCAUUGCCGAUGCAAAGAGAAACUGUGCAAGUGAAAAGGAGAAGAAGAAGUUGCAGCACAUGUUAGAGGAUCACAAGAAAUUGUUGUACCCGAAUUGCGAAGGUGACAAGAAAAAGCUAGGCACCACACUGGAAUUGCUGUAAUGGAAGGCAGAGAAUGGUCUAUCUGACAAGGGAUUUGCAAAGUUGCUACUAAUGAUAAAGAAUAUGCUUCCAAAGGACAACGAAUUGUCCGAGAAUACGUACGAAGCAAAGAAGGUUGUCUGCCCUCUAGGUUUAGAGGUGCAGAAGAUACAUGCAUGCCCUAGUGACUGCAUCCUCUACCGCAGUGAGUAUGAGGAUUUGAACGCGUGCCCAGUAUGCGGUGCAUUGCGCUAUAAGAUCGGCCGCGAUGACCCUGGUGAUGUCGAGGGCGAGCGCCCCAGGAAGAAGAUUCCUGCGAAGGUGAUGUGGUAUGCUCCUAUAAUACCAUGGUUGAAACAUUUGUUCCAAAACAAAGAGCAUGCCAAGGUGAUGCAAUGGCACAGAGAAGACCGUAAGAAAGACGAAAAGUUGAGAGUACCCGCUGACGGGUCGCAGCAGAGAAGAAUCGAGAGAAAGUGUAGGGAGGAGUUUGCAGGUGACCCAAGGAACGCAUGAUUUGGUCUAAGCGCAGAUAGCAUUAAUCCUUUUGGGGAGCAGAGCAGCAACCAUAACACCUGGCCUGUGACUCUAUGUUUGUAUAACCUUCCUCCUUGGUUGUGCAUGAAGCGGAAGUUCAUUAUGAUGCCAGUGCUCAUCCAAGGCCCUAAACAACCCGGCAAUGACAUUGAUGUGUACCUAAGGCCAUUAGCUGAAGAACUAUUACAGUUGUGCAAUGGAAAAGGUGUACGUGCAUGGGAUGAGCACAAACAGGAAGAAUUUGACCUAAAGGCGUUGCUGUUCAUGACCAUCAAUGAUUGGCCUGCUCUUAGUAACCUUUCAGGACAGACAAACAAGGGAUACCGCGGAUGCACGCACUGUUUGGAUCAUACCGACAGUAUAUAUUGGAUAGUUGUAGGAAGAAUGUGUACCUGGGACAUCGUCGAUUUCUUCCGAGAAGGCAUCCCGUAAGAAAGAAAUGCAAGCGUUUAAAAGGUGAGGUGGAUCACCGAACGAAGCCUCGCCACCGUACUGGUGCUGAUGUACAUGAUAUGGUCAAGAAUUUUAAGGUAAUCUUUGGAAAGGGUCCUGGCGGACAACCUAUUCCGAAGGACUCGCCCAAUGUGGAAGAAGAAAUCUAUAUUUUGGGACCUGCCCUAUUAGAAAGACCUAGAGGUCCGCUCCGCAAUCGAUGUGAUGCAUGUGACAAAGAAUCUUUGCGUGACCCUGCUUGGCUUCUUGGGCGUGUAUGGGAAGACAAAAGAUACACCGGAGGCACGAAAGGACCAUCAACGUAUGCAUGGAAAAGACGGCACACAUCAGGGUCAGGCCAGCUAUGCUCUUACCAAAGAAGAGAAGGAAAUCUUCUUUGAAUGCCUACUUAGUAUGAAGGUACCGUCUGGCUUCUCGUCGAAUGUAAAGGGAAUAAUAAAUAUGAAAGAGAAAAAGUUUCAGAACCUAAAGUCUCAUGACUGCCACGUGAUUAUGACGCAACUGCUUCCGGUUGCAUUGAGGGGGCUUCUACCGGAAAAUGUUCGAUUAGCCAUUGUGAAGCUAUGUGUAUUCCUCAAUGCAAUCUCUCAGAAGGUAAUCGAUCGAGAAAAAUACCAAGGUUACAGAAUGAUUUGGUGUAAUGUCUUGUUAGUUUCGUGUUGGUGUUCCCACCAUCCUUCUUCAACAUCAUGACGCACGUCCUAGUUCACCUUUGCGAAGAGAUUAAAGUUUUGGGUCCUAUAUUUCUACACAAUAUGUUCCCCUUUGGGAGGUUCAUGGGAGUCUUGAAGAAAUAUGUUCAUAACCCCGCUAGGCCAGAAGGAAGCAUCUCGAAGGGCCAUGAAAAUGAGGAGGUCAUUGAGUAUUGUAUUGACUUUAUUCCCGACCUUAAGCCGAUUGGUGUUCCUGAAUCGCGACAUAAGGGCAGACUGGAUGGAAAAGGAACGCUAGGUGGGGAUCAAAUAAUAUGUAUGGACGGGCAUUCUCUCACUGAAGCACACUACACAGUUCUACAGAAUUCCGCCUUGGUGGCUCCGUAUAUGGAGGAACACAAGAAUUUUCUACACUCCAAACACCUGAAGCAGUCUGACGACUGGAUUACACGUGAACAAACGAGGACUUUUGUCAGUUGGUUGCAGACACGUGUCAUGCAUGAUGGCGAUAUUGAAGAUGACCUGUACUUGCUAUCCCAGUUACCUUCUUUGAAUAUAAUGACUUUCAAAGGGUACGAUAUAAAUGGGAAUACAUUUUACACGAUUGCCCAAGAUAAGAAGAGCACCAACCAAAAUAGUGGUGGCCGCUUUGAUACAACAACCAACCCGGGAAAGGAAACAUAUUAUUGUUACAUAGAGGACAUAUGGGAACUUAACUAUGGUGGUGGUUUCAAGGCCCCUUUAUUUCAGUGCAAAUGGGUCAAUAUGACACGAGGCGGGGUAACGGAAGACCCGCAGUAUGGAAUGACAACAGUGGAUCUCAACAAUCUUGCGUAUGCAGAUGAACCAUCCGUCCUAGCCAAUGAUGUGGCGCAGGUUUUCUAUGUGAAAGACAUGUCUACCAGGCCGAGAAAAAGAAAAGAUAAGGAAGCGAAUGGAUCAUACGAUGAGCCAAAGCGCCACAUAGUUCUUUCAGGGAAAAGACACAUCAUGGGAGUGGAUAACAAGAAAGACAUGUCAGAAGAUUAUGAAAAGUUUGAUGAAAUUGCUCCAUUCAAAGUGAAUAUUGAUCCGAGCAUCCAGUUAAAUGAUGAAGAUUGUCCAUGGUUACGACACAAAGGGACACACGCGAAGGAAAAGUUUCACACCCAAAGAUCCCACACUGGCAUGUGAUAGGCUUCACCGUCAUCACUUUCUUCUGUAGUGACUUUCUAGACUUAUAUAUCUGGAAAGUGCCGCUUCGAACAAACCGGAGGGAAUCUUUGUAAUAGUUAGGAUACUUAUGUGUUUUGGUAUUUGAAACGCAAGGAAAUUUUAUGUGCAAAAAUUGGAUGCACUUCGUCUACAAAUUAGUUCAUCAAAUAAUUCAAAUUUAAACUAUUCAAAUAUGAAAACUACUCUAAUAGAAAGUUUGUAAUAUUUUGUAACUAUAGAAAAAUUGUUCAGAAAUAAAUAAAUGGAGAUAAAUAAAGUAGAAAAUAAAAAAUACUAUUUUUUUUGAGACAAAAACUAAAUAAAAAUAAUAACUAAACUAUUCAAAUUUGAAAACUAGUUGCACUAACAGAAAGUUUGUAAUUUUUUGUACCUAAAGAAAAAAUAUUCAGAAAUAAAUAAGUAAAAAUAAAUAAAGUAGAAAAGAAAAGAAAUUUAAUUUUUGUUGAGACAAAAACUAAAUAAAAAAAGCCCACCUACUGGGCCAAAGCGGCCUGCAUACGACUAGAAACUCAACCUCAUACUAAAGGGGUGCCUUUAGUACCGGUUGUAGCCACCACCCGGUACUAAAGGGGUGCGCUUCCCGCCGCUUCGCUUGGCCAAAACAGACCUUUAGUAUCGGUUAGUGGCUCCAACCGGUAUGAAAGGUAGGUUCUAUAUAAGAAAACACUUCAAAAAAAUUCGCCAGUUCUCCCUUUGUUUCUUCUCCUCUGCCCCGUCAUCGCCGCCCCUCGUCGCCGCCCCCGUCGCCGCCCCCGUCCCGCGCCGUCGUCGCCCUCAUCCCGCGACGUCCCCGUCCCCGUCGUCACCAUCCCCGUCGCCGCCGCCCCUCGUCGCUGCCCCCGUACCGCGCCGUUGCCGUCCCCGUCGCGCCGUCGCCCCAUCCCGCACCUUCGCCGUCCGGCCCCUUGCCUCGCCAUCGCGGUCGGCUUGGAUCGACAUCGCCUCGACGUCGCCGUCGCCUGGACCUCGCCGUCGCCGUCACCUCGACCUCGCCCGCGCGCGCUGUGAGCCCCUCCCCCGGCCUCUCCUCCCUCCAAUCCACCAUGCCGCCGCCAGCGCCGGCCGCGCGCGCACACACACACACACACUACACGCGCGCGCACACAAACACACACACUCACACUACACGCGCGUGCGCACACACACACAAUUUUUCUAUUUUUAGUUUUUAGUUUUUUCUGUUUUUCAUACAAAGUUUUAGAUGAAUUAAUUAAUUAGAUUAGAUUAAUGUCAAAUAGUAUAUAGAAAUGUUAGAAAUGUUAUAGAAAUGUCAGAAAUUUUAGAAAUGUUAGUUUUAGCUAGAUGAAUUAGAUUAAUUUCAAAUUGUUAUAUAAAUGUUAGUUUUUAGUUUCUUAUAAUUUUAGUUAUACAAUUUUAGAAUUUGCAUAUAAGAAAUCACAAUCCAAUCAUUUAAAAAAUGUUACUUUUGUGGCGUAUAGUAUUUGUUCUCGACGAUGCCCGACCCGCAUCCUCGCCGUCGAUCCGUUCGCGACGACUUCCUACUUCAGAGGGCCCAUGUCCGGGACUGGGCUCCACCGGGCUGGCACUAGGAGAUGCUACCUUCAGGGGCUUGCACUUGGUGAGGAACCCGGGUCCCGUCGUCGACCCUGAGCUCCUUUGGUGGCAUUCCCGUGGGCCACUUUCGGUGUGGAGGGAGCCGGUGAUGACUGCAAGUAUACGGGAUAGUUGUAGCCUCUUUUGAUAAGUAAGAGUGUCAAACCCAACGAGGAGCUAAAGGUAGAACAAAAACUCUCUCAAGUCCUAUCGGCCACAGAUACGACUCUACGCACGCUUGACGUUCGCUUUACCUAGAACAAGUAUGAAACUAGAAGUACUUUGAAGGGGUGAUAGGAUAGGUUUGCAAGAUAAUAAAGAACACGUAAAUAAAAAGUAGGGGCUGUUUAGAUAAAUAUGCAAUAAAGUAAAUGUAGCGAGUGUGGAAAAGUGGUGGUAGGAGUUGUGAAAUUGUCCUCAAGCAAUUGACUACUUUACUAGACCGAUAGCAAGUUUAAUGUGGGAGAGGCCACUGCUAGCAUGUCAUCCCUGACUUGGAAUUCUAUGCACUUAUGAUUGGAACUAUUAGCAAGCACUCCGCAACUACUAACGUUCAUUAAGGUAAAACCCAACCAUAGCAUUAAGAUAUAUUGGUCCCCCUUCAAUCCCGUAUGUAUAAAUUUCUAUGCUAGUCUGGAGCUUUUGUCACUAUUGCCCUCCAAUACAUAGUCCUAUCAACAUACAACUAACCCUAUGGUGUGAUUCACGCGCACCCUCAUAUGAUGGGCACCAUAGGACAGCAACAUAACCACAAGCAAAUUAAAUCAAUCAUAGCAAUUCAUCAACCAGCAAUAGGGCAGCGAAGAUCUACUCAGACAUCAUAGGAUGGCAACACAUCAUUGGAAAAUAAUAUGAAGCAUAAAGCACCAUGUUCAAGUAGAGCGUACAAUGGGUUGGGGGAGAGUGGACCGCUGUAUAUAGAGGGGGGAAGGUGAUGGAGAUGUUGGUGAAGAUGACGGUGGUGUUGGUGAAGAUCGCGGUGAUGAUGAUGGCCCCCGGCGGUGUUUCGGCGCCACCGGAAGCAAGGGGGAGAGAGCCCCCCUUCUUCUUCUUCUUCCGUGACCUUCUCCCUAUAUGGGAGAACGGUUUGCCCUCUGGUCCUUGGCUCCCAUGGCGUGGGAGGGGCGAGAGCCCGUCCGAGAUUGGAUAUGUCUCUCUGUCUCUCUCUGUUUCUGCGUUCCCUGAUUCUACCCCUUCACCGUUUCUUAAAUAUCCGGAGAUCCGUAACUUCGAUUGGGGUGAAUCUUUCGCCCAUAUUUUUCUCAUAAAAUUAGCUUUCUUGCGGCGAAAGUAGAGCCUCAACCGCCUUACGGAUGGCCCACGAGUGCCCAGGGCGUGCCCAGGGGUAGGGGGCAUGCCCCCUGUCUCGUGGCCACCUCGGACACUGUUUUGCUUUGAUUCUUCCUCCGGAAAAUCUCAAAUAUUCCAAAAUAAUUCUCCGCCCGUUUUUAUCCCGUUUGGAUUCCGUUUGAUAUUGGUUUUCUGCGAAACAUAAAACAUGCAACAAACAUGAACUGGCACUGGGCACUCGAUCAAUAUGUUAGUCCCAAAAAAUAGUAUAAAAAGUUGCCAAAAGUAUAUAAAAGUUGAAUAAUAUUGGCAUGGAACAAUAAAAAAUUAUAGAUACGACGGAGACGUAUCAGCAUCCCCAAGCUUAAUUCCUUCUCGUCCUCGAGUAGGUAAAUGAUAAAAAAGAUAAUUUUUGAUGUGGAAUGCUACCUAGCAUAAUCUUGAUCAUAUGUCUAAUCAUGGCAUGAAUAUUAAGACACGAGUGAUUCAAGGCAAUAGUCUAUCAUUUGACAUAAAAACAAUAAUACUUCAAGCAUACCAACCAAGCAAUUAUGUCUUAUCGAAAUAACAUAGCCAAAGAAAGCUCAUCCCUACAAAAUCAUAUAGUCUGGCUAUGCUCCAGCUUCAUCACACAAAGCAUUCAAAUCAUGCACAACCCCGAUGACAAGCCGAGCAAUUGGUUCAUACUUUUUAAUGCGCUUCAGUUUUUUCAACUCUUACGCAAUACACGAGCGCAAGCCAUGGACAUAGCACUAUGGUGGUAUAUGGUGGUGGUUAUGAGGACAAAAAGGGAGAAGAUAGUCUCACAUCAACUAGGCGUAUCAACGGGCUAUGGAGAUGCCCGCCAAUAGAUAUCAAUGUGAGUGAGUAGGGAUUGCCAUGCAACGGAUGCACUAAGAGCUAUAAGUGUAUGAAAGCUCAAACUGGAAACUAAGUGGGUGUGCAUCCAACUUGCUUGCUCAUGAAUACCUCGGGCGUUUGAGGAAGCCCAUCAUCGGAAUAUACAAGCCAAGUUCUAUAAUGAAAAUUCCCACUAGUAUAUGAAAGUGAAAGCAUAGGAGGCUCUCUCUAUGACGAACAUGGUGCUACUCUGAAGCACAAGUCUUGUAAAAGGAUAGUAACAUUGCCCCUUCUCUCUUUUUCACUCAUUUUUUUCUUUUAUUUUUUUUUGUUCUUCUCUUUUUUUCUUUUUUCUUUUUAUUUUUUGGUGGGCUUCUUUUCCCUCUUUUAUUUUUCAUAAAGUCCGGAGUCUCAUCCCGACUUGUGGGGGAAUCAUAGUCUCCUUCAUCCUUUCCUCACUGGGGCAAUGCUCUAAUAAUGAUGAUCAUCACACUUUUAUUUACUAACAACUCAAUAUUACAACUCAAAGCUAGAACAAAAUAUGGCUCUAUAUGAAUGCCUCCGGCGGUGUUCCGGGAUAUGCAAUGAAUCAAGAGUGACAUGUAUGAAAAUAAUGAAGGUGGCCUUGCCACAAAUACGAUGUCAACUACAUGAUCAUGCAAAGAGCAAUAUGACAAUGAUGAAAUGUGUCAUAAUAAACGGAACGGUGGAAAGUUGCAUUGCAAUAUAUCUCGGAAUGGCUAUGGAAAUGCCAUAUAGGUAGGUAUGGUGGCUGUUUUGAGGAGGGUAAAUAAUGGGUUUAUGCUACCGGCGAAAAUUGUGUGGUAAAAUAGAGGCUAGCUAAGUGUAAGGAUGAGUGUGCGUAUAUCCAUGGACUCGCAUUAGUCAUAAAGAAAUCAUAUACUUAUUGCAAAAAUCUACUUAGCCCUCGAAGCAAAGUACUACUACACAUGCCCCAAGAGGGAUAGAUUGGUAGGAAAAGACCAUCGCUCGUCCCCGACUGCCACUCAUAAGGAAGGCAAUGAAAAAAACACCUCAUGCUCCAACUUCGUUACAUAACGGUUCACCAUACGUGCAUGCUACGGGACUUGCAAACCUCAACACAAGUAUUUCUCAAUUUCACAAUUACCCAACUAGCAUGACUCUAAUAUCACCACAUUUAUAUCGCAAAACUAUUGCAAGGAAUCAAACAUAUCAUAUUCAGUGAUCUACAAGUUUAUGUAGGAUUUUAUGACUAACCAUGUGAAUGACCAAUUCCUGUCAUCUCUCUAAAUAGUUAUAAGUGAAGCAAGAGAGUUUAAUUCUUUCUACAAAAUAUAUUCCCACAGUCUAACAAAUAUAAGUGAAGCAAAAGAGCAUUCUACAAAUGGCGGUUUUCGAUGUGAAGAGAAAUAGGCAAUCCAGACUUCAAAUGAUAUAAGUGAAGCACAUGAAGCAUUCUAUAAAGCCAUACUCAAAAGAUUUAAGUGAAGUACAAUGAGCAUUCUAUAAAUCAACCAAGGACUAUCUCAUACCAGCAUGGUUCAUAAAAGAAAGGUAAAAAUUAAAUGCAAAAGACGCUCCAGGACUUGCACAUAAUGCAUGAACGAAAUGAAUUCGAAAACAUACCGAUACUUGUUGAAGAAAGAGGGGAUGCCUUCCGGGGCAUCCCCAAGCUUAGAUGCUUGAGUCUCCUUGAAUAUUUACUUGGGGUGCCUUGGGCAUCCCCAAGCUUGACCUUUUGCCUCUCUUCCGUUUCCUCAUAUCGAGACAUCCUCGAUUAGACACUACAUCCACACAAAACUUCAACAGAAAACUCGGUAAGAUCCGUUAGUAUAAUAAAGCAAAUCACUACUCUAAGUACUGUUGCAAACCAAUUCAUAUUUUGUUUUUGCAUUGUGUAUACUGUGACAUAACUUUUCCAUGGGUUAAUCCACUGAUAUAAAUUGAUAGAUUCAUCAAAACAAGCAAACUAUGCAUCAAAAACAGAAUCUGUCAAAAACAGAACAAUCUGUAGCAAUCUGAACAUCCACCAUACUUCUAGUACCCCAAAAAUUCUACCAAAAUUAGGAAAAAUAAACAAGUUGUACAGCAAGACAGUGCAAAAGGAAUCAGAACCAAUUGACGUUCCAGAUAACAAUGUAAAAUCUUGCACUACAGCCAAAGUUUCUGUCCUGCACCGUACAAACCAACAAGCAUUGUAAACAAACCUAAAGGCAAACCUUGGCACAUUAUUUUUAUAAUACAAUGGAAUUGUACAAGGGGAUAAUUAUUUUUGAUGAAAAAUUUCUGUAAUAAAGAUUCACAAAGUUUCCGUGAGCAUGAACAAAGUUCAAGGAGCUCUCCCACUUCAACAAUGCUUGUCUCUCUCACUUUCACUUUCCUUUUUGAAAAGUUUUUUAGGUUCCCCUCUUUAUUUUUUUCUUUUUGAACUAUAUAAAAGCACUCAACAGAAAUAAAUGACUCUCUAAAACUUCCGGGUUGUCUCCCUGGCAGCGCUUUCUUUAAAGCCAUUAAGCUAGGCAUAUAGUGCUCACGUAAUGGAUCCACCCGGAUCCCAAGGUAUAUCAAAGCCAAUUUUAAUUAACAAUGAUUUGUAAUUUAGUAGUGAGCACAAAGUAUUAUAUAUCAAGCAACAACGAAGUCUAACUCUCUUCCUAUGCAUCGGCAUGUCAUAAAAGAACAAUUCAUGCACACAUAAUAAAGGCCAAUGCAUAGUAUAAGCAGUUUCUUGCAAUUUCAUAGUAUGGGAAACAUAAAGAGGUGGAGAAAUAGUUCCUCUCUCAUAAUAAUUGCAAGUAGGAGCAGCAAGCACAUGCAUAUUACAUUCAUCAAAAUCAUCAUGUGCAAUGGUAAAAGGCAACCCAUCAACAUAAUCCUUAAUAAGCACAAACUUCUUCGAUAUAGUGUAGUUUUGAGAAUUCAAAAAGAUAAUAGGACUAUCAUGCAUGGGUGCAAUAGAAACAAUUUCAUGUUUUACAUAAGGAACUAUAGCAAGUUCAUAUCCAUAAGCAUAAUUCAUAUUGGCAUCUUGGCCACAAGCAUAGCAAGCAUCAUCAAAAAGGGAUAUUUCAAGAGAAUCAACGGGAUCAUAGCAAUCAUCCUUCGGUAAGCACGAAGGGGAAUUAAAUAAUGUAUGGGAUAAAGAGUUACUCUCAUUAGAAGGUGGGCACGGGUGAUCAAUCCGUUCCUCCUUUUGUUCUUCGCUCUCCUCCUCAUUUGUUUCAUCCAAUGAGCUCACAGUUUCAUCAAUUUCUUCUUCCAUAGCUUCCUGCAAAAUAUUAGUCUCUUCUUGGACAGCGGAGAAGACCUCAAUAUAUGGUUUAACAUAGGCAUUAGAAGCAUAAUUAUCAUAACAAUAUUCAAGUAUGGCAAAGUUUUCAGAUUUAUAGAGAGUAGCAUCAUACUUUUCAAUCAAAUAAGAAAUUUCAUAAGCACCCUUAAAAGCAACAAAUUCUUCAAUUUGUUGAACAUCAUAGUAAUUAUAAACACACUUAGCAUAUGAAGAUACGAUUCCAUUAUCACUAAACAAGCAAUGAUAGGGUAGGUGUUUCUUAUGGUCUUCAGAACAAGAAGUAAAAUCAUAUAGUUCACAUAAAGUCCAAGCAUAGCAUUGCAAACGCUGAAUUUGAUCCCAUAAUAGUUUCCCUUUUUCAGAUAUACGGUGUCGCACAUAACAAGCAUGCUCAUCUGAUUUUCCCUCAACUAAGCUAGUGGGGGUUUCAGCACGAGCACAUAGGGAUCAAAGAUGAUCCAAGUAAAAAGCUUCAGGAGUGCGAUAGAUUUUGAGUGGUUCUUCAACCAUUGGUGUAGUAGGUACAACUAUUUUUUUUGGUAUUUUGCGUUUCCUACCCAUAACUAAAGAUAGAAAACAACUAAGAACAACAAAUAAAAAUUACUCAGUGAUAAAUCAAACAAGCACACAUGAGAAUAUUCACCCCACGCUAUGACUCCCCGGCAAUGGCGCCAGAAAAAGGUCUUGAUGACACGCAAGUAUACGGGAUAGUUGUAGCCUCUUCCGAUAAGUAAGAGUGUCGAACCCAACGAGGAGCUAAAGGUAGAACAAAAACUCUCUCAAGUCCUAUCGGCCACAGAUAUGACUCUACGCACGCUUGACGUUCGCUUUAACUAGAACAAGUAUGAAACUAGAAGUACUUUGAAGGUGUGAUAGGAUAGGUUCGCAAGAUAAUAAAGAACACAUAAAUAAAAAGUAGGGCUGUUUAGAUAAAUAUGCAAUAAAGUAAAUGUAGCGAGUGUGGAAAAGUGGUGGUAGGAGUUGUGAAAUUGUCCCUAAGCAAUUGACUACUUUACUAGACCGAUAGCAAGUUUUAUGUGGGAGAGGCCACUGCUAGCAUGUCAUCCCUGACUUGGAAUUCUAUGCACUUAUGAUUGGAACUAUUAGCAAGCAGUCCGCAACUACUAACCUUCAUUAAGGUAAAACCCAACCAUAGCAUUAAGAUAUAUUGGUCCCCCUUCAAUCCCGUAUGUAUCAAUUUCUAUGCUAGUCUGGAUCUUCUGUCACUCUUGCCCUCCAAUACAUAGUCCUAUCAACAUACAACUAACCCUAUGGUGUGAUCCACGCGCGCGCUCAUAUGAUGGGCACCAUAGGACAGCAAAAUAACAACAAGCAAAUUAAAUCAAUCAUAGCAAUUCAUCAACCACCAAUAGGACAACGAAGAUCUACUCAGACAUCAUAGGAUGGCAACACAUCAUUGGAAAAUAAUAUGAAGCAUAAAGCACCAUGUUCAAGUAGAGGGUACAGCGGGUUGCGGGAGAGUGGACCGCUGUAGAUAGAGGGGGAAGGUCAUCGAGAUGUUGGUGAAGAUGAUGAUGGUGUUGGUGAAGAUCGCCUUACGGAUGGCCCACGAGAGCCCAGGGCAUGCCCCCCUGUCUCGUGGCCACCUCGGACACUGUUUUGCGUUGAUUCUUCCUCCGGAAAAUCCAAAAUAUUCCAAAAUAAUUCUCCGUCCGUUUUUAUCUCAUUUGGAUUCCGUUUGAUAUUGGUUUUAUGUGAAACAUAAAACAUGCAACAAACAGGAACUGGCACUGGGCACUGGCUCAAUAUGUUAGUCCCAAAAAAUAGUAUAAAAUGUUGCCAAAAGUAUAUAAAAGUUGAAUAAUAUUGGCAUGGAACAAUCAAAAAUUAUAGAUACGACAGAGACGUAUCAGCCGGCCACGCUGGAGGUGGUGCGUCGCUGUGUCAGGGAGGAGGACGAGCACGUCCGUCGCUACAUCGCUUCUAUGGACGUCAGGUUCUGCAAUACCUGGCAGGGUCUUUGGGGAGAUGACCAGAGCUAUGAUCCUGUGAUGGUUCCUUUUCUUUGGGUGUCCACCGACCGCGCCUCAGGAAACACGAGUGGCCUAGAUUAUUCUGUAGUAUUCGAUCUUUAUUAGCUAGCUACUAGUGAUGAUAUAUAAUAUUUGAGAUGAUGUAUUCAAGAAUAUAUAUUAUUCGAGACGAUGCAUAUUAUGUACUAUGAUUUUGGAUUUCCUCUUAUUGAUUGCAUGCAUGCAUAUUGUAAUUUGAAUACUAAAUUGUUUUAUAUUUCUUCUAGAUUUGUUAAAUAAAAGCUAUGGCGGACAAUACCGGCAGAGAGGGAGAAGAGGCCCUGUUCGAGAUCAUACUCCCCCCUCGCGCGCCAGAUAAUCGAAAUGAAGAAGAUGACGGCUCCCAAUAUCUGAACAAUACCGGGGAGGGUGAUGAUAUGAUAUUCGAUCGCGACGACCGAAUUGAUGAAGUCAUGGAUUAUGAUGGCGAAGAAAUUAAUAAUUAUGAUGGUGACAAAAUUAAUGAUUAUGAUGGCAAAGAAAAUGUUGAUUUUGAUAAAACAGAGACCGGCGAGGUAUAUUUAUGUAAGCAGGCAUGUGGUGAUCAUCACAUGUUUUAAAUGAUUUGAAGAUAUAUUAACGUAUCAAUCUUUCUUCUUUUCAGCCCUCCGGAUUGAGCAAAUCUUCUACAGGCAGAGGCGAGGCAAGGGAACAAGUUGAAGCAGGCGUAAAGUAAUACAUCGAUGCCAUCAAAACUAAUGGUGAACCAAUAGCGCCUAAGAACAUUGCGAUCAAGUUCGUUCAUUAGUGCGGAGUUCUUGUGAAGGACAAACUCCCGAUCUCCCUUCAAGAAUGGAAAUGGUCAUCAAAGCCCCGUCCAGAUCUUACUUUUGUCGAUGACAGAGCAAAAAAGCACUUUGGGAAGAUCUCAUGGAACAUUUCACCCUAUGAUACGUCUCCAACGUAUCUAUAAUUUUUGAUUGCUCCAUGCUACUUUAUUUACUGUUUUGGACUAUAUUGAGCUUUAUUUUCCACUUUUAUAUUAUUUUUGGGACUAACCUAUUAACCGGAGGCCCAGCCCAUAAUUGCCAUUUUUUGCCUAUUUCAGUAUUUCGAAGAAACAGAAUAUCAAACGGAGUCCAAACGGAAUGAGACCUUUGGGAACGUGAUUUUCUCACCGAACAUGAUCCAGGAGACUUGGACCCUGCUCCAAGGAACAACCGAGGAGGUCACGAGGGUGGGGGGUGCCCCCCCCCCCCUAGGGCGCGCCCCCUACCUCGUGGGCCCCCUGGUGCUCCACCGACGUACUCCUUCCUCCUAUGUAUACCUACGUACCCCCGACAGAUCAAAUAUGGAGCAAAAAAUCUAAUUCCACCGCCGCAACUUUCUGUAUCCACGAGAUCCCAUCUUGGGGCCUGUUCCGGAGCUCCACCGGAGGGGGCAUCUACCACUGAGGGCUUCUACAUCAAGACCGUAGCCUCUCCGAUGAAGUGUGAGUAGUUUACUUCAGACCUUCGGGUCCAUAGCUAGUAGCUAGAUGGCUUCUUCUCUCUUUUUGGGUCUCAAUACAAUGUUCUCUCCCUCUCUUGUGGAGAUCUAUUCAAUGUAAUCUUCUUUUUGCGGUGUGUUUGUUGAGACCGAUGAAUUGUGGGUUUAUGAUCCAGCUUAUCUAUGAAUAAUAUUUGAAUCUUCUCUGAAUUCUUUUAUGUAUGAUUGAGUUAUCUUUGCAAGUCUCUUCGAAUUAUCCGUUUGGUUUGGCCAACUAGAUUGGUAGUUCUUGCAAUGGGAGAAGUGUUUAGCUUUGGGUUCGAUCUUGCGGUGUCCUUACCCAGUGACAGAAAGGGUUGCUAGGCACGUAUUGUAUUGUUGCCAUCGAGGAUAACAAGAUGGGGUUUUUAUCAUAUUGCAUGAAUUUAUCCCUCUACAUCAUGUCAUCUUGCUUAAGGCGUUACUCUGUUUUUAACUUAAUACUCUAGAUGCAUGCUGGAUAGCGGUUGAUGAGUGGAGUAAUAAUAGUAGAUGCAGAAUCGUUUCGAUCUACUUGUCUCGGACGUGAUGCCUAUACACAUGAUCAUACCUAGAUAUACUCAUAAUUAUGCUCAACUCUGUCAAUUGCUCAACAGUAAUUUGUUCACCCACCGUAGCAUACUUAUGCUCUUGAGAGAAGCCACUAGUGAAACCUAUGGCCCCGGGGUCUAUUCUCAUCAUAUCAAUCUCCAUUACUUUAUUACUUGCUUUGUUUUACUUUGCCUUUUACUUUCACUUUGCAUCUCUAUAUCAAAAAUACCAAAAAUAUUAUUUAUCAUCUCUAUCAGAUCUCACCCUCGUAAGUGAUCGUGAAGGGAUUGACAACCCCUAAUCGCGUUGGUUGCGAGUAGCUAUUGUUUUGUGUAGGUACGAGGGACUCGUGCGUGAUCUCCUACUGGAUUGAUACCUUGGUUCUCAAAAACUGAGUGAAAUACUUACGCUACUUUACUGCAUCAUCCUCUCCUCUUCGGGGAAAUCCAACGCAGUGCUCAAGAGGUAGCAAGAAGAAUUUCUGGCGCCGUUGCUGGGGAGUUUGCGCAAAAGUCAACCAUACCAAGUACCCAUCACAAUCCCUAUCUCUCGCAUUACAUUAUUUGCCUCUCGUUUUCCUCUCCCCCACUUCACCCUUGCCGUUUUAUUCGCCCUCUCUUUCCCAAUCUCCUCCUUUCUUUCCCUUUCGCCUUUUUCUCGUUUGCCUUUUUUGCUUGUGCGUUGGAUUACUUGUUGCCAUGGCGCAAGAUAAUACCAAAUUGUGUGACUUCUCAAAUACCAAUAAUAAUGAUUUCCUUAGUACUCCAGUUGCUCCUCUUAAUAAUGAUGAGUCUUGUGAAAUCAAUACCGCUUUGCUGAAUCUUGUUAUGAAAGAUCAAUUCACCGGCCUUCCUAGUGAAGAUGCCGCUACUCAUCUAAACAAUUUUGUUGAUUUGUUUGAUAUGCAAAAGAAGAAAGAUACGGAUAAUAAUAUUGUAAAUUGAAGUUAUUUCCGUUUUCACUUAGAGAUCGUGCUAAAGUUUGGUUUUCGUCUUUGCCUAAAAAUAGUAUUGAUUCUUGGAACAAGUGCAAAGAUGCUUUUAUCUCUAAGUAUUUUCCUCCCGCUAAGAUCAUCACUCUUAGGAACGAUAUUAUGAAUUUUAAACAACUUGAUCAUGAGCAUGUUGCCCAAUCUUGGGAAAGAAUGAAAUUGAUUCUUCGCAAUUGCCCAACUCAUGGUUUGAAUUUAUGGAUGAUCAUACAAAAAUUUUAUGCCGGAUUGAAUUUUGCUUCUAGAAAUCUUUUAGAUUCGGCCACGGGAUGUACGUUUAUGGAAAUUACAUUAGGAGAUGCUACAAAAUUAUUUGAUAAUAUUAUGGCUAAUUAUUCUCAAUGGCACACCGAAAGAUAUUCUAGUAAAAAAGUGCAUGGUAUAGAAGAAAUCAAUGUUUUGAGUGAAAAGAUGGAUGAACUUAUGAAGAUGUUUGCUACUAAAAAUACUUCUCUUGAUCCCAAUGAUAUGCCUUUAUCUACUUUGAUUGAGAAUAAUAAUGAAUCUAUGGAUGUGAAUUUUGUUGGUAGGAAUAGUUUUGGAAAUAACGCGUAUAGAGGGAAUUUUAAUCCUAGGCCUUAUCCUAGUAAUCCUUCUAAUAAUUAUGGAAAUUCAUACAACAACUCUUAUGGAAAUUUUAAUAAGAUGCCCUCUGAAUUUGAGAGUAGUGUUAAAGAGUUUAUGAAUUCACAAAAGAAUUUAAUGCUUUGCUAGAAGAGAAAUUGCUUAAAGUUGAUGAUUUGGCUAGGAACGUUGAUAGAAUUUCUCUUGAAAUUGAUUCUUUAAAGCUUAGAUCUAUUCCUCCUAACCAUGAUAUCAAUGAGUCCCUCAAAGCCAUGAGAAUUUCCAUUGAUGAGUGCAAAGAAAGAACCGCUAGGGUGCGUGCUUCCAAAGAUGCUUUUAUUAAAGCGUGUUCUUCCAAUUCCUAUGAAAAUCAAGAUGAAGAUCUAAAAGUUAUUGAUGUGUCCCCUAUUAAAUCUUUGUCUUGCGAUAUGAAUCUUGAUGAAACUGAAUAUGAUCUUCCUUUACCUAGAAGGCGUUCUAAGAAUUCGGAGUUUCUACAUCUUGAUGGUGAAAUUGAUGAAAGUGGGAUUGAAAGAAAUAAAAACCUAGAUGUUGCUAAACCCACUAUUUUGGAUCUCAAGGAAUUUAAUUAUGAAAAUUGCUCUUUGAUUGGUUGUAUUUCCUUGUUGCAAUCCGUGUUAUAUUCUCCUCAUGCUUAUAGUCAAAAUAAGGCCUUUACCGAACACAUUGUUGAUGCCUUGAUGCAAUCUUAUGAAGAAAAACUUGAGUUGGAAGUUUCUAUCCCUAGAAAACUCUAUGAUGAGUGGGAACCUACUAUUAAAAUUAAAAUUAAAAAUUAUGAGUUUCAUGCUUUGUGUGAUUUGGGUGCUAGUGUCUCCACUAUUCCCAAAACUUUGUGUGAUUUGCUAGAUUUCUGUGACUUUGAAGAUUGCUCUCUAAACUUGCAUCUUGCGUAUUCCACUAUUAAAAAGCCUAUGGGAAGAAUUAAUGAUGUUUUUAUUGUUGAAAAUAGGAAUUAUGUGCCCGUAGAUUUUAUCGUUCUUGAUAUAGAUUGCAAUCCUUCAUGUCCUAUUAUUCUUGGUAGACCUUUCCUUAGAACGAUUGGUGCAAUUAUUGAUAUGAAGGAAGGGAAUAUUAGAUUCCAAUUUCCCUUGAUAAAGGGUAUGGAACACUUCCCUAGAAAUAAAAUAAAAUUACCAUAUGAAUCUAUCAUGAGAGCCACUUAUGGAUUGCCUACCAAAGAUGGCAAAACCUAGAUCUAUCCUUGCUUUUAUGCCUAACUAGGGGCGUUAAACGAUAGCGCUUGUUGGGAGGCAACCCAAUUUUUUUUGCUUAUGUUUAGGAAUAAAUAAUCCAUCUAGCCUCUGGUUAGAUGUAGUUUUGUGUUUUAAUUAGUGUUUGUGCCAAGUAGAACCUAUAGGAUAAGCUAUGAUGAUAGUUGAUUUUAUUCUGCUGAAAAACAGAAACUUUGUGCUCACGAGAAAAAAUUCAAUAAAUCAAAGAAACGUGCUUUUGCAUUGAUUAUUUUUGCUGCUGAUCAAAAAAACAAAUUGUCCAGUACGUCCUAUUUUGGUAGAAUUUUUAGAGUUCCAGAAGUAUGCGUUAGUUACAGAUUGCUACAGACUGUUCUGUUUUCGACAGAUUCUAUUUUUCGUGUGUUGUUUUCUUAUUUCAAUGCAUCUAUGGCUAAUAAAUUAGUUUAUAAACCAUAAGGAAGUUGAAAUACAGUAGGUUUAACACCAAUAUAAAUAAAGAAUGAGUUCAUUACAGUACCUUAAAGUAGUCUUUUGUUCUCUUUCACUAACGGAGCUCACGAGAUUUCUAUUGAGUUUUGUGUUGUGAAGUUUACAAGUUUUGGGUGAAUUCUUUUGAUGGAUUAUGGAACAAGGAGUGGAACGAGCCUAAGCUUGGUGAUGCCCAUGGAACCCCCAAGGUAAUCCAAGGACACCAAAAAGUCAAAGCUUGGGGAUGCCCCGGAAGGCAUCCCCUCUUUCGUCUACUUCCAUCGGUAAUUUACUUGGAGCUAUAUUUUUAUUCACCACAUGUUAUGUGUUUUGCUUGGAGCAUCUUGUAUUAUUUGCGUCUUUGCUUGUUAGUUUACCACAAUCAUCCUUGAUGUACACACCUUUUGAGAGAGCCAUACAUGAUUUGGAAUUUGCUAGAAUACUCUAUGUGCUUCACUUAUAUCUUUUGAGCUUGAUAUUUUGCUCAUAGUGCUUCACUUAUACCUUUUUGAGCGUGAUAAUUUUUGCUCUAGUGCUUCACUUAGAUCUUUUAGAGCACGGUGGUGGAUUUGUUUUAAAGAAACUAUUGAUCUCUCAUGCUUCACUUAGAUUAUUUUGAGUGUCGUCAAUAGCAUGGUAAUUUGCUUAAAGAUAAUAUAUUUGGUAUUCAAGAUAUGUGAAACUUUCUUUUGAGUGUGUUGAAUACUAAGAUAAGUUUAAUGCUUGAUAAUUGUUUUGAGAUAUGGAGGUGAUAAUAUCAAAGCAAUGCUAGUUGGGGUGAUUACGAAUUUAAAGAAUGCUUGUGUUGAAGUUUGUGAUUCCCAUAAAAUGCACGUAUGGUGAACCGCUUUGUGAUGAAGUUGGAGCACAAUUUUAUUUAUUGAUUGUCUUCCUUAUGAGUGGCGGUCGGGGACGAGCGAUGGUCUUUUCCUACCAAUCUAUCCCUCUAGGAGUAUGCGUGUAGUGCUUUGGUUUUUGAUGACUUCUAAAUUUUUGCAACAAGUGCAUGAGUUCUUUUGAUUAAUGUUGAGUCCAUGGAUUAUACGCACUCUCACCCUUCCACCAUUGCUAGCCUCUCUAAUACCGCACACUUUUCGCCGGCAUCAUACACCCACCAUAUACCUUCCUCAAAACAGCCACCAUAUCUACCUAUCAUGGCAUUUCCAUAGCCAUUCCGAGAUAUAUUUCCAUGCAACUUUCCACCAUUCCGUUCAUAUGACACACAUUACUUUUGUCAUAUUUCUUUGUGCAUGAACAUGUAGUUGACAUUGUAUUUGUGGCAAGGCCACCUUCAUAAUUUUCAUACAUGUUGCUCUUGAUUCAUUGCAUAUCCCGGUACACCGCCGGAGGCAUUCAUAUAGAGUCAUAUUUUGUUCUAAGUAUUGAGUUGUAAUUGUUGAGUUGUAAGAAAAAUAAAAGUGUGAUGAUCAUCAUUAUUAGAGCAUUGUCCCAGUGAGGAAAGGAUGAUGGAGACUAUGAUUCCCCCAUAAGUCAGGAUGAGACUCCGGACGAAAAAAAGAGGCCAUAAAAAAAGAGAAAGGCCCAAGACGUAUUUCACAAAUAUAACAAAAACUAUGGACACAUGUGCAAUUUUUUCAUGUAACUUGUUUUAAAAUAUCUUAGAUAUAUUAUACAAAUAUAUUUAAAAUAAUAAAGUAGUAUAUAUAGUACCACAUGCUAGUAUAUGAGACAUGUGGGGUAACUACCACCGGAUGGUAGGAUGGAUUUUCCCUAUAUAUAUAUAUAUAUAUAUAUAUAUAUAUAUAUAUGAGAGAAAAAGAGAGAAGGGACAAUGCUACUAUCAUUUUACCACACUUGUGCUUCAAAGUAGCACCAUGAUCUUCAUGAUAGAGAGUCUCAUAUGUUGUCACUUUUAUAUACUAGUGGGAACUUUUCAUUAUAGAACUUGGCUUGUAUAUUCCAAUGAUGGGCUUCCACAAAAGUGCCCUAGGUCUUUGUGAGCAAGCAAGUUGGAUGCACACCCACUUAGUUUCUUUUGUUUAGCUUUCAUAUACUUAUAGCUAUAGUGCAUCCGUUGCAUGGCAAUCCCUACUCACUCACAUUGAUAUCUAUUAAUGGGCAUCUCCAUAAUCCGUUGAUACGCCUAGUUGAUGUGAUACUAUCUUCUCCUUUUUUGUCUUCUCCACAACCACCAUUCUAUUCCACCUAUAGUGCUAUGUCCAUGGCUCACGCUCAUGUAUAGCGUGAAAGUUGAAAAAGUUUGAGAUUACUAAAGUAUGAAACAAUUGCUUGGCUUGUCAUCGGGGUUGUGCAUGAUUAAAUACUUUGUGUGAUGAAGAUAGAGCUUAGCCAAAGUAUAUGAUUUUGUAGGGAUAACUUUCUUUAGCCAUGCUAUUUUGAGAAGACAUGAUUUCUUUGAUUAGUAUGCUUAAAGUAUUAUUACUUUUAUGUUAAUAUGAACUUUUGUCUUGAAUCUUUCGGAUCUGAAUAUUCAUACCACAUUUAAGAAGAUUUACAUUGAAAUUAUGCCAAACUAUCACUCCGCAUCAAAAAUUCUUUUUUAUCAUUUACCUACUCAAGGACGAGCAGGAAUUAAGCUUGGGGAUGCUUGAUACGUCUCCAACGUAUCUAUAAUUUUUGAUUGCUCCAUGCUACUUUAUUUACUGUUUUGGACUAUAUUGGGCUUUAUUUUCCACUUUUAUAUUAUUUUUGGGACUAACCUAUUAACCGGAGGCCCAGCCCAGAAUUGAUGUUUUUUGCCUAUUUCAGUAUUUCGAAGAAACAGAAUAUCAAACGGAGUCCAAACGGAAUGAAACCUUCGGGAACGUGAUUUUCUCACCGAACGUGAUCCAGGAGACUUGGACCCUGCUCCAAGGAACAAUCGAGGAGGUCACGAGGGUGGGGGGCGCCCCCCCUAGGGCACGCCACCUACCUCGUGGGCUCCCUGGUGCUCCACCGACGUACUCCUUCCUCCUAUAUAUACCUACGUACCCCCGACAGAUCAAAUACGGAGCAAAAAAAUAUAAUUCCACCGCCGCAACUUUCUGUAUCCACGAGAUCCCAUCUUGGGGCCUGUUCCGGAGCUCCACUGGAGGGGGCAUCUACCACGGAGGGCUUCUACAUCAACACCAUAGCCUCUCCGAUGAAGUGUGAGUAGUUUACUUCAGACCUUCGGGUCCAUAGCUAGUAGCUAGAUGGCUUCUUCUCUCUUUUUGGGUCUCAAUACAAUGUUCUCCCCCUCUCUUGUGGAGAUCUAUUCAAUGUAAUCUUCGUUUUGCGGUGUGUUUGUUGAGAUCGAUGAAUUGUGGGUUUAUGAUCCAGCUUAUCUAUGAAUAAUAUUUGAAUCUUCUCUGAAUUCUUUUAUGUAUGAUUGAGUUAUCUUUGCAAGUCUCUUCGAAUUAUCCGUUUGGUUUGGCCAACUAGAUUGGUAGUUCUUGCAAUGGGAGAAGUGUUUAGCUUUGGGUUCGAUCUUGCGGUGUCCUUACCCAGUGACAGAAAGGGUUGCAAGGCACGUAUUGUAUUGUUGCCAUCGAGGAUAACAAGAUGGGGUAUUUAUCAUAUUGCAUGAAUUUAUCCUCUACAUCAUGUCAUCUUGCUUAAGGCGUUACUCUGUUUUUAACUUAAUACUCUAGAUGCAUGCUGGAUAGCGGUCGAUGAGUGGAGUAAUAGUAGUAGAUGCAGAAUCGUUUCGAUCUACUUGUCUCGGACGUGAUGCCUAUACACAUGAUCAUACCUAGAUAUACUCAUAAUUAUGCUCAAUUCUGUCAGUUGCUCAACAGUAAUUUGUUCACCCACCGUAGAAUACUUAUGCUCUUGAGAGAAGCCACUAGUGAAACCUAUGGCCCCCGGGUCUAUUCUCAUCAUAUCAAUCUCCAUUACUUUAUUACUUGCUUUGUUUUACUUUGCCUUUUACUUUUCACUUUGCAUCUCUAUAUCAAAAAUACCAAAAAUAUUAUUUAUCAUCUCUAUCAGAUCUCACCCUCAUAAGUGACCGUGAAGGGAUUGACAACCCCUAAUCGCGUUGGUUGUGAGUAGCUAUCGUUUUGUGUAGGUACGAGGGACUCGUGCGUGAUCUCCUACUGGAUUGAUACCUUGGUUCUCAAAAACUGAGGGAAAUACUUACGCUACUUUACUACAUCAUCCUCUCCUCUUCGGGGAAAUCCAACGCAGUGCUCAAGAGGUAGCACCCUACCAGAUCAUUUCAUAGUUGUAGAUGUGGAGAAAGUCAAGGACGCUGCUCUUAGGAAGAUGGCAAUUGCAUUCAACAACCACAAGAAAACUGUAUGGAAGGACUACAUCAAAGCAGGAAAGAAGACUCCAGAAUUCAAGGGAACACUGGAGAACCAAAGAGAACAUUGGGACGAUUUCGUGAAAUUCAAGGAAUCAGAACUAUCUAAGGAACGGACCAGAAAAAAUAAGGCCAAUGCCGCAAAAAAGGAGCAAUUCCAUAGGAUGGGGCCAGGUGGCUACGCGAUGGAAAUGCCUAAGUGGGAUAAGCUUGAACAAGAGAUGCUGGCUGCAUAGGUCACUCCAGUUACAUUGAGCUGGCCCCCCAGGUGCAGAAGUUGGUUCUAUGCGCAUGAGGGGCGUUGGACCCGAAGACACGCUCGGUUUCGAAGAAGGCAUGUCUUAAAGGAGCCGAUGAAAAGUUAGUUGAAGCAAUAUAAGAAGCUCGAAAGGGGGUGUUCACGCCCAACAGAGAGAACAACGAGCUUACGCGCGCCCUUGGAAAUCCUGAACACCCGGGAAGAACAUGAGGCAAGGGCAUUGUUCCAUGGUAUGAGGGCUUUUCUGAGUGAAAUGCCGACUACAGAAGCCGUGCGAGAAGGAAGAUGGAGGAGGAGAAGAAGAAGAAGCUGGAGGACGAGCAGAGGAAGCAGGAAGCAGAAUGGCUUCAAGGCCUAGAAUCAGCGCACGCGGACUUGGCACUCAAAUUGCAGAGGCAGCAGGAGCAGAUCGGCUCGCUUAGCCACGAAAGGGGGUCCCAGCAGCGGCCGCAGCUAGCGGAUGAUCCAGCAUUGGAUAGCACCAUCCCAUCCAUGCCGAGAAGUAGCAUGGGUUCCGCCCCGGGCGACACACUGCUGGAUAGAUACCCUGUGGAUGCCAUCAUGGAGAACACUAACUGUGAGCUACACUUCAAAAUAAAGGAUAUAUCCGUGAAGGCGGCAGACGUCGUUGCUUAUACAAAUCCCCCCGGAGCAACCUACCAUUCCAGAACGAUUCCAGCCGGCUAUGCUCAUGUCGUGGUUGAUGAGGUGGUGGACCAUUAUUCGGGGCUACAGCUUGACAUUCCUGGAGGUGACGAGGAGCAGACACUGGGAGAGGCCAUACAUCGUAUCAUCCUAUGGAGAAAGGAUUGUAUCAUCUUUCGAAAGGCCACCGACACCGCGUCAGCUAGAGCUUGAAAUUCCAGGAGGUGACGAGGAGCAGACGACUCACGCUCCUCCAACGCGUGAGGCCACUCCUCCUGCUUCAACUCAGCCAACGCGUGAGGCCACUCCUCCUGCUUCAACUCAGCCAAGGCGUGAGGCCACUCCUCCUGCUUCAACUCAGCCAACGCGUGAGGCCACUCGUCCUGCUUCAACUCAGCCAACGCGUAAGGCCACUCCUCCUGCUUCAACUCAUCCAAUGCAUGAGGCCACUCCUCCUCCUCCAAGUCCACCAACGCGUGCCACUCCAAGUUCGACACCGCGUCAGCCAUCUCCGCUGCCUCAGCAAUCGCGGAAGAGAGCCGCUGCAGCUAUGGUGCGUAGUGCUACAAGUCGAGGUAGUACAGGAGGUACAGGCGGAGGCAAGUGAUUUCAAUAUGGUCCAAAAAUCCUUGCGCCUCUUCCGCAGAGGCCUUACGACAUGACCAAGGAGCAAAACAAAUCCAUAGUGAAGGCCCAAGUGGAGGCCCAUUUCGCACCAAAACCGGCACUGCCGCUAAGGGAGAAAGUGCCCGAGGAGAAGAUUGACCAGUUUAUUCGUAUGGCGCGACCACCAGCUCCCAAGCCUGUUGACUUAGACUACGAGCGCCAAAUCAGGAAGGCACAUCGAGCACGACAACAGGGGUCGAGCUCGAGCUUGAGGCAAGCAGCUGGCCAAAAAUGCGGGAAAACCGUUCCCCAGCUAGGAGAACAGGUGGCGCAAUCGAUCCCCCCACUUGUUGUACCAACACAUGAGAGUACCGCCUCCGGUCAGCUGGUAAUAACCGACGAGCAUAGACAGAACGCUGAAAUGCUCGGUAUCACUUUUGGACAACUCCUCGAGAUUGAGCCCAUGCCUAAGCUUAAAGAGCAAGACAUAAAAUGGAAAUAUACCCGCGGCCAACCUUUGGUAAGGCCUGAGGAGGUCAAGAACCUCCCAACGAGAAUGUAUCAAUUGCAUGAUUAAUACAUGAAAAUUACCAAGAGUAACAAUCGAGAGGGCCUCAUGGUAAAAGUCAAGGAAGAGUAUUACUUCCAUAAGCUAGCUCUGUCCAUUGAGUAUUCAGAACUAUUUCAAUUAUUCCAUCAAGAAGCACUCGACAAAUCCAUCAUCAGUUUGUAUUGUCUGUAAGUGAUUUCUUUCUGUAAUUCAAGUCUCAAGCUAGUUGUAGUGCUCAUUGAUCGAUCAUUACCUGUAAUUAUCCUCACUAUAUUCUUUUCUGUGGUAUUAUGCAGGAUGAAGAUGUAUGAAAUGAAAAAAGAUGGACGCUAUGGCAUUGGGUUCAUUGACCCAAAUACCAUUAAUGAAGAAACAUGGACAUAUCAGUGGUAUCAAGAAGAAGUAGAGAAAAACAUGCUAGAGUUCUUGAAACGCCUCAAUACUAAUGAACAUAUACUACUUCCUUACAACUACACGUGAGUCACACUGUCUUGUACUAUAAAUUCUGUUUUUACUUACUAGCUAGCUAGAUGUCAAUAAUUAAGUGUAUAGGGGUUUAGGGUAGUUGAUGAGUGUUAUGCACAUGCCCGCUUAAUUAAGACAUGCAAACGUAUGUGCAUGCAGUUACCAUUGGAUCUUGUUAAUCAUUAAAGUUGACGAAGGAACAGUUGAAGUACUGGACUCACUACUUAAAGAAAAACACACCUACUCAAUCGUGAAGGGGAUAGUCGACAGGUAAUUUCAAUCAUUAUUAACUAUAUGUCGGCCACUUUAGUUCAUAAUUUCCUGAUAUCAACUAUUUAAUAACUCGUUUAUUCAUUUUCCAGGCGAAUGGAAAGAAAAGCUGUAUUGGUUUCGACCCAAGAUAUAAUUAAUUAAGUAGUACUAGCUAGCUACCAUGCAUCUCUUUAAUUCCGGACUAUAGAACCGGCACUAAAGCCCCUUACGAACCGGGGCUAUAGCCCGGUUCUGCACUAGUGCAUCUCUUUAAUUCUAGUUUCAAUACCAUUAAUUAUCAUGCUUGAUUAAUUAUGAUCUGAUUAAAUUUUAUUCUCGUAAAGGCCCUGAAGCAGGCACAGGGGAGAGAUCAGUGUGCAUACUGCGUUUUCGAGAACAUUCGCAUGAUGACGUCUGAAAGGACCAAAACUGAUAGACAGCUAUGGGUACGCGCGUUUGACAGAACACUAUUCACAAUUUUUACGUCAUUAUCGAUAUCUAGUCACAUAACUAAUACACAUGCAUAUUAAUCUUUUUCUUAACAGUUCGGAUCGGUGCGGGACACGCUCCUAACAAAGGAGCGCAUACGAGCCCUUCAAGAGGAAAUAGCGGGAUUUUUGCUCGACAAGGUCAUAGAUCCCAAAGGGGAAUUCUACUACGAGUUACCGCCCCAAUGAACUACUCCCAAUUGUCAUCGUGCUCCGAAGACACCAAGGCAAAUGCCACUGGCUCUGAAGGCUACAUGUAGGAAGAACUGUGUGUGUGUGUGUGUGUAUACGGUUCUACCAGAAAUUCUAUUUAUAUAUAUGCAUAAUGUGUACAAUAUGUAGUAUCGUAAAAUACCAGCAAACAAAAAAAAUUAAAUGAAAAACACAAAAUUAAAGGAAAAAUAAAUAAUAAAACCAAAAUCCCCCAAACUUUUUAGUAUCGGUUGGUAACACCAGCCGGUACUAAAGCUCUCCCCACACCCGGCCCUGCCUCGUGCCACGUGGUGGCCCUUUAGCGGCGAUUUGUGCCUAACCGGUACUAAGGGAGGGGAUCUUUAGUCCCCACCCUUUAGUGCCGGUUACAGAACCGGCACUAAAGCCCCUUACGAACCGAGGCUAUAGCCCGGUUUUGCACUAGUGCCAGCAGGUGCCACCCCGGGCACACACUACCACUGUGUCGCCAUCAUACAUAUGUGCGCCAACCGCGCCUGCACGUUGCUCAGCUCCAGCACCAUACCUUGUCCCGGGGGCGCUGGCCCGUGCCAACACCCACGCGUGAAGGAACCAAGAGGCCCCACCACUGACCGCGCCAAUCGGGCUUCGCCUGGCCGUGCCUUCUGAGGAAGGCGAGGAAGGAGGAGGGGCAGCCUGUUGGUGGCGAUCUAGGGCCCCCCUUCUUGUCGCCACGCGGAGGCGACGCAAGAGGGGUGGGAUUUGUUUUCCGUUGGAUAUGGUGGCAUUUAGUACCUGGCAAUCAACACAUGUUCUUCCAUUGAUCUAAAUGACAGUUCAAAAGAAAAAUCUUUGAUUGCGUAUCUUUCACAAAGAGGACAUGUAUGCCCAGUCAUGCAUCAAUGAGAUCUAUAUUAAAGUUCAAGGACUCAAGAUAGGUAAGAAGUAACAAGAGGAUUGGGAGAUAAUGGAACAAGUCACUCUCCCAGCCUCUGCAGCAGCUCUAUAAAUUACAGAGUGUGCUAGUAUCUGAAAACCUAGAGCGUGUUGGAACCAAGGAUCGAUGAACAAUCAGAAGAACACGAGGAGAUGGAACACCCGCGGCGACGGACGCCCCCCGGCGAAGAACACCGGGGCCGUUUUCCUUCACUGUAUCCAAUUGGCUCAACGAACAAGACGCAAUGCAUUAAGAAUCAUUAUAACCGUGCAGCUUUCGAGCCCUCUCAGGCCAUCAACGUUCAGAGCCGUCCGAUCGUCACUUUUUGCCAUUUUUGACCGUCGGAUUGGCCCUGGAUCGCAUGUACGCUCCUCCGUUCGCUACAAUGGAGCGCUAACCGUCCCGGGCCGCUGCUCCGGUGACUUUUUUGGGCUUCUGUCGUUAAAUUUGGCUUAAUGGGCUUUUACCAGCCUCCCAUCCGUGCAGUCGAAGGGGAAAAAAACACGACUCUCGCAACUCUCGUUUGGCUCACAAGGUCGCAACCUUCCUCGUUCGCGUGGCGGCUCCUCGCGACCAUGACGGCUUCGAUCGAUGCGUGAGCGACGACUCACAUGGCCAAUACGCUAGGUUCUGCCGACACGACAAACGGCCUUGUCGGGCGACGGCACCGGAUCCGCUGGGUUGUCUAGGCUCGGUUGUACUUGCACAGCACGACGGGAAGAUGCAGUGGCGGCGAACAGCAGUAUGUCGAUUGGAGUUCUAUCGCCAGCGAUUGAUUGAGUGGUUAAUGGCCGUUCAAAGCACGUCAGUUUCGUUUGUCUAUUCAUAUUUUUUCCUUUAAGUCACGGGCGCCCAUAUAAUCCCAACCUGGCCGCUGCUCCUUCCACACUUUCCUGACUUCCACAAAUCAUUCUCCCACAGCCAUUGGUGAUGCUUAGGUCUCUAAUUUAUCCCAAUNNNNNNNNNNNNNNNNNNNNNNNNNNNNNNNNNNNNNNNNNNNNNNNNNNNNNNNNNNNNNNNNNNNNNNNNNNNNNNNNNNNNNNNNNNNNNNNNNNNNNNNNNNNNNNNNNNNNNNNNNNNNNNNNNNNNNNNNNNNNNNNNNNNNNNNNNNNNNNNNNNNNNNNNNNNNNNNNNNNNNNNNNNNNNNNNNNNNNNNNNNNNNNNNNNNNNNNNNNNNNNNNNNNNNNNNNNNNNNNNNNNNNNNNNNNNNNNNNNNNNNNNNNNNNNNNNNNNNNNNNNNNNNNNNNNNNNNNNNNNNNNNNNNNNNNNNNNNNNNNNNNNNNNNNNNNNNNNNNNNNNNNNNNNNNNNNNNNNNNNNNNNNNNNNNNNNNNNNNNNNNNNNNNNNNNNNNNNNNNNNNNNNNNNNNNNNNNNNNNNNNNNNNNNNNNNNNNNNNNNNNNNNNNNNNNNNNNNNNNNNNNNNNNNNNNNNNNNNNNNNNNNNNNNNNNNNNNNNNNNNNNNNNNNUUCCCCCAAUUCUUCAUCCGUUCUCAGAAAAUUUGUUUCAUUGAUGUUGUUCUUUCAGUUCACAAACAAUGCAGGUUCGUUCUGCUAGGUUAGCUAAUUAUGCUGGAUUAAAUGGUUUAGGCAUUACCCAUUUGGAAUGUGAUGCGCUGAUUUCAAUUUCACUGGUUUUGUUCGAGUUGUUGCUAUAAUAGUUUAGAGAGAUCUAUAUAUUACCCCCUGCUGCUCGCAUUAUUCUUUCACCAAGUGCACUUAGCGUAAUCAUCUGAGUUUUUGCAAUCUGCUGCAAUAUUAUCCCUUUUACGGAUGUAUUCUUUGGCUAAUAAUUCAAAAUGACUGCAGGUUCUUUAGACGGGCGGAUUUCUUUAUUUCCUGCAGCCGGAUCUGCCAAUAUAGUGGCCAACGGACAGGUUACUAUGAGUAUGCUCCUAUGUUGUUAUGCCUCAUUUAACUUAGUGCCCCAUCUCACUAUCUAUGCGUACUAUAUGAUGCCACUCUGCCAUUCUCUAUUCUUACAAUAUGAUAACACUCUCUAUGAUUGAUUGAAAUACUUGCAAUACCGCCUGUUUUUCUUGCCCUAUGUAGAAGGUUAGUUAGCAAGUAAAAAAUGCACAAACGAAAUAGGUAAAUUUUUCAAGGCGUUGAUGCCUCCGCAUCACAUUCUGGAUAUAAACAUAUUGUGCUUAUCAGAUCACUUUGACAAAAUUCCGAUGCAGAAGAAUAAGCAAACCAAGUGAAACCGAAGUCCAGUCGAUUGAUCCAGAGAACCUGCUUUAAUUUUGGGGGUGCAAAGAAUAGCAUCAAUAAGAAAUCAAUAACGUGAGCAGAAUUGGGAAAAGAGUGUAGAUAGGAAGGAGGGAACACCUGCAGAAGGGGGGAGAUGAAUUAUUGACUUAGUGUGAACCAUGCCUGCUGGUGAAGGAUUUGCCAAAGUAAGGAGGGGAAUGAGGAAGCAGAACUGGAUGAUGGAGCCCACGCUGCCUGUAUGUGUAAUUCUACUGGUUUUAGUGUGUCUAGCAUAUUCUUUAUCCUGCCAUUCAUUUAACAAAUUGAGCAGUGCACAAAACUGAGGUCCUGAUCUCAGCCUACAAUGUUAUUUUUCCUGUAAUUUGAUGUCAAUAGAUCAAUUUUGAUGCUUGCCCUGCUGAAAGUUACACCAUGAAAUAUAGAGGAUUAGUUCUGUCAGCAAGGUAUCAGAUUAUUAAACUUAUCAAGUUUAGGUACCUUGUGAAUUUAUGGUCGGAGCUCAGAGGAAGUUGAAAAGUAGCAAACAAGUCAGCUCAGGUUGGUUUUGAUGAACUGCUUGCUAAUUUGAUACAUAUCGACAUACAGUUCCAUGUAUAUGUUUGCUAUAUCACACCGACGGCUGAGGCCGGCCAUCGACGCCCGACGAUGGUGACAAUGGGCAAGAUUUUUUUUUGGUUAGUCGGCCCUUUGAUUUAUUCUAUGUGAUAAUAUUAGUCCGCACUAGGAUUUAGGCUGUACCAAUUUCUUGAUAUAGACGGAAUUAAUUAGGGGCAGCAAUCUCGUGUUUUAUCCUCACAAAUUAGACAUGACAUGUUGAUUCUAUCAUUUGAUUAAAUUUGUCGCCGGUUAUGUUUGUGUUUGUGUAGUUAUGAAGAGUAAAAACAACAUAUAGAUUUUACGAGAUAGUUGGAUCAAGCAAACAAUGAAGGACCACAACAAACCAUCAAAAUCUUUCAACAUAUUUGCUAUGUAUAAGAAAUCUUUCCUCAUAACAGUACAUUUGGUUACUAUACGCUUGUCCGCAGGACUAGCAAGUCUGUGUUUCAUAGUAUUCCACCACUGUUGUCCUCUGUAACAAGGAAAGAAUGUGAUGCACGCCUGCAACAAUCCAUAGCAAGAAUUGCAACAUGCUAUUUAUAUCACCAUCAUCACUUUGUUUCUGUGUUGUUAAGCUAUUUUGUUUCGAAAUCUUCAUGGUGAUGCGAAUUAGUGAGAUCAUGAAGUAACCAUAAGUUCCAGAUCUUCGGAUAAAGAUUGUCUACAAGAUGAUGCAUUAGAUUUUUAUAGUUAACUAACAAUUAUAGCGGGUAUGCCAUUUUACCGUUCUAACAUCAAAGGAGUAUAUACUCAUCAUGGUGAUUGUAAAAACAAGUGACCCUUCUACUUUAGAUUUGUGGUUACUUGUGGUUAACACAUAAUAACUUACAUUUCAAUGUCUCCAUAUAUUUCUGAAUUCACUAUCAUUCUAUUGAAAAAAUGGACGGGCGCGGCAGCGCGCGCCAUCAUGGUCUAGUUUUCUUAUAUAGCCCAGCACACACAGGGCCGGCAGCCACACUUGGCCACGCACGCACGUAGCACCCACUAACCAACCCUACAUGCAAGUCCAUAUCCAGCUGAUGCAUGCACGCACUAACCAACUAGCCUACUACUUCCUCCGUCCGGAAAUACUUGUCCUAGAAACACUAGUAGAAAAGGGGGCAUCAGUCCCGGUUCGUAAGGGCUUUUAGUCCCGGUUCUUGAACCGGGACUAAAGGGUCGUUACUAAUGCCUCCCCCCUUUAGUCCUGGUUCAAACUGGAACCGGGACUAAAGGUCGCGGCCACGUGGAGCUCUACGUUUAGUCCCAGUUGGUAACACCAACCGGGACUAAAGGAAAUUCUAUGAUUUUUUUUUCUAAAUUUUUUUUGAUUUUUUUUAUUUUUAAAUUUCUGAAUUAUUUUAACCUCUAAUCUCUAAUCACCACCUCUCAUCACUGCUCAAUUUAUCCUCUAAUCUCUAAUCAUCCCUCAUCAUUCCUAAUCAUCUAACUUCUCGAACGGUCACCCAUCCUCCCACUCCCUCAGCCUGAGCACGCUUUAUUUCCGGAUUCUAUUCUCCCUCGUUUCCAAGUCUGCACUUGUUGUUUUCUUGACAAUAGUAAGAUGUAAAUCCUAUUAACCCUCAGGAAUUUUGCGUGAGCAUGAAGUGACACAUUUCACUGUUUGAGUUUGAAACUAUUGUUUUAAAAAACAAUAAUUAUUUAGUAACACAAUAUUUCUUGAAUAAUUAGUUUGACCAUUGUUUGACCAUAGUUUGACCACAGUUUGACCAGAUUUGACCAAAAUUCAAAAUAACUAAAAUAAUUAUUUAGUAACACUAAUAUUCUAGAAUAAUUAGUUUGACCAUUGUUUGACCAUUGUUUGAACACAGUUUGAAUUUUUUUUGAUUUUUUUCACUCUAGAUCUUAAAAGCCCCGUAACUAUUUUUCUGUUAGGUUUUUGAGGAUUUUGAAAAUGUUUAACGGUAGACCACAUAUCACAUGGGAAACUUUUUUUGACAUUUUCAUCAUUUUCUUUUUUUUAACUGAAAACGCGGCCCGGGGGGUGGAGUUUGAAAAAUGUGACCUUUAGUACCGGUUCGUGCCAUGAACCGGUACUAAUGCCUCAAACCCCAUUAGUACCGGUUGGUGGCUCGAACCGGGACUAAAGGUCUAACCUUUAGUCCCGGUUGGUGCCACGAACCGGUACUAAAGGGCAUCGCACCCUUUAGUCUCGGUUCGUGGCACCAACCGGGACUAAAAGGUCUAGACGAACCGAUACAAAUGGCCGAUGUGGCCCCUGGACGCACGAACCGGGACUAAUGCCUCCAUUAGUCCCGGUUCUAGACUAAACCGGGACUAAUGGGCUAAUCCGGGGUGGACCAAAGCCCUCUUUUCUACUAGUGAAAUGAAUGUACCUAGCCUUAUUUUAGUUAUAGAUACAUCCAUUUUAUCCAUUUUUAGAACAAGUAUUUUCGGACAGAGGGAGUACUAGCUAACAACACGUAGCGCUCACGGAAGCAACGCUCUUCCCGCGCAUGCCUCCCUGGCGAUCCGGUCUUUUCUCCAUCGUGAGCCCGCCUGCUCGUCUGAACGACCUGGCCCAGGUUGCUUUGCUGCACACUACCUCGGUCGCCCUGUGACUACAUGCCUAGCCACAAACCGGCUCAAACUAGACUCACUCCGUGAUAUGGACACAGACGUGAGCACGAACUCAGGCGCCACCGCGACACACACGCACCACGAACACAGACACGGCCAUGAACCGAUGCCUGAACUCGCCCUAGAACUAGACACAUACUGGUCACCACGACGAGUCGUGGUUUAUGCCUAACAGAGCGAGCAGCAAGGUACUGUAUUACAUUUCCACUGAUGCAUAGGUCCGGAUUAAAUCAAACUUCAUGAGAUAUAUAGCUAGGUCAUAUUUCCUUUCCUGCUGGCAAUGGGGACACCUUAAAUUUUGCCCGUACGAAUAGUGAUGCCUUAAUUUUUAUCUCCAUCGUAUAUGUUAGCAAGCUAGCUAGGUUGGGAGGCAAAAGGGAACUAAGCAUGCAAACAUAGCUAGCUUGUCCGCUUCAAGGUCUUUUCACACGAUUGAAUUCUCAAUGAUGUAGUUAAUUGUCGCUCAGAAAUGCACAUCUUUGCUCUGAAAAUACUUGUCGGAGGAAUGGAUGUAUCUAGACGCAAUUUAGUUUUAGAUACACCCAUUUUCAUCCAUUUCUCCGACAAGUAUUUCCGGACAGAGGGAGUAGCUGUCAAGACCUAGAAAGGGCACCAUGUAGAAAAACGUUUCUGCUCCGGUGCUCCCCCCUGGGUUGAACGCGAGGGGAGAAACACAAGGACGGCUGAGAUCUGUCAAAAACGAUUCGUGAAGAGGGGCACGAUCGUCUUUUUAUGCCCGAGGAGAACGUGCGUACAGCCCUGUAGAAGCCCGCACCGGCGCGCGUACAACCCUGUACAAGCCCGCACCGGCCCGAUUACUUUUGUACACUGAGGGUAUACAUGUAUUGUACGUGGGCGUUUCGUUUUCCCUUGUCACGUGCUGCGGUCGUGGGCGUGGGCGGCGGCGGUCGUGGGCUAGAUUAAAAAUUACAAAAGAAAUAAAGAAAAUAAAAAAGAGAAAUAAAAAAUCAACUACGCGAACAAAAAAUUAAAAUAAAGAACAUUUUUUAAAUUUGUGAACAAAACUUUCAAAAAACAUAUUUUGAACUUCGGGAAAGUAUUUUGAAAGUGUGAAUAUUUUUAAAAAAAUUGGGAACAAAAUUUGAAACAGGAACAUUUCGUGAAGUUUUGAACAAUUUAUGUGCAACACAAAAUUGUUUUUGAAAAAACGAAAAUAAACUUGAAAACGGGAAAAAUAAAAACGAAAAAAAUGAAAAAGAAAGAAAAAGAAACAGAAAAAGGCAAAAAAAAGAAAAAGAAAAAAGGAAAAAGAAAAAAAAACGGUUCAGGAAUCUCCUAGAAGGUUCCCAAAACCAAAGAAAACCGGCUGGGAACCAGCUAGAAAGUUCCCAAAACCGGAAUGGCUGAUAAGUUUAACGGGCUGGCCCAUCCCGAACGGUCGUCGCGGUCCCCGUGUGCGUCGCUGCAGCAGUUUGCCGCAAAGAGCGGCAAAUAAAAAAAACCUUGUAAACGAGCCACGUAAGGGACGAACUGGGUGGGCUGCGUUUUUGUCCUGUUCUUUUAUGUGUCGGGGCAGGCUUUGGACAGUGGGCUGGAAAAGACAAUUUUUUACUUUGUUUGUUGGGUUUUAUUCUGCCGGGGUCAGCUUCUGUUUUCUUAUUAUUUCCUACAAGAGGGAACGGACAUAUACAUAGACUGAAGUGCAUUGUGUCCGUAUUAGGAGCAGUAUGACAUAUUUAGCUUACAAGCCUUGUAAAUUAUUAUUAUUAUUACUUUUUUAUUUUUUAUUUUAUUUUCCAAUUUUGGGUUUAUACCGGAUUGUUAAACUAAGUUUUAGCCAAGUCCCAAUCAACUCUUUGGCCAUGAGAUUUUCCUAUGCUUGUUUUUGUAUUAAAUUGAAAUGUUUUAGGAGCGCGACUGACCUGUUUCAUUUUCUUCUUUGUUUUUUAUUUCUCUAGUGUCGGCCGGGUAUGCGGUAUGGGCUGACCUUUAGCGGUUAUUUUUUCUUGUCUAGUUUUGGGAUUUCCCUUUUUGUUUUUUAGGCUGCAAUUUUUCAGCGGGGAAAACAUACCGUCGGAAGAGGGAGGGGAAUCGGUUGAGAACUGUCGGGAGAAACCAUUUUGUAUCAUCAUUAUAUUUUGUGUUUGUUUUGUAAGUGUGUAAUGUUUUUUUGUCUAUGUUUCUUGUGAUGAUGAUUUCUAUUAUUGCGUUUUGUAUUUUGAACCUUCUCCUGCUUUUCUAUUGUUCUUAAAACUUUUUUGUACCAUUUUUUNNNNNNNNNNNNNNNNNNNNNNNNNNNNNNNNNNNNNNNNNNNNNNNNNNNNNNNNNNNNNNNNNNNNNNNNNNNNNNNNNNNNNNNNNNNNNNNNNNNNNNNNNNNNNNNNNNNNNNNNNNNNNNNNNNNNNNNNNNNNNNNNNNNNNNNNNNNNNNNNNNNNNNNNNNNNNNNNNNNNNNNNNNNNNNNNNNNNNNNNNNNNNNNNNNNNNNNNNNNNNNNNNNNNNNNNNNNNNNNNNNNNNNNNNAGGGUCAACUUCAUGUCUGCCACCACGCAUGCAACUGCAAGUGUCACCCUCGAUUGCAACUCUAUUUUUCUGUGUGAGAGGGGCAGCUCCAUGUUUGUCACCAGGCAUGCAACUGCAAGUGUCGCCCUUGACUGCAACUAUAUGUGUUGUUUGUCGGUCGCGGAAGGGAGGCAGUUGCAUUACUACCACUAGGCACACAACUACAAGUGUCGCCCCAUCUGGAACCGCAUGUCAUCAACGUGAUUGCAUCUCUAUGGUGUUUUUGUCCGGGGAGGGAGCACUUUCGUGUCUGCCACUAGGCACACAACUGCAAGUGUCGCCCUGAAUGCAACUGCAUGUCUUCAAUGCGACUGCAACUUACCAGUGUCUUGUCGAGGGUAAGGAAGUUGUAUGUCAGUCACUAGGCACGCAACUGCAAGUGUUGAACAUGACUACAACUGCAUGUCUUGAACGCGGUUGCAACUUAUAGUGGUGUUUUAUCGUAGGAGGGGCUAGUUGCAUGUUUUCCACUAAGCAUGUCUUCAACGCGAUUGCAAGUGUCGCCCUGACUGCAAUUGCAUGUCUUCAACACGACUACGACUUACCGGUGUUUUGUCAAGGGGAAGGAAGUUGCAUGUCAGGCACUAGGCACGCAACUGCAAGUGUCGCCCUUCGAUUGCAAACUGCAUGUCUUCAAUUCGAUUGCAACUUAGUGGUGUUUUGUCAGGUGAGGGGGCAGUUGCAUGUCUUGUACUAAGCAUGUAACUGCAAGUGUCGCCCGCGACUGCAAUUGUAUGUCUCCAACGCAAUUGCAACUCCGUUGUGUUUUAUCGGGGAGGGCGGUGGAAGUUGCAUGUCUACCACUAGACAUGCAACUACAAGUGUCGCCUUCGGUUGCAAUUUUGUGGUGUUUUGUGGCGAGGGGAUAGUUGCAUGUCUGCCACUAGGCACAACUACAGAUGUCACAUUUCAAUUGUAUGUCGUCCAUCCUAUUGCAAUUGUAUGUCCUCUAUACAACUGCAACUUAAUGGCGUUUUGUUGAGGUUAGGGCGGUAGUUGCAUGUCUAAUUAUUUGAUUGAAUUUAUUUGCAAAUACCAAUGUAUAAUGAAAAUAUUUUCUUAAAAUACAAAUUUCUUUUAAAAUUGGGCUAACACUUUGCAUUUAUUUUUUCAGGAACAAGAAAAGAAAAAUGAAAUAAGGCUUAAAACAACCAUGAAAUUUGACAGGUGUUCAUGAAAUACACCUUUUAAAAAAUGCUAGCCUAUUUAAAAAAACCAUGUAUUUUUCAAUAAAUAUAGAUAUUUCUUGAAAGAAAGAAAGUACAAACAAGAAAGAAGAAAAUAAAAACAAAGGCAGAAGAAAAAAGAAACAGGAGGCAACUACUCCUAGGAGUAGAUAAAAAAAACAAUGAAGUAAGAAAAUAGAGAAACAACAGAAAGGAAAGGGAAAAAAACUCAAAAUUAUUGAUGUUCCAACUUUUUUAGUCUAAUUCAUUUUUCCAACUAAACCAGAAAAUAUUUAAACCCGUAGCUAGGGUGUGCGCUGGGGUAGUUAUAUACCCACACAUAACUAUUAUCUUUUCAUUUUAUGCUUUUUUAUUUUAAAUUAUUUCUAUAGUGUUUUCUCCAUUGUUUUUCAUCUGUCCAUUUUCCACUUGUUGAAUAGGCUGAAGUAUUUCUCCCAGGAGCCAGCAAGUUUGCUAGCCAUGUAUUUGUACCUGUAACAGAAUAGAGAAGGAAAUUAAAUCGGUAAAAAGAAAACAAGUCAUAUGGGGCAAGCCCAGCCCAAGGCGUGGAGACAACGAAGCAGCACCAGCCGCCAAACAGGCCUAGGGCCGAUGGUGCUGACAUCAGCGACUGAGACUUAACUAAGUCUCAGUCGACUGAGAUGUAGACACUCCCUUAAAAAAAGUAGACAUAUUUAGCUAGGUCUUAUCUAGAUGUGCUCUUGUCUACUACCUCCGUCCGGGUUUAUUAGGCCCAUGGGAAACCAGAGGUUGUCCCUAUUUGUAAGGCCCUCAUGCAACCUAGGUAUUUUCUCCGGGCCUCAUUUUCUUCAUUACCACUUAAUAAGACAAUAAAUCGCUUGCUUUUCCUCUGUUAGCUGGCGCAUGCGUCCAUCGUAUUGGGCAGGAGCAGCAGCAUUAAAUUGAGCAUGGACUGCAUGCAGGUAGGUGCGGAAUUGAGCAUGGACGGCAUGCAGGUACGUGCGCGCAUGCAGCACGAUUGCAUUGUUUUGACAGUUAAUUGGGCGUAGAAGCCGAAGUAUAAUAGUGCUAAUUGUAAGGAAUUAAUGUUAUGUCUUGGUACAUGAGUUCUUGUCGAAGGGCCCAAUAAAUCCGGACGAAGAAAGUAGCACUCUAGCUAGAUAUUCAUUGCAACCGAACUGAAUUCAUUGCAACUGAAUUGAAUUCAAGACGGCUAUCAGUGAUCAACUGACUGGGGGAGACGAUCUGGCAAAAGAUCUGUAGCACGUAAGUGCGGGGGCAUGCAGCCCCUUUUUCUUUGGACGUCGAUAAUUGACACACGUGUGGCAGGAAAGGAGAUGCACCACACGUCUCUAAUGCAAAUAGAUUGCCAUGUCAUCGCAUGCAUGCAUGCAAGAAUCUUUUCGGAUUUUCAGUUUUUAAAACAUUUUAUCUCUUAAAUGAAAAAUCCGAUUGAAGAUCCGUUUUCAUCAUUAAAUCCCUCGCGGCGAGAUCUUCAAAACUAGAUCUCAUAUUGAUAUAUUUCGGCGAUUUUUUUUUGGCUAAAAGUUGACAUGUCUAUUGCACAUGAAUUGCCAUGAUAUUUACACUGAAGUUGCCAUUAUAUGUUUCAACUAUUUUCUUUUACAUUUAAAAAUAAAUUUUAACAUAUUAUAAAACGGAGAAUUAAGAAAUUAGACUUGCCAUGCACCAUAAACUAAAAUUGCCAUGAUACAUGCACUUAAAAUUGCCAUGGUUCAAUAAAAAAAAUUAUUUUCAUGAUCAAAGUACUGGAAUUGCCAUCAUCAAAAAACUAAAAUUUCCAUGAUCUACAAACUAAAAUUGCCACAUGGCAACUUUAGUUUAAGCACUAUGGCAACUAUAGUGUAAACAUCAUGGCAACUUCUGGGCAAAAAAAAAAAUUCGUCGAAACAUAUCAACAUGUGGUCUAGUUUUGGAGAUCUCGUCGAGACGGAUUUAAUGGUGAAAACCGAUUUUUAGUUCGCUUUUUUAUUUAAGAGAUAAAAUAUUUUUAAGCCGAAAACCAAAAAGAUAUCUGCUGAUGUCAUCUAUUCAUACGUGGCAAAAUGAGUGGUGAUGAAGGUGUGUGGGCGAUCUGCAAACGACCACAUGUGUGGGCGUUAGUUUUUUCGUUUUCUUUUGGCUUUUGAUUUUCUCUCGGGUAGUGCUCACAAGAGAUAGCAUUCCCAAUUCACCUUCAGUACCGUUGUUUUCUCGCUUUUUCUAAGACGUUUAUUUAUUUUCUUUUCUUUUCUUUUUUAUUAGGACCAGCCUAUUUUCUCAAUUUAGUUCUCUUUAAUGUACAUAUAGCAAAAGAGUCCGUGCGGUGCUACGGGAGAGAAAAAGGCCGUGUUGUCAUUCUAGAACUUGUUGUUGAUACCGUCUGCAGGUGCCACUGGUUUUUUUAGCCGUGCAUGUGCCACUGGGCAUGGUUUUUAUGUUCCUGGAGUCACUAUUAUGCUCAUAUUCCUUUUAGGAUUAAGCCGUUUUUUAUUCCCUUUGGCACGAUCUAGGUUCAUGAUGGAAUAAAGGUUCCAUUUUCAUGGUAAUGUUCUCAAUGUCUAUGAAUUUGAAAAACACUGUUGAAUUUGAAAAAUGUUCAUGAAAUAAAAAAAAAAUCUUGUUAAUUUGAAUAAUAUUUAUGAAUUUGAAAAAUCUUCUAGAAUUCAUUUUUUUGAAUUUGAAUACAAAAUUGUCAUUUUUAAGAAUUUUUUUCAUGAUUUCCAAAAAUAUUUUAGGAUUUGAAGAAUAUGUGUGAUUUCAAAAAUUAUUCUGGAAUUUCGAAAAAGGUUUAAGAGAUUUUUUAAAAGUUCUAAAAAUCAUGAAUUUAUUAUAAGAAAAUAACAAAGGAAUAAAUUACCAGAAGAACCCAAAAGGAAAAAGGAAUGAGAACCCGGUCAGUGAAUGUUCCAGAACCUUUCAAAAACCGGAAGAGUGAGUAUGUUGGAAAUCUUUGGUUGGGCCAGACCCAAUACUUGUGCGCGUUUGCCUGAUAUCCACCGCGCGAGAGAUGAUGGUUGUUGUAGCAGCCCGGGGGAGAGAGGAGAGGGCGGGACACAGGAGCAGUCGGGCACGGACUCUCAGGGCUGACCCCACCGAUUUUGGUCUGGACUCUGGAGUCGACGACGAAGUUUGGAUAGGUUGGCCCCAUAAAGUCGAGGACCCGGCCGGCCUAGCUACUACGUACACGAUCAACAUCUAGUCGUAAUCAAAGGAAACCUAAAAGUUGAGUAGCAUCUUCAAAUCGAUCGCUGGAAGGAGAGAAGCGAUGGACGUCGUCGCGGAGGAGGUGUGCGUGAGGGCCUCUUCUAUUCUCAAGCUCCAAUAACAUGUGGAAGACAAUCCCUUAUAAAGAGGUCCAACUCCUUCUCCACUAGCGGGGUGGGACUAAACUUCCCACUACACCUAGUGCCAAUAAACUCACAUGGGCCCUUAGAGAUUUUUCAGAAAUUGCGAUAUGGGCCUAAAGCCCAUCCCAAAUUUCAGCAAUCCCCCACCAGAUCUCGAGGGCCCAUUGUGUCCUCUAUUCCAGUUGCUGUUUCGAUAUACUAGUGUUUCAGUGAAGACCUGUUAAAGGCGAGCUUCACCUGGAGCAAGUAGCUACACUCCUUCGCAACCUAUGUGAGCCCGACUGCUGGUCACAGUCUAUCAGUUUGGCAUAAAAAAGCUUCACCACAUGUCUUACUAGUACUAGCCUGCCGAAGGCAGACCCCUCGGGUGAAGCAUAUAAGUCACACUCUUGGCCUAUUCAUGAGCUUACUAGAGAUCACCCCAAUCUCGUAGACUAUGACAAGCAGUCGGGCUCACAUAGGUGUGUUCCUCCAAAGAUCGCUCUGUAGGAUAGCAUCUUGCUUACAUAAGCUUUGGAACACAUUAAGACAAUAGUCAUCCUACCAUAUAGUAUUGAGAGUAUUGCAUCUCCAACGGAGUGGGUUAGUAUAGUUACUCUCCUCAGUUCACCACUGGCUUGUUUUCCUAGGUCCUACUUCACAGGAUGUCCGAUCACAUAGGUUGGGUUAUCACCAUGGCAACUCAUGUGGGUCUCAUACCCAUCUCCCUCGAUGCAUUAUCUAUCACAACACGUGAUCGCCCUUUUGGAAAGGGAUCUGCCAAAUUCUUAGCCAUAUGGACAUAGUCCAACGCUAUCACUCCGGAGUUUCUUAAUUUCUGACAGCUUUUAAUCUCAUUUUUAUGUGUUUGUUGGACAUCAUGUUGUCCUUUGAACUCUUCACCUUGGUGAUAACAGUAUGAUUGUCACAGUUCAUAAGGAUAGUUGGAACCGAUUUAUCAACCAAUGGCAAGUCCAUCAAAAGAUCUCGAAGCCAUCCUGCUUCAACACCAGAUGUGUCUAAUGAUGUUAAUUCUGCUUCCAUUGUCGAUCUCGCCGUGAUAGACCGUCUCCGUCCAGGACCACUUCUGGCCGACCAGUGCUGGGUUCCAUGGCGUGGGAUCCUCCUCCUCCUCCUGCUACACGCCCUCCAUGGCCUCCUCCUGCACCACGACGUCGAACUCUAGGGUGGCGACGCUGCCGGCCGUGGUGAGGGCUAUCAUGUGUUUGAGGCCCUGUCACUGGGCUCGUUAUGGGUGUGGAGGGAGUCAUCCAUGACCCGCCUCACCAGCUCCUCCUCCUCCUCGGUUGUCGUCUGAGCAGGCAGUGGCGGGGAUGACAUCAGGGAUGGCAUUGGCGUCAGUCCGCGGACCAGCCUAUGUCCGCGUGGCUGGGGAGGGCUGACGGCGCGCUCGCGGUGGGGCGGGCUUGGAGCAUGAUCGACAAAGAAUGAUUGCCGAUGUAGAUCGUGCUCGUCGUAGAGCCACGUGUCCCACAACAGGGAUUCCACGACAUACCUCCAGUGGUUAUCGAGGUCCGACGGCAGGCCACCUCCUCGAGUCGAGCGCGGUCGCUCAUCGGGAUCGGUGGGAUGGGCACCCAAUCCGCGGAGAGAUGCCGGUUAUUGGGAAGGUGCACGUCGCAUGAUUGUAGCGGCGUGCUUGACUCCCAGUAACGCUUGCAAAUCUCCGCCUUCACGUACGGCCUUAUGCGAGGUCCGGCCGCACGCGACGUGGAAUGCGGGUGCCGGAGGUAGAGGUGGAUGUGGAGGGGUGGAGCGGUGGCAAUGGCCGAAGGAAGAUCCAAUGACAUCCCAUGGUAGCCGGCGGCAAGGUGGAGCUAGGGUUUGGAGAAGGCGAGCGCGUCGGGCUUCGAGGAGGCACGUGUCGCUGGGAGUGGAAGUGUGGACUCCCAUCGAUCCACGACUUCCACAUUAAAAGGGACCACGACCGCUCGGCUGGGGUGGCUGCCAGGCAGGGCCGCUCGCGCGUGCAUCAUAAAUAUGGACUGUGAGAGGUAGAUGGGCCGCUGCCACGCGAGCUGAUAUAGACCGAACCUCGUGGCGAGAUCCGAUCCGUUGUUACGGCUCGACCUUUCACGGCACUCCACCUUUAGUAGCAGCAACCUCUCGCCCGCGCACGCGAUGUACACGAAGUACAGAGUUUGAACCUUGCGGCCCAGCACGAGAAAACCAAUCUCGAAGGUACUCACGUGCAAACAAUUUCCACGAAGAGAAACUGUAACACAUAGGUUUUCUAAGAUCCCUUCAAAACUUUGUCUACCCUGCAAACACAUGGUGUCGAUUUCAUAAAAAAAUAGGCGGCUACUAGGCAUCAGCCGGCUGAUCUUUUCGUAAGAUCAGCCGCCUAGCCAACCGUUGAUUAGCAUCGAUUUGGCCCGCUUGAUUCCUUGACCACGCCACCGCUUUCAUCCCAAUUUAGGAUAGUAUAACUGAGCCUAAACCGAGCUCUCUUACGAUUUAGCCAUUUCUGACCGUCCAUUUGCUUGAUUUGAAAGAUCUUGGCCGUCAAAUCUGCUCUCUAUUUCGUCCACCACCACAUAUUAUUCUUACUGGGCCAAAUGUCCUAAGGGGCUGCUGCUCCACAGGAAAAAUCUGAGCUUUCUGGUAAAAUGGGCCUCUUACCCAGCCCAUUUAUCUAAACCAGCAGCGGUCCGCAAGUGUUCGGCCUCCAGAAUUUUCCAGCCUCACUCGACCCAUCGAGAGAGAUGGAGGACAAGGGGAUCGGGCGACCCUCCUUCGCUCCGCCCAGAUUUCCAUCGAGAGGGAGGAGUGAGGACGAGGGAGAUCGGUCGCUUCGUGGUUGCGAGGGGAGGCGGUCGUGUGUUCGGCCCUGUUAGGUCGGACAUGCCAGCCGCCCGUGACGCAGGCGACCGGUCACGGGCUCACGGCCAAGCGCCCCGCGGGCUCACCAUGAAACGUUCAUGGUGAUUAAUAGAUGCCUGGCUCUUUAUUUCUCAUUUUUCAGUUUCUCUCCAAGCAUUCAUGGUGAAUGAUGUGCGCUCCUCACGGUGAUUAAUACUAGAUGCCUGGCUCUUUGUUUCUCAUUCUUCUGCUGCGUAUAUAUGCUUCCACUCGGCUCACUCUUCUAACUCCGGCGAUGGAACGAAUAUGGUGAAUCCUAACUGGUUACGCGCGCAACGCCAAUCGCUACGGUCGCUGCGACCCGCCGAUGCGAGUGGCCGUGGCCCACCUGGUCCCAUGCAAUUAUCCCUCGUCUUAUUUUUUCACCGGCAUACAGUUUGAAUACAGUCAAAUCGUAUCUGUACCAUGCCUGCCCAUACCUACAUCGUACCCGCUCGCCCUUUUCUUUCUCUCCACACCCACGCCCGUACUCUCUCUCCAUUAAUCUCAUCUCUCUCUCUCUGUCUCCAUUAUCUCAAGAUCCAUCCAGCCCUUCCUCCUCCACGGCCGGCCACCCUCCCGAUCUGGAGGUCUCCGACCAGAUCAUUCCCCUCCCCACCACGGCAUGCGGCAUGGAGUCCCGGGAUCGCUCGCCGUCAACCAAUGCUAUGCGGAUCUGGCGAGUCCUAACUCACCAAGAUCCCAUGACGGACAAGGUUUGUUGCGCCUCCUCCUGAAGCUGUCGAGGACCAUGAACGCCACUUCCUCUCACCGGCUCAGCACCAACACUUUCACUACCCGCAGGUAAUCCCCCUGUCCCCCGCUCCAAAUCCAGGAGCUGGUCGGCUUCCUCUGGUCAAGUCCGCCUCAACGAGUUGGGAUUGCUUCUUCCUGAUUGCCCAUGGAUUUGUAAUGCAAUUUGAUAAGGAUUUAUUUGUAGGUGUACAAAAUUGCUUGUUCCCGGAUGGAUAUAGUAGCACAUGGAUCCAUCACCUUUGGUCUUGUCUGGUGUUCUCCCGUGCGUGACGAAUUUCGAAGGUGCGGGUGUUCUCCAGUUAUUCUCCUAUUUAUUGUCUUUCUUGCUUGUGAUUUGAUUUUCUUAACUUUCCUAAUUUAAGGAUGAAACAGAGGCUGGGCGACAGGGAGAUUACGCUGGAAGUGUGUUGCCUUGUGCCAGAUCCGCCACGAAGUGAGCUGGCCCUCUCCUCCUCUCAUGCCGACAUCGGCAUAUUGCCCUGCUUCUUCCACGGCUUGAUGAACCUACCUUCGCCAGCUUGAUUGAUUUUAAUCGAGAGAAAACUAGUUCGAUUGAGUUUUAUCUUAAAAAGGCUAGUCAUCGCCUGAUGGCCAUUGUAUAGAUAAAAUAUGCUGCAGUUUAUUCUUCCUGUACUACUGCAAUAAGGCAACGUUUCAUCACUAUUUAGUUCUAUGCAAUUAUCUUUCUGUUUUUUGCUCUGGUUCAUGAGCAGUAAAUUUUAAAGUUUCCAACAUACAGUUUGCAAUAUUAUGGGCAGAAUUGUACAAGAACUUUUUGGACGUCUCCAUCGCACUUUGCCAAAAUUUGUCAACGGACUUUAUAGAGUUUAACAGAGAGUUGUUUUUACAAUAUUAUGGGCAGAAUUGUACAUGAGCUUUUUGGAUGUCUCCAUCGCACUUUGCCGAAAUUCGACGAAGGACUUCAUAGUUUAACAAAUAGUUGUUUUUGCAAAGCAGGUUCUUUGAAUAAAUUGCAAAGGACUUUAUAUCCAAUUUGCUUUUAUUUUUUGCUCUAGGUCCAAAUUUUGGAGUUUCCAACAUAGAUUGCAAUAUUUUGGGCUGAAUUGUACAAGCACUUUCUGAAUGUCUCCAUCGCACUUUGCCGAAACUGUUGAAGGACUUUAUGUUUUAAAUUUUUCAUCAAAACCUGAAGAAUUGGUCCAGAGAUUAUAACAAGUUCUUCACGUUUUGUUGAUAAAGGUCGAAAGAAGCUCUAUUUUGAAAUCUUUAAUAGAGCUUUAAUAGAGCUUCUUUCGACCUUUAUCAACAAAACGUGAAGAACUUGUUAUAAUCUCUGGACCAAUUCUUCAGGUUUUGAUGAAAAAUUUAAAACAUAAAGUCCUUCAACAGUUUCGGCAAAGUGCAAUGGAGACAUUCAGAAAGUGCUUGUACAAUUCAGCCCAAAAUAUUGCAAUCUAUGUUGGAAACUCCAAAAUUUGGACCUAGAGCAAAAAAUAAAAGCAAAUUGGAUAUAAAGUCCUUUGCAAUUUAUUCAAAGAACCUGCUUUGCAAAAAGAACUAUUUGUUAAACUAUGAAGUCCUUCGUCGAAUUUCGGCAAAGUGCGAUGGAGACAUCCAAAAAGCUCAUGUACAAUUCUGCCCAUAAUAUUGUAAAAACAACUCUCUGUUAAACUCUAUAAAGUCCGUUGACAAAUUUUGGCAAAGUGCGAUGGAGACGUCCAAAAAGUUCUUGUACAAUUCUGCCCAUAAUAUUGCAAACUGUAUGUUGGAAACUUUAAAAUUUACUGCUCAUGAACCAGAGCAAAAAACAGAAAGAGAAUUGCAUAGAACUGAAUAGUGAUGAAACGUUGCCUUAUUGCAGUAGUACAGGAAGAAUAAACUGCAGCAUAUUUUAUCUAUACAAUGGCCAUCAGGCGAUGACUAGCCUUUUUAAGAUAAAACUCAAUCGAACUAGUUUUCUCUCGAUUAAAAUCAAUCAAGCUGGCGAAGGUAGGUUCAUCAAGUCGUGGAAGAAGCAGGGCAAUAUGCCGAUGUCGGCAUGAAAGGAGGAGAGGGCCAGCUCACUUCGUGGCGGAUCUGGCACAAGGCAACACACUUCCAGCGUAAUCUCCCUGUCGCCCAGCCUCUGUUUCAUCCUUAAAUUAGGAAAGUUAAGAAAAUCAAAUCACAAGCAAGAAAGACAAUAAAUAGGAGAAUAACCGGAGAACACCCGCACCUUCGAAAUUCGUCACGCACGGGAGAACACCAGAUAAGACCAAAGGUGAUGGAUCCAUGUGCUACUAUAUCCAUCCGGGAACAAGCAAUUUUGUACACCUACAAAUAAAUCCUUAUCAAAUUGCAUUACAAAUCCAUGGGCAAUCAGGAAGAAGCAAUCCCAACUCGUUGAGGCGGACUUGACUAGAGGAAGCCGACCAGCUCCUGGAUUUGGAGCGGGGGACAGGGGGAUUACCUGCGGGUAGUGAAAGUGUUGGUGCUGAGCCGGUGAGAGGAAGUGGCGUUCAUGGUCCUCGACAGCUUCAGGAGGAGGCGCAACAAACCUUGUCCGUCAUGGGAUCUUGGUGAGUUAGGACUCGCCAGAUCCGCAUAGCAUUGGUUGACGGCGAGCGAUCCCGGGACUCCAUGCCGCAUGCCGUGGUGGGGAGGGGAAUGAUCUGGUCGGAGACCUCCAGAUCGGGAGGGUGGCCGGCCGUGGAGGAGGAAGGGCUGGAUGGAUCUUGAGAUAAUGGAGACAGAGAGAGAGAGAUGAGAUUAAUGGAGAGAGAGUACGGGCGUGGGUGUGGAGAGAAAGAAAAGGGCGAGCGGGUACGAUGUAGGUAUGGGCAGGCAUGGUACAGAUACGAUUUGACUGUAUUCAAACUGUAUGCCGGUGAAAAACUAAGACGAGGGAUAAUUGCAUGGGACCAGGUGGGCCACGGCCACUCGCAUCGGCGGGUCGCAGCGACGGUAGCGAUUGGCGUUGCACGCGUAACCAGUUAGGAUUCACCAUAUUCGCAUCAGCAUGCUGCACUUCUAGGUUCACCUCUAUCUUUAUUUUUUAUCAUCCAUGUAUGAUUUUCUUCUUCGACCCAAGAUUACAUUGUAUCCUCAAUCCAAAUUUUGUACAGGUAUUGGUCUACUGGGAGGUGGUCAAUUGAUUCGGCCAGAUAUUGGAAACUGGUUCUCACAUCUUUUUAUUUCUGAAAUUCUUCAGCCGAUAGUUUUAAUGGCUUUUGGACAGGUAAUUACUUAACUUGGACUGCCAGAUGUCUUAUUGUUUCAUCCUUUACCAUCCAUGUUACCGAAAAAGGGUUUCCCCCCGCUUUGUAUACAAAGCAACCAACCGAACAUCCAACGAUAGGUGCUGGGGCGGAAGCAGCACAGUCACGCCCAAAAGGAAAGAAAGAGAAAAUACAAAAGAAACUAAUGCCAACAACGGCGGAUCGACAAAAAACGAAGAAGCCUCGAGGCCGCUGCGCCCACCGGAGAUCGCCCACCAAGCUCCGAGCUUCCAAAGCGCCGGUACCAAUCAGCACCUCCAAGAAGGACCGCGACGAUGACGACGCUGCUGCCAAGGGUUUCCCCCGGUACGCUGUGAGGAGAGAGGAAGGGUAGCCCCGACGCCCUUCAGGAAGGUCAGGCGGUACCUACAAGCGCCACCGCGUCAGUGUCGGCCAAGCCAACAGAGAUUUCUUCCGAUCCCAACCACCACCUCAGGCACUCCAGAGCUCGCCACCAAACAGAGCCUCACCCUGCGCCAACCCGGUCACGAAGCUUCUCACGCCGUCUCCCCACAGCAUGUGAAGCAUGGUCCGCACAAAGGAGAGGAGCCGGGACUAGGGCAGCAGCACCGUCGGCACGCAGGAGGGCCCCACCUCCACCGUCUCGACGGUAGCUAACCGGACGCAAUAGCAGGAACAUACUAGGCCCGUGGUCGCACAGGCCCGGCCGGGAUCUCCGAGGCCUGUAAAGUUCCCGCCUUUGCGCUGCAGCCGGCACGCCGUCGACGCCGCCGCCCCUGUCCAAGCCGCUCCCCUGCCUCCCCGCAGAGAGAGCCGCCAAGUGGAAGCACCACCACCAUGUGCGCCGCCGGCCACCACCACCAUGUGCGCCGCCGGCCACCACCACCAGGUCGCCGGACCGCCACCGGCCGAGCCGCACCACCACCGCACGCCCGCGAUGGAGGGAACCAACACGGCCGCCGGGGGCCCGAAGCCGGACCCCAGCCGCCGCCCACNNNNNNNNNNNNNNNNNNNNNNNNNNNNNNNNNNNNNNNNNNNNNNNNNNNNNNNNNNNNNNNNNNNNNNNNNNNNNNNNNNNNNNNNNNNNNNNNNNNNNNNNNNNNNNNNNNNNNNNNNNNNNNNNNNNNNNNNNNNNNNNNNNNNNNNNNNNNNNNNNNNNNNNNNNNNNNNNNNNNNNNNNNNNNNNNNNNNNNNNNNNNNNNNNNNNNNNNNNNNNNNNNNNNNNNNNNNNNNNNNNNNNNNNNNNNNNNNNNNNNNNNNNNNNNNNNNNNNNNNNNNNNNNNNNNNNNNNNNNNNNNNNNNNNNNNNNNNNNNNNNNNNNNNNNNNNNNNNNNNNNNNNNNNNNNNNNNNNNNNNNNNNNNNNNNNNNNNNNNNNNNNNNNNNNNNNNNNNNNNNNNNNNNNNNNNNNNNNNNNNNNNNNNNNNNNNNNNNNNNNNNNNNNNNNNNNNNNNNNNNNNNNNNNNNNNNNNNNNNNNNNNNNNNNNNNNNNNNNNNNNNNNNNNNNNNNNNNNNNNNNNNNNNNNNNNNNNNNNNNNNNNNNNNNNNNNNNNNNNNNNNNNNNNNNNNNNNNNNNNNNNNNNNNNNNNNNNNNNNNNNNNNNNNNNNNNNNNNNNNNNNNNNNNNNNNNNNNNNNNNNNNNNNNNNNNNNNNNNNNNNNNNNNNNNNNNNNNNNNNNNNNNNNNNNNNNNNNNNNNNNNNNNNNNNNNNNNNNNNNNNNNNNNNNNNNNNNNNNNNNNNNNNNNNNNNNNNNNNNNNNNNNNNNNNNNNNNNNNNNNNNNNNNNNNNNNNNNNNNNNNNNNNNNNNNNNNNNNNNNNNNNNNNNNNNNNNNNNNNNNNNNNNNNNNNNNNNNNNNUUCUAUCCAGAAAUGAGAAAAGCCCAAUAAUCAUGCGGAUAUUUGCAAGUAUUGUGUGUGGAUUUUCAAUGCAGGCUUUGCAUCUUUCCAAGAAUAAGGGGAGUUUCUUUCUGGAUUAAUAUUGUGAAGUGUGAACAUCAUUUGAAUCAAGGUGGAAGGAACUUUGAUUCGAGAUACCUCAUAUCCAUGCCUAAAACUGAAACUUAUCGGUUCUUGACAAGCUUACUUAACAAUUUGCUUACGUUUUUCUGCCUUCCAUGUAAAUGCAGCCUAUACUUUGAUGGAUGUUCAUGUGCAGUUCUCUCUAACUUACAGAAUUGAGUAUUCAUCCAUUAUCAUUGAUGGAAUCAACAACUAAUAAAAUGGGGGAGAAAUUCCUCUAUUUUUUCCAUAGCAUGCACGAAUGGGUAACAAAAAUGAUUUUUUUUAGUCUUUACACAUACUACUAAACAGUAGUAACUGAUAUCCCUCUUCUAUUUUCCAUACCAUGCACGAAUGGGUAACAAAAAUAUGCAUCAAAUUUGUGUGAACCGUGUUAUGUUGCCAUCAAUAAAGAUUUCACCAUCGGAAACAAAACUCCCAGUAUACUGUGCUAUCAUCUCUGAAUUCAUGAUAUUCUCAUUAUUUGCAGAAGUUUUAGUUUUGUUCAUUUCCAUUUGUAUGAUGUAGAUGUAUGGGAAAUCUAAUCUUAUGAUGGUCAUUCAGGCAAGAUACACUUGAUCUGGGGGCUGUGAUGUCAGCAAAUUAUUGGAAGAAUUAAGUAAGUGCAGUAUGUAUCUCAUUUUUUUCUUCUAAUAAGGGAAGGCAUCAUGACAUAUACUCCCUCCGUUCCUAAAUAUUUGUCUUUUUGAGAUUUCAAAUGGACUACCACAUACGGAUGUAUGUAGACAUAUUUUAGAGUGUAGAUUCACUCAUUUUACUCCGUAUGUAGUCACUUGUUGAAAUCUCUAGAAAGACAAUUAUUUAGGAACGGAGGUAGUAGUAAAUAAGUGCAGACCAUUGGACAGGUAACGUUGUUGUUCGUUUCAAUGCUCUUCGUUGUGUCCGUGAUCAGAUUCUGUGCAUAAAGAAGUGCAUUACCUGUAACAUGUGUUCAUCACAUAAGAUCAUCAUAACAACCAUCCUUUUGGCAGGGUAGGGGCUAUUUUAGUUGCGACCUGAGGGACAACGAGCUAGAGGAGGAGUUGGCCAGCAAGAGUGCUAGAUUUAGGGCAAGUUUGCCGAAGCACUUUUAUUAGUUCCAUCGACAAUACCAGGACUGGAGAACUGAAAGUCCUUGUAGAUGCAAGUGGUGUGCUAUUAAACCAAAAAUACUAAAGUGCGCAACAUAAAGUUCAUGUUUUCACAUGAUUUCUUACUUCUUAAAUCGAUUUUUUUGCAGGAACAAGAUUGACAACGGCCUUUUGGAUUGCACUCUUAACAAAGCUUCGGGCUCAAUGAAUUAGAUAUUUGUGAUGUUUUGAAGGAAGACUAUAGCAUCUUGGAGUGCACUAAUAUUAAUAUAUAAACCCUUCAAUAUUUGUGUCACCCAAAGGCUACAAAUUCUGUAAUUUACCCAAAUACUUAGCAUUUUCUCUACCUAAAUAUGAGUGUAUUGUUUCAGAUCAUAUAUUCCCAGUAUUAUUAAGACACCGUGUGAAGUUAUUUGCACUGUUCUAAUGCUACUUUUCGCAAAUCCUUGAAUGUGCCCUGCCUUCUGUGAUGCACUCAAAGUAUUUGGGAGAUUUGAAAAUGUACUCAUCUGAUAACUCGUUACAUGUACAUUUUCACUAUAAAGAUUCAGGGACCUUGAAUCUGAUUUGUCAAAUGUAAUAUUACACGCGAAAAAGCCAUUAGGAAAAAAAAUAAAGUUGCUUUAAGCAAUAGAACAUUGAUAACCAAACAUAUGUUCUCUCCGGUUGGUCCUCCAUAGGAGCAUUUGUUUCUUUUAAAAUGACCAAAAAAAAGCUUAUGUGAAGCUAUAGUUUUAAUGUGCGAACGAAUCAAUAAUUCAACUCUACGUUGUACAAAAAAUAAAAAUUCAACUCGCACGCCUGUGGACCAGCUAUUAUGAGCUUCAUGCGAGACACUAUCACUUUGCACUAACAAAUUAUAUGUAUAAACUAACAUGAACUCUAUGUUUGUACAUAAAUUUCUAACGCUCUCAUAACAUUCAAAAUAGACGGGCGCGGCAACGCGCGCUAUCAACGAUCUAGUACGCCAUAUAUCUCCCGCAGCUACUCCAGUCAUCCAUCAGGCAUGUACACGAGUGCAACACAUAAUCCACACUUCCGACGCGAUGAGCCACAUUUGGACGACAUGCAGCACCAGCUUCAGCCUGCACCAUGAACCGUCGCUAGUCAUCGCACAGAAAAACACUCACGAGCUCGGCACGCACCGACCACGGUUGCAACACCGGGUUGCAGCAACGAAGCUACUGCGAGCCUGCGACCAUCCAUUGAAGCAUCAGCGAUGCUCUAUUAUAGCACCGACGAUGCGACGACGGCCCAACAAUGCUCCAUAACAACACUGGUGACGAUCCGUUGCAGCAUCCAUGAGGUUUCGGCGGCCGGCGAUGCUUUGUUGUAGCAACCGCGAGGUUCUGGCGUCCGACGAAGCUCCGUUGCAGCAUCCGUGAGGUUCCAUCAGCCGACGAUGCUCCGUUGCAGCACUCAUGAGGUUCCGUCGGCGGCGAUGCUCCGUUGCAACACCCGUGAGAUUCCGACGUCCGACGGCUCCGUUGCAACAUCCAUGAGAUUCCGUCGGGCGACGAUGCUCCAUUGUAGCACCCGUGAGGAUUCGGUGUCAGACGAUGCUCCGUUGCACCAUCUGUGCGGUUCCAUCGGCCGGCGAUACUCCAUUGCAGCACCAUUGAGGUNNNNNNNNNNNNNNNNNNNNNNNNNNNNNNNNNNNNNNNNNNNNNNNNNNNNNNNNNNNNNNNNNNNNNNNNNNNNNNNNNNNNNNNNNNNNNNNNNNNNNNNNNNNNNNNNNNNNNNNNNNNNNNNNNNNNNNNNNNNNNNNNNNNNNNNNNNNNNNNNNNNNNNNNNNNNNNNNNNNNNNNNNNNNNNNNNNNNNNNNNNGUUGCAGCACCCAUGAGGUUCCGACGUCCGACGAUGCUCCGUUGCAACAUCAAUGAGGUUCCGUUGGCCGAGGAUGCUCCAUUGUAGCACCCGUGAGGUUUGGGUGUCAGACGAUGCUCCGUUGCACCAUCCGUAAGGUUCUGUCGGCCGACUAUUCUCCCUUGCAACACCCGUGAGGUUUCGGUAUCAGACAAUGUUCCAUUGAAGCAUCUGUGAGGUUCCAUCAGCCGGCGAUGCUCCGUUGUAGCACCCGUGAGGUUCCGACGUCCGACGAUGCUUCGUUGCAGCAUCCGUGAGGUUCCCUCAGCCGGCGAUGCUCUGUUGUAGCACCCGCGAGGUUCUGACGGCCCGACGAUGCUUCAUCAUAGCACCGAUGAUGCUACAUUGCAGCUCCAAUGAUGCUCUGACGGCCAAGCGAUGCUCCAUUUUAGCACUUGCGAGGUUCAAGCAGACGGACGAUGCUCCAUCACACCAACGGUGAUGCUCCGACGGCCUGGCGAUGCUCCAUUGUAGCACUCGCGAGGUUCAGGCAGAUCGAUGAUGCUCUAUCACACCAACGGUGAUGCUCCGACGGCCCGGGUGAUGCUCCAUUGUCUCACCGGUGAACCCUUGAGCACAUGGCGCUACUCAAUGGCCCACGAGCUCGUGUCGCGAUGCCGGCGAACCCUUGCUGCACCAGAUGCAUACCACAUGCACCAGAUGCCGGCGAACCCUUGUUUCACGUAAUAUCAGCCCGAUGAAAUGAAUCGUUUUCCAAAAAAAAAACCUCCUUUACAUGGCGCACGUACGUGGACUUAUAUAAUGGUCGACUCUAACUUGACCGACAAACUCAACGCAUCUAUCUCUGGUGCCAUCUUACGUGACCUUCUACUAAUUUAAUAGCACCUGCCUUUUACAUCUCAACAGGUACUAAACUGACUUAAACUUAACUUAAGAUAAAAAGGUACUCCCUCCGUUCUAAAAUAGAUGACUCAAUUUUGUACUAAAGUUAGUACAAAGUUGAGUCAUCUAUUUUGAAACAGAGGGAGUAUCUAUAUAGACUUGUGCGCCAUCUUCAAGUGCUUCAUGUGCUGCGGGUGGGCCCCAUUCCAUGUCCUUUAAUGACAAGAAAUCACGUAUCAGGCUCCAAGAAGUGUUGCCACGUUGAAAAAUUUUCCUUUUACAUGGAAGUGGCAAGAAUAGAAAUAAAUCUCUCUCCUUUAUAUUGUUGACUGAAUUGAAUAUAUCACAGCUCGCGUGCUCCCUUUCAUCGGAUCCGGCUUGCCUGCUUCCUUUCCAUGCUCUCAUCCGUGCUUCCACUUCAUCCUACGGCUGUCAUUUUCUUUUUUUUUCUUUUCUAAUCUAAUCAUCUCCCCCCUCCUCCCCGAUUUUUAGGGGGUGGGGCCGGGCCUUAUUUUCUUCCAAUUAAAUCAAGCACGGGGAGGGAGCAGGCAAGUCUCGUCCCCUUUCAUCAGCGUACAAUCCCAUCUCUUUUCAAGUAUUAUUGAUACACGUUGAUUUUUCCUUGCGAAAAUGAGCAUGGUUAAUUUUGCAUGCAUGUUUUCUGCCUUGAUUUAGCCCUUCACCGUCCACGUAAUUAUUCUCAUAUAAUAAAUAUACAUCCACGGACUUUUCUUCUUUUAAACAAUUGACUUGCAGCUGUAUUUUGUGAACGUCCAGAACACUAGCAUUAGACAUGGCCAUAUCACCAGCAGCAACCAUCGUAUGUAAAUUACUCAUGGUCGUAUCACGGGCCCGAGGUGGACGCGGAGCAAACGCGUGGGCGUUCGUUCGACGUCCGUGUGAAUGCAAACCAGACGCAAGUUUGCGUAGAAAAUAGGGCGGGCCGGACGCCAAACGGACAAAAAAUACAGAUGCGUUCAUGGGUUGGGCCGUGCCGUCUAUCUGUUUGGGCUCAAAUGGUCAUACACGGAGCGGAUGUGAUCAUGCGUUGGAGUUGGCCUAAGCCCCAAGCCGACUCGCCCCUUCUUCCUCUCCUGGCAAACCCUAGCCCCACCUCACCGCCGCCGCUCCUUGGCCACCCAUGGAGGAGGAGGAGGGCGAGAGCCGCGACUGGGCCGGGAUGCAGUCAGACGCGCUCUCCACCAUAUUCGGGAAGCUGGACGCGGCCGACCUCCUCACGGGAGCCGGGCAGGUAUGCCACGCGUGGCGCCGUCUCGCCGACAGCGACACCACGCUGUGGCGUCGCGUCGAGAUGACCCACGAUGGAGACAUCCUGGAGGCCGGGGCCAUGGCCUGCGCCGCCGUCGACCGCGCCGCUGGCACCAUGGAGGCCUUCUCGGCCGACACCUUCGUCACUCAUCUCCUCCUCCGCUACAUCUCCGACAGGUUGCCACAUCUUUCCUCUUCCUGUUACAUACAUGCCCAUUUCUUCCGUGAGGUUGCAAAUAAUUUCGUUGAUUGGUUCUGAUGACCAAAGUUGUAUGUAAUUGUGAGUCUCUGCCAGUUAGUACCUUUAGUUGGGCUGAGAGGACAGUCUUGAUCGUACUCCUCGUAAAUUAAAACGCAUAUCAUGAUAUAUCUUCUUAACUCAACAUAAGCUCCUGGUGAUAUACGUUUGCUCUUGCUUAGAAAAUGGACCUUUCUGCUGUGUUAUUUGACAACCUUUUUGCAUCCUUUUAUUUCUGCAAGGAAUUUGUUCUCCGUAUGAACCUCAGAUUUACUUUGUAGUGCCUUUUGAUGUGGACCGUUGCUUUAUCAAAUUGGGGUUCACCAACACAAAUGAACUUGUCUUAAAUUUCUGAAAAUGUUCAAUUGGUAAUCAGUAUUUCGUACAGAAGAUUAGGUGUUGGUUAUGUUAAGAUCAAAUGGCACGCUGGGAGCCCGAGAGUGGGUUAAUCGAUCCAAGAUCAGUGUACAAUAUGUAAAUAUCCUUUCAUUUCCUUAUCUUUUCUGACAAUUCUAGUUUUAGUACCAAAAAAGUUUUUUUUGUAAUAACGUAUACAUAAAAUUGGAGGGAGUGAAAUGCUACUCAGCAGUAAAAUGCUUAGAAUAUAUCGCGUGAGUCUCUAGUGCUGUAUCUUUGUGCGACUCAAUGUGCCUUGCUAAAUGCUGCCUAGCACAUAGCUCGGGAGAAUACGGUGGAGCAACCCAGAAAAUGUAUGUAGAGUAGAAUAGUGAAGGUUUGUCAUCCCGGAGGGAAUUGGCCUGUUCUCUCUGCCAAUAGCACGAUUCCUGAGGCUGGUGUCUUGUGCUCUUUGGGUACAACUAUAGGGAUUGAUCCCUAAAACAUACUCCCUCCAUUCCAAAACAAAUGUCUCAACUUUGUGCUAACUUUAGUACAAAGUUGUACUAAGCUUGAGGCACUUAUUUUGGGACAGAGGGAGUACAAGGGUAGGUGAGGUUCAGCAUGGAGACUUCACAGGGCAAAAGGCCAUCUGAAUAUUUUUGUUGGUUGACAGCAAAUUACCAUGCUGAUUGGGUGACUUCUAUGUGCAAAAUAACCAUUCUACUUAAAGGCUGAACGUUUUAGUGAGCCUGCACAUUUCAUGUAGUUAACUACAUACUCGAAUUGGUUCAUAUUUGUUGCACUGUCGGGGCCUCCCCUUCAACAUUUCCUUCAUACAAACUGUUGAAGGCCCUUUGCUGGGUUGCACAUUCCAUACCCUUUGUGUAAAUCUGUAUCAUGUAGUAAUAACAAUCAGUCAACAACUAUACUAUGUAGUGAACAAAUAAAUGUGUAAUUGUUAAUUGUUAGUAGCUACUCCCUCCGUCCCGUAAUGUAAGACGUUUUUUGACACUACAAUAGAGUCAAAAAACGUCUUACAUUAUGAGACAGAGGGAGUACUUUCUGUUAUGGUACUGCAACUUCUAUAUCCCCUCGCUGAAGCAAAAAGCCUCCAUUUUUUUGAAAUAUUCCUGCGACCAUCUUUUUAUUUAUUUUUUGUGAAAAGGGUAUGAGUUUAUUCCUCUGAAAUAGUGUUACAGUCCGCUAAUACAAAGCAACCAUCUGUUUGCUUGGUAAGCGUAGUGCUAGUCAGAGCUCAUAUUUUCUUUUUGUUGUGUUGAUCUGUUGGUGCAUUGAAAUAAAGUGAUCUCACUUUUAUUGAUUGAUGUUUGAAUUUGCUGGAUAUACCAAGUAUGAUUUCUACCAGAAGCGUGGUGUCAUAGGCUUGGGGUAUAAAGCUUUUGGUUGAGCGAAGAUUCUGAUUGUGGCUGAUAGGAGGGACGAAACUGUACACCUCGUUUACCCAUGGUUAUUGAGCUAGUAAAUUGCCAAAAACCACCACAUUAGCGCCUAGGCUUGCAGAAAACAUUGGUUUACGAUUUCUUGCCAAAAACCACUAAUUUUUGGGCUAAUCUUUUGGCAAAAACACUAGUUGAUGGCUUUGGCCCAUCUGAUGACGAUUAUGACUGAUGGAGCCCACCAUUUGCUGAUGUGGUGCAACAUUCGCGAUAAACAAUGUUAGACGGGUCAUUUGCAAAAAACUCCUCCCUCCCUGAAACUACCCUGAUCCAGAUGGGGAUCGAGCAACCCCGUCGUGCGAGCUUUGUAACCCGAGGAGGAAGGAGGAGGCAGUAGGCCGGCGACCCCGUGCUGGGGGUGCGCAGGUGGGUGCCGGGGGUGUCAGGCGACCCCGUGCUCGCAUUCCAGGUGGGCGCCCUAGGGCGCCUGUUGGGUCCUGGGGGUGGCCGGCGACCCCAUGCUCGCGUUCUGGCCUUCCAGGUAGGUGCCCGAAGGUGUCCUCGACAGAUACAGGAGGGUGGCCGGGGAACUCCCGGCUAUAGAGCUUCAUGGCAGAGGGGAGGCCGGUCCAGAGCGCAUCACUGGCAAGCUCAGCGGCGGCGCCGCCUCGUGAAGGCCUCGGCUGCCACGAGGGGCGAGGAGCCAGAGGGGCAGGCGCAUGCGUUCUUCAACCGGUGAGCUCCGGCUGCCACGAAGAUGGCGGCGGCGUCUGGCUCUGUGGCGGGCCGUGCUCGAGGUCUGGGCCAUUGGACAACGACGAGGGCACUCGCCGGCCGACGACGACAUGGGAGGAUUUUUUAGAGAUGGAGAGAAAAUGAUUGACUAAUCAAUGUGCCGGCCCACCCGCCCAGCCAACUCCGCCGCCGAUUGCCGCAGCAGCCACGUGCAUGUGCCCGUGCCCUCUGCUCCCGCUCCUGGCGACGAGGCCCAUGACCGGCGUCCUGCAGCUUUGCUCGGCUGCUUGGGAGCCCAAAUAUGAUUUGGAGCUGAUUGCUUAUUAUUAUUAUUAUUAUUAUUAUUAUUAUUAUUAUUAUUAUUAUUAUUAUUAUUAUUAUUAUUAUUAUUAUUGAAGGGUGUCCCUAUAAAACUAUAGGGACUAUUUGUAAAUCUAGACAAUUCCGCAUCUAACGUCAUCUACUGUAGAUCGUUAUGCCAGGUCAUCAAAUGUGGGACCCACAUGUCAGAAUCACAGUUAAAAUGCCCAAAGAGACUGAUCAAUGUUUUUUUGCAAAAGAUUAGUCUGAGAAUCAAUGUUUUUUUUCACAAAUUCUUAAACCGGUGUUUUCUGCAAACCUAGACUUCAAUUUGGUGGUUUUCUGCAAUUCACUCUUGUUGAGCAGAGAGAGACAGAACGCCCGACGUGAUAGCAGGGGAACAAAGAUUGGGAUUAAACUUGCUUGAUUACUUUUCAACCAGUGUUUGGCCAUUAUUUAGGCUAUGCGUACAAACUUAUCUGACUUCACCUCAAUCUGAAUCUAACUCAACAAUUCCUAAUUAUUCUGACUUCCUAAUUGAAAAAUAACCUAUUCAAACUCUUUCUUAAUUAUAUCUAUAGUCUUUACUGGAGUUGAAAGUAAGGAACUCUCUUCUUGGACCACACGUCAUUAGCGGAAUCUAGUUUAGGCUUGAAUUUGCGCCUGCUGUAGGGUGGAUGCCACCUGACACAUGUUUCAUUGCCCUCUUCUGCUCUUCUUCUCAUCGUUUGACUGAGUGUGAUAUGUAGAAUUCACACACAGUAUCAAGUCAUGUGGUAUUUUGUUAGAACUGCAUAUUGAAGUUCAUUUGCAUGUGACUGCAGUUAUCAACCUUUUUGAAGAUUAUGUUGUUCCAGUGAUAUUUCUCAUUGUGAGCUUGGAAAGCAUGUUUAGAUUUGAUAUAGCUUAAAUGUUUGGGUUGGUUAAAAACUUACCAUGUCUCAAUGCAGAGCAUUCUCAUUGAAGAGCCUUCAGCUCAGCUUUUGUGAUAAAGUAUCUGAUAAAGGGUUGGCAGAGGCAAUUAAUCGCCUUCCUCAGAUUGAAGAACUGGAUAUUUCGUUCUGCUCAUUGUAUGGCAAUUUUUGCGAGUUAGUUGACAAAAGCCGCUCACAACUGAAAUGCUUUAGGCUAAAUGAACGCUGGGCUGAUUUUCAUAAGCGGUUUGAUGCAGCCUAUGAGCGCAUGGAGAUUGACCCAGAAGCAUCAUGGAUUGCUAACAGUAUGCCUCUUCUCCAAGUCCUUCAGUUGAUUGGUAGGGAAGUAACUAAUGAUGGACUGAUAGCAAUCCUUGACCAUUGCCCUCACCUUGAAUCACUUGACAUACGUAUGUGCUACAACCUCCAAAUUGAUGAUGCUAUGAAAUCAAAGUGUGCUAGAAUUAGAAACCUUAAGCUUCCUCAUGAUCACAUCUCUGAUUUCAAGUACUGGGCCUACGUUGACAGUGAGGAUUACAGUGAAGAUUACUCUGGUUCUGUUUUUGAGGUUGAUAUGCACGAUGAUUUAUUGGAUGUGGUCAUGGGUGAUGAUUCUGAUGGUGAAUUCAAUUAUGUGGAUGAUUAUGAUGAUGUUGGCUCAGAAUCUGCCAUGUAUGAUGUCGAUGACAUCUAAACGCUGACCAUGGGCUUUCACUUUGGCGGGAUUUGGAGCUGAAAUGAUGUGGUGUUCACCUGUUGUUGAAUGAAAUCCUUGAAGUGGGGUUCGGGCACUUUGUUAUGUGUGAUUCUCUUGUGUUCGUGUCACCUGUUUGUUUCUCACAUUUUUGCAAGAAACUAAUCCAUCCUUUUGCUGUGAGACUGGGUUGUUCGAUUAUCACUCUUUUCACUUGUAGUUUGUGCUGCCUUGUGACUUGUCAUGGAAUUA
rnacentral:lncRNA from 1 species